rnacentral:lncRNA from 1 species
GGUAGUUCACAACCUUCUCAUGUCUAACAUCCACCCGCUUUUGGAUACGUUCGAUUCAACUGUUCAGUGGACUUAUUGAUGCUUAAUCGUUUCAUGUUUUCGAGCACAUAUUGUCUCACCAUAAUGAUUAGAUUGAUAGUCUAUGAAGGGUUCCUCAUACACCUAUUCGAUUGAUAUGCACAAACUCAUGGCUUUUGUGGUUGGGUUUCAGGUGGAGAUUGUGAUGGGCCUUGAGGAAGCGUUUGGGAUUGAAAUGCAGGAGGAGAAAGCACAGGCUAUCACAACGGUUGAGCAAGCAGCUGAGCUCAUUGAGGAGCUCUUGUUGGAAAAGGCUUGAGUAGAAGUCAUUAUUACAUAAUUAAAAAAUUGGAUAAAAUACCCAAAUCGGUAAUCUUGUUAUUGUCUGCUUAGCUAGAGACUAAAUUUCGUCUGUUAAGAUUUUUAUGUUAUUUUGGGCAAAUUAUUAUUACAAGGCUUUGUAUUUGACUUCUUUUUCUUUAAAACUUUAUUGUUCAUUACCUUUUUUCGUCAUUUUGAAAUUUGAUCUCACACAAAAUGUUGGCCUAACUCAUUCGCUAAAAAAAUAAUAAUAAUGAGAGCGAACACAGAUUUCAGUUAUCCCCAAAUCGAUUUCUACUGUUAGUUUAAGGUUUGGAUUUUUACUUGGUACCCGGUUUAGUUUUAGUCUUCGUUUGUUUUUUUUUAACGCUUCAUUCCUUAGUUGGAAGGAGAAAUCUAAAGUACAGGAUUAAAGAAAAGAAACAUAUCAACAAGGGAAAGACACCAGAAAGCAUCCAAACAAAGAAUGCUCCUUAAGCAAGGAGACACAGCUACCUUGAAACAUACUUUUAUGAGGAUAGAGGAAGAAAGGGAAAGGGUUCCUGGGACUACAGCCUCGAGAUCAGUUAUCCAUUUGAUACCUCUGUGGCAAUGAUGUUACGAAGCCAAAAUGGACCAGAAGUAGCAAUGUACGAUUGGUACCAGCGGUCUCAUGUGACGCUUACUGCUAUUGCCUUUGCGGCUUUGUAACUUUUAGGAGACGUUUAUGACUAGUCUUGGUUUAUUGGAGCAUAAUUAAAUCUAAAACCCAUUAUGAGUCUCUUAGCUAUUAUUUAAAUACUAAAUUGAAAUAAGAGACAUGAAUAAGAGACUUAACAUUGUUGCACCUCCUAUGGGUGAAUCCCAUAGGGUAUCUUAAGAUUUUUUAUAUGGGGAAAAACCCAAAUUAGAGAAGAAAGUUUUUUUUUUCCAAAUGCUUCAACAAAUGAAAUACUGCCAUCUGUCAUUGUGAGACGUCUCUUAACUGUCCCCAAAUAAGAAACGUUUUCAAAUUUGGUCUGUGCGUUUUCGGGUUUUUAUUAAUUAAAAAUUAUAAGAGAUCCUGUGAAACUCUGUGUUAAUCAUGCUCUUAGUACGUAGCUCAUUCCUAUAUGUUUUAUUAAUGAGUCAUUUACAUUGUAUAACACUUCUUGAAUUAAUAUUAACAGCAUUUAAUAUUUCUUAAAUUAGUAGCACUUUAUCAGAUAAAGUGAUGAUGCAAAGACUAAACCACUCCCAUGCUAAGUUGAUGUCAAGAAAACUAGUUUUUGUUAUGAAUAAGAGCAUAUACGUAUAUAUAUAUGCAUCUUCAUAUAUUGUCUUUUUAUAUAUUAUAUAAUAUAUAAAGUAUAUGAAUGAGAAAGCACAAGAGGGAGAGAGACGAAAGAGCAAAACAUUGCUGCUGCUCUCAUCUUAUUAUUGAUUUCAAGAACUUUAUAACAUUUACAGCUAUUUAUACUAGAAAAGAAAAGGUAAGAAGUUGGUAACACCAACUUAGUGAUAUUGAUGGGGGUUGGUAAUACCAACUUGAUGAUGAAGAUGAAUAAUCACCACAUAUUAUAAUACUCCUCUUUGAUUAUCAAUCACUGCUAACGUAUAUAUGUACUGCCUUGCUAAAAACUCUUAUCAUGGAAAAAUCCUUUUUGAGAUAAAAAAACAUAACAAAAAAAAUGCAGUAAUGCUUCCCCUAGAAAAGAUAUAUAUUCUUCUUUUCCUUCGAACGCUUAAAUGAUUGAGUCUCUUUCUUUGAUAGAUGAAUUUGGACUUCUACGUCAUUUGGAUGUCUAUCUUUUGCGUAUUCUUUGAUGCCUCGUUAAAAACCUUAUCAUAAAAAAACCCAGUGGGAUAAAAACCAUGACAAGGGAAAAAGAGUACAUCUAAGUAUAUCAUCAUAUUUCUCUUUCUGGAAGUAUUCCUCUUUCGAGAUCUAUAUUUUGUGUGUUCCUUGCUGUCUCGUUAAAAACCUCGUCAUGGAAAAACCUAUUAGGACAAAAACUAUGAUAAAGGAAAAAGAGUGCAGCCACGCUCGUCUUCUGGACAAAUCUCUUUAUAUGGUUCUUAUGGAACCCAUUAAUAUAUGUCUUCUAGACAUAUAUUUUUAUUUGGUUCUUCAGGAACCUUUUCGCAAAUGUCUUCAGAACAUCUUUAUUCGGUUCUUCUCGAACCUUUUCACAAAUGUCUUCAGGACAUUUUCUCUAUAUGGCUCUUUUGGAACCUUUUCAUUUAAGAGGGGAUUUUAUCUUACAAGCCCAUCGGUCUCCCGCGCUUUAGUUGAACCUGCAGUUCAUUUGCUAUAUUCUCAUCAAUAAUUUGUUCUAGAGCAUUUCUUUUGAUUGAGCAUUAGCAGCGGGGAUAUAUGAUUUUGUCAUCCAUCUUAUAUCUUUGAACGCAUCAAGUAACUAGUUUGCAAAACAAGUUUAUGAACUCCACCUCACGUAUAUUGGUAGGAGGAUCGAGAUAAGCCAAAGUUUAUAUACACGUUUGCUUUUGGUGAUUCUCUAGAUUCCCCCCCCCCCCCCUCAAUGCAGGGAAUUGAUUUUCAUCAAAGUGGCGAUCGGCAAAACGUGUGAUAUGUCUAUAUUUUGCAUCAUUUAGGCUGCAUUUUAGAGUCCAUAUCAUGUGUUUUCUCAUGUAUAUUGAGUCUUUAGGCAUCAAAAUAGGUUUUAGGACUUGCAUUAGGUCCCAAAGAGUUUUGCAUGUUUUGAAGUCUUUAUCAGGUGCUUUAGAGGCUAUUUGGAGCUCAAGAGGAGGAUCAGGAAUGAAAACGGUGAAGAAAAAGGUCAAAAAUGGUGAAAACCGCUUGGAGAAAUUUCUCGGCGAAAACUCGUACCGGCUGGAUCGAAACAUCGGCCAAAAUCGCUAUCGGGUGGUCGUUAUCGGCUAAAAAUUAGUAUCGGGUGAAAAUUUCAUCGGAUGAAGUUUUACGCCGAGGCGAGAAGUUUUAUCGGCUAAAAAGCUUACUGCGGUACAUAAUCCUCGGACAUUUUCCUUACCGCGGAAAGCAUUUCUCGGCUAAAACCUAUUUUCACCCGCGUGCUUCAAAGAUCACCAAUCCGGGGAACCUUCCAGUCCGAAUCAGUUGACGGGUUCUUCAUCAACGUUGGAGAUAAUCAAGCCAAGAUCCCAGAACAGUUGGAAUCACGUAAUUCGGACCAGUGAGAAGAGAGAUUUCACCUCCGGAAAACACGCCUGUCUCGCAUGCACCCGAAAGCCGAUCAGCUGAGCUUCAAAGAUUACGUGUAACGAAGCCCUUCCGAUUCGAACCAGUUUACAGGGUCUUCAUCAAUAUUCACGUUCUAUGAAUGCUCUUUCCGGAACACCUGAAGUCGCUCAAUUCGGAGCGGUGGUUUGGAAGAUAUUAUCUCCGGAGAACACAUCGGUCUGAAAGCUGUACUUUCCGGUCAUUCCAAUGCGGUGCAAAGAUGAGCAAUCCGGGGAGCCUUCCACUUCCAAAGCUCCGAUGGUUGACUAAGUGUUGAACAUAUACCUUGGUAUCAAGACCUCAGUGUUGCAUGCCAGACUCUGUUCUCCUGAACCCCUCGACUACCAAGCUCCACGGCAUUACAUGGCGAGGUCCCUUGUCACAACUCCAGAAUCAAGAACAAGGUGACUUAAGAGAACACACGUGAAGAUGAAUCUAAGACUAGGGUUCAUGCAUGUUCUUGACGUGUUCUUCGCGAGAUCUCCAUCUUGAUCUUUGCUCACGUGCACCUCUCGUCAUCAAGACCUCGGCUUCACUCUCUCACACACAGUGGUGCUCACCCGACGACCCAAGAAGAGCGCUCAGUACCCGGUUUGUUCCGGGCUGACCCGCAACAUUACCCUUCACUAUAAAUAGAUUUUAGGACCAGAAACCUAAGGAUCUUUUUUUAUUUUAUCAUCUUUUAGCUUUAAGAACUUGCCUCUUUUGUGAAACCUGAUUAAUCUAAUCUGAUAUCUCGUUUUUUCAUCAGAUUCUUGUUCUUGCUUUAUUUCUUUUAUUCUCCAGCAUUAAACUCCUUAUCAUGACUAGCUACACGUCUUGAAAAGGACUUAGUGAACUCGUUAUGAUCAGUGAGUAGUCGUUUAAGCGGCUUUAGAUAGGUAGAUUAGGGUGCUUUCAUGAUAGAUUAGUGAGUUUAGGGGUCUAGUCUUGCAUGUUUCAUUCUUAAACCGACGAGAUCUCUAAGCUGGAUCUAAGCACAUCACUUGAGGUUCAGAUCUGAGACAUAUCUCGCAUCAAAAGUGUUUGUAGAAAUGUCUGAACCACUCGGUUAAGGGUUUAAGAGUCUUUCAUCGCGAGAGUGAUAGUUUGUUCUCUUAAAUGACUUAUUGAACUGAAUCUUAAUGCUGACUGAUUCAUGCUUCUCAAAAGGGAUUUUGGUAUGAAAGAGGAUCAGUUUAGAUGUUUAAUACUUUCAUGAGAAGAUUAACUUAUUUUGAGUUCAUGUUAAAUGAAACCGCUUGAUAAAUCUGAUUCAUUAACUUACUAGUCUAGCUUGGAAGCACCCGAGUCAUAUAUCCUGUCUAAAGUCUCUGCCUUUAUCAUAUAUCAUCAUCACCCGAAUCAUUUGCUUUUUUACUAUUGAUCACUUGCAUCUUCAGCCAAUUUAAGUCUCAUCUUUUGUUUCAUUUUCAUGUUUACUUGCUUGUUAAGUAGAUUAGCUAAAACCUUUACCUGUUCAUCUUGACUUAAGAUCACAAGUAACAUAGACUAGUGUCUCACACACAAGUUUGGAUUGAUAACCCCUUGUACUACAAGACUAGGGAUUGAUAACCUCUACAGAGAGUGAAAACUCUUAGUUAUCAAUUGGCGCCGUUGCCAACUUGUGGGAGCAUUAGUCUCUUAUUUGUUCUUAAGAUCAAGACUUUACUUUCUUUAGUUUUACUAACUCUUUUGCAAGUUCUAGCUUUGCUUUCAGGUGCAUGAAAACCAGGUCUCACAGCACAGAACCGCCUCUCCCUUACGACAAUAACAUCAACAGGAUUGAAAGGCGAGCUCGCGAGAGAGAACGGCACUUUGAAAGGCUUGGAAUGGCAGAACAGCAAAGGAUAGAGCAGCAGGCUCAAGAUUCCGAGCACCAGGCUCAGGCUAAUCAAGCGCAGGCAGAAAGAAAUGAACAACAAGCCUUCGUUAACCAACAACAGGCUCAAAGAAAUGAAAGGCUUGCUCAGCAAAAUCAACAUCAAGCAAAUAGAAAUGAGCAGCAAGCCCAUCAUGUUCAUCCGCCUCCGCCACCAGCUCAGAGACAACCUCCUCCGGUCUUUGUUGGAGAAAACGACCGAGCUAACGCGCACCAAUAUAGAGCCGGGAUUCAGGCACCUCCCGUGCAAAACAACAACUUUGAAGUUAAAGUUUCCCUGCUCAAUAUGGUGCAGAACACCAAGUUUCAUGGUCUACCCGGAGAGGACCCUCUUGAGCAUCUUGAUCAAUUUGAUCGGGUUUGCGACCUGACAAAGAUUAAUGCGUGUCAGAAGAUAGCUUCAAGCUGCGCCUGUUCCCAUUCAGCCUCGGUGAUAAAGCUCACCAGUGGGAAAAGAACCUCCCGAGGGGUUCUAUACAAACGUGGGAGCAGUGUAAACUGGCGUUCUUAUCCAAGUUCUUCUCUACAUCACGCACGGCACAGCUAAGGAAUCAGAUCUCAAGUUUCACGCAGCACAACAACGAGAGUUUUAGUGAAGCUUGGGAACGUUUCAGGAGCUAUACCAACCAAUGCCCACACCACGGCUUCUCGGAGGCAUCCCUCCUGAGUACUCUAUACCGAGGUGCCCUCCCCAAGAUCAGAAACCAACUCGAUACAGCCUCAAAUGGAAAUUUUCUUGGGAAGGAGAUCAAUGCGGCAAUGGAACUAGUGGAGAACCUCGCCAUGUCCAAUGACACGUAUGGUGAAGAUUUUGACAGGGCAAACCGUUCAGAGGGAUCUAGUGAAGAACAGCGCAUGAAGAAAGAUAUCAGAGAGCUACAGAGCAAGCUUGACAAAGUUCUAAUGGCUACACAAAAGCCAAUACACUUUGUAGGCGAGUUUGAUGAGCAUGGGCCGAGUUUUGAUAAUGUCAAUGAAGAUGGUCUAACUCAAGAGGAGCUGAACUACAUAGGGAAUCAGCAAAGGUAUCAGAGGUUUAACAACUACAGCAAUAAUCCCAACCUCUCUUACCGAAACCCAAAUGUAGCUAACCCUCAAGACCAAGUGUACCCUACCCAACAACACCAACAAAGCUAUGCUCUAAAAGCUCCAUUUCAGAAUAGCUUUCAGACCAAGCAACAAUUCAAUGGGCAGCAACAGAGUUAUAGUCAGCAAAACCUACCGGCUCAAAGGAACACCUUCAACAGCCAACCGCAGCAACAUAAGUUUACACCAGGGUUCAAUCCGCAGCCGAUGGGUAAUCAGCAACAGAACUAGGGAACGGGUCAGAAUCAGAUGGGACCUGAUGUCUGUGGGAUUCUACAGCAACUGUUACAGGGUCAGCAGAGGGUCGAGAGCCAGCACGCUACAAUGCAACAGGAUAUACGGGAGCUUAAGCAGAACCAAGCUUCGACAUCAUCAAGAGGACCGACUUUACCAGGUAAGCUGGAGCCUAACCCCAAGGAACACAUUGAGGAGUGGUAAAGAAUUACAAGCUCCAGCAUCUAAAACAAAGCUCAUUGAGGCCAAUGAGCAACUCGGAGGGGAGGCAGCCUCAGAUGAUGCUCAACAAGAAGAGGUUUUGGAGAAGGAACCGAUUAAAGACAAAGGAAAAGAGGUGGAGAAGACACCUGAGCUUGAAAAACCCUACGUCCCACCACCACCUUACCAGCCCAAGAUACCAUUCCCAUGGCGUUUCAAGAAGAAAUUCCUAGACAAAGCCAAAGCGGUCUUUGAGAAACACUUGGAGAACAUGCAACUGACUUUGCCUAUCAUAGACGUUUUCUUAGCUAUACCACAGCUUGGAAAGUUUCUAAAGGAUGCGAUUCUCAACAAGACAAAGGAGCUCCAGGGUAUGGUAAUAUUGAGUCACGAGUGCAGCGCUAUAAUUCAGAGGAGAUCUAUACCAAGAAAGCUAUCCGAUCCGGGCAGUUUUACUUUGCCGUGCGCCAUAGGUCACUUGAAAUUCUCAAAUUGCUUAUGUGAUUUAGGAGCUUCUGUGAGCUUAAUGCCUUACACGGUGGCCAGGAGACUGGGAUUCAAAAGCUACAAGCCGGCCAAGAUCUCCCUUGUGUUAGCUGAUAGAUCGGUGAGACUACCAGUGGGCUUACUUGAGGAUCUACCUUUGAGAAUCGGUGAAAUAGAGAUCCCCACUGACUUCAUAGUUCUUGAGAUGGACGAGGAACCCCAGAGAUGCAUUCUUUAACCUCAUCAACUAAUGUACUGAAAAACAACUAAUAAUUAAUUAAGACGGACAUAUAUAUAUACAUAGCAGGAUAUACGUAUGUGCACUGUGAUAAUCUUUUUCAUUGGACACUAAACUUCCUUCAGUUUUCCACUAAGACGUUCGAUCGGCGAGAAUAUGUCAGGUACACCCUCAACUGCAUAUGUUUGGCCAACUCCUCCAUCAUCAUAUCAACGAGUAGCUCUUUUGCGUGUUCGUACUUUUGGUGCAAAAUAGUAUGAAGUGAAGUGCGAAGUCUCUUGCGUCAAGCUUCCUGCCACAAUUGAACCUUCCACUUUAGCUAGGUUUUUGGCUUUACCCUUAAGAUGCUUCAUAAAACGCUCAAACGGAUACAUCCACCUGUACUGAACCGGUCCACCGAGCUCUGCUUCGUGAGGGAGAUGAACAGGAAGAUGUUCCAUAACAUCAAAAAAUGAUGGCGGGAAUAUGUUUUCCAAAUUGCACAACAAGAUUGGAAUAUUCGAUGCCAGUUGUGCUAUUUCAUCAGCUGAUAAUGUUCGUGUACUAAGAUCCCGGAAAAAAGCACCAAAGCCUCCAACAGCUUCAUGGACAUUUUUGGGCUUAAGUUCAACAAAUGCAAAAUGGAAAUAAUCGUUGCAUAAACACGUGACAGUCAUGACUUUUUAUCCCUGCAAACUUUACCCCCUUCUCAACAGAUUUAGAAAGAUUAAAAACAUACCCAUCAGGAAACUUAACGUCAGAUAAAACCCAUUUGAACAAUGCUGACUUUUGAUCUGCACUCAACCGAAAUAUAGGAACUGGUGGUUUUCCAUUUCUCAGUAUAUGCAACUCACUUUUGUUGCAUAAAUCAGGCAAGUCCAAUAUUGACUUACCGUUGUUUUUUGUUCUUCCUGUUACGUUCAUAACUGUAUGCAUGAUGUUAUCAAAAUUUUUUUUCUCAAUGUGCAUGACAUCAAGAUUGUGUCUGAGCAGAUGAUCUUUCCAAUAGGGUAGUUGCCAAAAGAUAUUUUUCUUGUACCAAUUAUGAUAAACUCCAUAACCUUCAGGCAUAUUUGCAGGUGUGUGCCAGUUUCCCCCACGCGUUAGUGUUUCCUCUGCCCCCCAAUGCUCGAUUUGCGCAUGUUUAUUUGCUCAUGUUAUAUUUACGGGUGGAGGGACAUGUACACUUUUGUUCUUCCUAAAUAACCUCUUGUUCCUCCGAUAUGGAUGGUUAUCCGGUAAAAACCUCCGGUGACAAUGAAACCAACAGGUUUUUCUACCAUGUUUUAGCUGAAACGCAUCAGUUCAAUGAAGAUAAUGAGGACAAGAUAACCUCCCAUGUGUAAGUCCAUCUUGAUAGCAUACCAUAAGCGGGGAAAUCGCUUAUUGUCCACAUAAGCACAGUCCGCAUAGUAAAAUUUUUCUCCGUUGAACAGUCAUGUGCGAACGCCGGUAUACCAUAACUGAUUCAACUCAUGUAUGAGUGGCUGUAGAAAUACAUCGAGAGCUCGCUUCGGAUGAUUGGGACCUGGAACCAAAAUACUAAGGAAAAGAAAUUUCCUUUGCAUGCACAUAUCUGGAGGAAGGUUAUAAGGAAAAGAAAUACUAGAUACUAUUCAAGAAUUUCAACCAGGAGAUGGAAGCGGAAAUUCUAAUGUGGAUAUGUCGUACUCCACAGCCAUGGCUUCAAAUAUUACCGAUAUGCUGACAACUCGGAAAAAAGUUCGUGAUAUACAGCAACAUCAUCAAUUGAAAUUUGAUUUGAUCGAACAUGUAUGGCAAAAAUUUGGACAUUUUUAUGAUAACAACUAGAGUUUAUGGGGAUUUUUUUUUUUUUUGGUAUUAAUGCAUUGUAAUAAAUCUUAUAAUUAAGUUUUUCUAAUAAAAUAUUAUUAUUAUUAUUAUUUUUUAGAAACCAAUUCCGGUUUCUAGCAAUGUUCACCAAUAAAAACGCUGUCUCUACACGGUCUCUAAACACAGUUUUCAAAACCAAACAAUUAAUAAAAUAUGCUGAGGAGACCCAUAUGGGUCUUUGGGUUGAGGAUGCUCUAAGGGGUUAGGAUUACUGGCCAUAAUGAAUAUUGUCUACCAGACAUACCAAAUGGACUAAAACCAUCAGUGCACAGACCAAAAUAGACAUUCAGUUUGAACUUAGCAAAAUCUGGGUAUACCGUAUUGAAGUGUUUCCAUGCCUUUGCAUCUGAUGGAUGAACAACUUCUCCAUCUACUUGUGUAUAAUCUGCAUGCCAUCUCAUUGAUGAAGCUGUCCUUUCAUAUUGAUAAAGCCGUUUCAACCUAUCAGUUAUAAAGAGAUACCACAUACGUUGGUACGGUAUCCUUUUACGCCCACCAGAUUGCGGCCUGUAUCUUGGUUUUUGGCAAAAUCGACAUUCCUCCAGCUGAUCAUCUUUGUUCCAAAAAAUCAUACAAUUGUCAACACAUAGAUCUAUCAUCUCAGAAGGUAGACCAAGACUAAAAAUCAACUUCUGUAUUUCAUAGUAUGUUGCCGCUGCCAAGUUAUACUCCGGUAAAUACUCUUUCAGAAGAUCAGCCCAAUAAUCCAUGCAAACCUCAGCCAGGUUAUGAUCUGUUUUAAUUGACAUCAUCCUAGCUGCCAACGAUAAUUUAGACAGACCUUCUCUACAUCCUUCGUAGAUUGGCUGAUUAGCAUUGUCUAACAAAUCAUAAAAUUGUUUGGCAUCUACAUUAGGUUCCUCAACAGCAUUACCAAUAUGCGUUUCAAGAAAUGCAUCAGUCACCAUCUCAUGCAUCCUAUCAUGAUCUAGACCUUGAUCAGAUUAAUAUACUGAUUAGGCUGAUGACCAUAAUUCGAUUCAUCAAAAAUAACAUGACUUUGAUAAUUACUACUACUACCAGCAUUCCCAUGAGUAUUACUGCCAUAUCAUUCUCCAUGUAGAUACCAAACAAAAUAUUGCAGCAUAAACCCUCUAUUUAAUAAAUGCGUCCACAUGGUUUUCGUUACUGUAUACCUUGUAUUCUUGCAUUUCAAACAAGGACAAAACAUCUUCUCGCUAUCUUCCGUUCUUUCCAUAUUUGUGGCCUGAUACAUGAAUAUUUCUAACCCGUUCUUGAAUUCUUCUGUCAACGCCCCAUCUGAAUCUAUAUGCAUAUACAUCUAGCUUCGUAGCUCGUAUAUAGACAUCUUGAAAAUAACUCAAAAAUACUAUCUCUUUUUAUUGUUUAGACAAUAAAAGAGAUGGUCUCUUGUGUCACAUGUAGCCGCGUGAAUGGAGUAAACCUUUUAAUAUUAUUACUUCUUCUUUCAAAGAAAUUACUACUAAUUCGGGUUUCCAGCAAUGGGCAACCCAAUAUAUCAGGUUUUUCAACACUAUACUAAGGUUUAAGAGACCUAAGAUGGGUCUCCAGGAUGCUGAUGCUCUUAUGUUUGAAUGAUGAUGUGUUGUGAAUGAAAGAAGGAAUGAAGAUGUAUUUAUAGAAAAAUUUCGGACUUUACGACGCUUUUACGACGAUUUUUUACAUCGCUUUUACAUCCAACCAUCAUAUUACGACGAUUUUACGUCGAUUGUGCGAUAAAAUAUUUCAUCGACAUUAGUUAGGUAAACAAGUUUUAAAUGUUCUUCACCUACCUUCUUUGUCGACGUAAAAUCUUUGUAACUGUACAUCGGAUUUGGAUCGUCGUAUAUUCGUCGUAAUGUUACAUCUAAUUUACGACGAUUUUGCAAUAAAUAUCAAAUCUCUAUUUAUCGAUGUAUAAUCGUCGUAAAGCGUCAUAAAUUAUCCGUCAAAGUUACGACGAUUUUUUCUUACGACGGUUUUACGACGUUUUGUUUUUUCCUCGUAAAAUCGUUGUAUAUUUGCGACGAUUUAUAAACCGUCGUAACAGACCGUCGGAAAAAUUUUUUUUUCUUGUAGUGGAAGGUAAGACAUCUAACAAACAUGAAAUUUGUGAUGCUGAAUCGCACAUUGAAAAAAAAAAUAUUUUUUUUGGAUUUCUUGAUACUUGGCUGAUCUUUUGGACUCAGAAAUUUGUCUUGUGCAUCAUAGACUCCUUGUUGGCUUCAAUUUGCAUCCUUUUUGAUGAUUUUACCUAUAAAGAAUUUCAAACAACAAAUAAAAAAAGUUUUAUAUCAAAAAGCACAAAACGAAUAAAAAUGCUUCGAUAAAAUAUAAAAAUCCAUAUUAAAAACAGUGAAAUGUUGAUUAUAUCAUAGAUGGAACAGAUUUUUGAGGAGGUAAUAUAAAUAAGUUCAUUUCUACGGAAUCAAUUCGUAUUUUUCUUAUUAUUUAAUUAGUAUUUGUUUUUUAGGUUGCCCAACAAAAAAGGCAGAGUUUUAGAUAAUGGGAUCUAUCUGAAAUAAUCAUGUCUCCUCAUCUUCCCCACUCCACAAUUUUGAGGAUCCAGUCAUGCUGCAGAACAUGUUAAAUGUUUCCCACAUUAAGCUCCACACUUUUGUGUGCAAAUGAUACAAUGCACUUUUUGGCAUAUUUGCCAAGAGUAACCUCAUAUUGGUGAGUGAAAUGAGAAAGCGUCAAAAGUAUUCAUCAAUAUCAGGCCGAGGGAUAAGUAGCCAGAUGCAGAGCGGACAGAAUUGGAGGGGAGAACUACAGCAGCUAUGGAUGCAGAGACUUUUGGGAAUUUCGAUAUUAACACUGCAGAUAAUUAGAUAUUAUCUAGCUUUAUUUGUAUUUUGAAUUUUAAUUUAUAUUUUCAAUGAAAUUUCUAAUUUUUUCUUUUGAUUAUAUUUUAUUGUAAUUUAAUUUGAAUAUAUAUAUAUAUAUAUAUAUAUAAAUUAUUGUGAAAGUCGAUGGAAAAUCUGUUAAAUAGCUGUUGAGGUGUACUAUAUACUCCAUAAAUGCAAACCAAGUUUGGUCCAUUUUAACUUAAAUUUUUAAUCUUCGACGGUUUAUUUAUGCAACUAGGCCCAUCUAACUUGGCCUAUUAUAGUUUUUUUCGGUUUACCUAGGGCCACCUCGGAACAGAAAUGAACUAUCAAGGCCUCUAAAGCUCACCCCAGCUAGGUCGGCGCAAAAAAGCCAGAAAAUAAAGACAAGUUCAACCAAAAAAUGAAGGUCUCUACGUCAGUUCCAAAGAAAAUAUGAAGUUUUCCUUAUUCAAAGUUAAGAAGAAUAAGGAAAUCCCUAAAGAUUAUCCCGACAUUAGCACAUAUAAUUAGGAGAGUCUUCCUUCAUUUAAGACAUCUACAAUUUUCACGAGCAGACCUAAGAGACCAAACUUAGAUUUUUUUUAGCUUAAGUUUCUUAGUUCUGUAAUUUUUUUUUUUCGAGAAUCUAAUUCUUGUACGUGCCAAAUUUGCUAAUAAAACGAGAUUUUCCGAUCUUUUUUACUCUUUAUUUAUUUGUUGAGAUUUCUAUAAACAGUAACGAUGGAUUCACAUUGAACAUGUUUACAAUGAAUUUACAUUGAUCUGUUCUAAGACGAGUUACCAUCGAUCUAGUUUCCAAUGCCUUACCAUCAAAUUUAUUACGAUGACUUCCCAACAAUAUUCACGAAAAUAUAAAAUAACUUUGUGUUCUUAAACCACUCUUGAAAAAUUAAAAUACUAAAUCUAUUUCAAUUCGCAAAAACUUUGUCAAUAUUUUUUCUAGAUCUUACUCGUUCUCUUUGAACAACAAAUUUUUCAGCUAUUAUCUUCGGUCUUUUCUUACUAAAGAUAAGCCAAAAUAUUUCUAUUUUUAUUAUUUACAAAUUUGUUGGUUGUAAUUCCAGUUAUAAAAUACCAAAGUUACAAAGAUAAUAAAAUUCAAAUUAAUUGAUUUCAUAUAUGUAUAUUAGGGACAUGUCAAUUUUUCAUAUGGUUUCAAAAUAUAUGAAGCAAUUAAGAAUUAUCUUCACAUUUCAUAUAUAAAAUGAAUCAAAAUUUUAUUGAUUUUAUAGAUAUAUUUUUAUGAUUCUUAAGAUAAUUACAUAUAAUUUAAGUAAUUAUAAAUAUAAUUCAAUAGUUGGACACAUGUAUUUUUUCACUAAUUCACAAAUGGUAAAAAUAAUGUAGCGUUCACUUCAUCUUUUAUAUAUAGAAAAAAAUCCAAUUUCAUUGAUUUUCUGGUUGUUUUUUUUUCCCUUAUUGACUUCUAUGUUUUCUAUGAUUCUUCAGAAAAAUAAAGUACAAAUUAAUUGAUUACAUAAUAUAAUUAUUGGACAUAUGUCAAUUUUUUUACAUUCUCUCUCAGAUGAUAUCAAACAAUGCAGAGUUCACAAAAUUAUUUCUUAUAUAAAAUGGAUCCAAAUUUAUUUUACCUUUAACUAUUUUAUGAUUUUUAAAUCAUUAAGUUUAAAGUAAUUGAUUUUAUGCAUGUUGAAAGUUAAACACAAUUCAAUUUCUCCAUAAUCUCAAAUAAUAUAGAGAGUUGACUUCAUUGUAGGAUGGAAUUUAAGUGUGGGUAAGAUAAUUGUAUUAAUUAACGAAACUUACCAUCAAAUUUUUUAAAAUAUGUUCAUUAAUGAGACGUUGAUUAGCAACAACUAUCAAAUUACUCUUCUCUUCUACCAUGACUGAACGACAACCACGAUCUUGUCGACCACCAUGAGCAUCACUACUAAUGAUAUGUCCUGCUGGAUGCAAAACACAUUUAUUGUGAUUUAUUAUACACCAAUUGGAUUCUACCAACAUAAAUCUGUUGAGCAAGAUCUGCCAUUAUAUCUAUGUACUCUUCUAUAGGCAAAAUAUCUGAUAUACGGGAAGAAGGGAUGUCAUCAUGAUUUAAAGCUUGAAACCCCAGAAAGCUAAACGGUAUGUGCCAUAGGAGAGGCCAAGAGGUUGAAACCUAAUAAACUUUGUAUAAUUGGUAAACCAGCAAGAAGCUGCCCAUUGUCAACAAAAAAUGUAGAAGCGAUAAAAUGAGUUUUCAAACAAAAAUAUUUUUCUAGUGUUAAUAUUGAUAGGUACAAGGUGAAUUUAGUAGCUGAAGGCUUUUAUCAACUAUAUGGGCCCAAUUACUUUGAAAAAUAUUAUCCGAUCAUCAAAUCAAGUAUUUUGAAACGUUCAAUCUGGUCAUCAAAUUCACCACUAUUUGUUUGAUUCUAGAAGUUGCAGUGAGUCCUUCAUGGUGCAUUUGUCAACUUGAUGUCAAUAAUACCUUCUCUAAGGCAACCUAUCAAAAGAAGUCUAUGUUACCCUUAUCAUGCUUAUCGCAUUAAAAAAACUAAAAAAAAACUAUUUAUGAUUUUAAGUAAGCAUUAUGGAAGAUUUAGAUAUAUCAACUCUUGUGAGAAGGGCCACGUCAGCAAGGAGGCGAUCACAUUGGCGAUUGGAGAUUUAGGGUUUCUGGAGCUUUCAGGCCACGCAAGGACGAUGGCGGCGCCGGAGCAGGGCGCUGCGUCGUCAGGAGGGUUAGAGGAGGCGAUGAAGAAGAUCGAGGGAGAUUCUGCUGCUGCGAGGGAGACGUCACUGAGCGAGGGUUUGGAGAUUGUUGAGGUUUUGUCAAAGGAAUCUUCACAAAAUCCCAAUAAGGUGGUCGAUCAGGAUCGAUCGAGUUUGGAGGAAGGAAAGCUGGAGAAGGGUAGAUCGGAGAUUCAGGUUGAGUCAGUUCCGGUUACCAGUGAUGUUUCUGGGAGUGCAGGUGUUCAAGGGGUGGGUGUGGAUAAGUCGGGCAAGUCUUUGGCAACUGUGGCGUCGUGAAGCUCUAGGUUGCACAAGUACGCAAUCAUGGUGGAGGAAGUGGAUGGUGUUGAUACUAUACAUGUUCCUGAUAGCGUUUUUGAGAAUGCACCUCCUCUUUGGGAGGAUUGCUUGGUGAGAAAGUUUGUUUCAAAAGCUCCUCAUGUGGGUUUGAUUCACAUGACGGUAAAUAAGAUUUGGACUCUUGGUGACUGAUAACACCGUAUUUUGACUACUUUUAUGGAUCAUUUUGAAAUACUUUUUCUAUGUUUUUAAUUGCUUUUAAGUACUUUUAUUACGUUUUUCUAGUAUUUGUAGUUCCAAGACUCUUUUCAGGUAACUUAGGGAAAAGCUUAACAAAAUGGAUAGAAAACCAGAUUUCAGCUCAGAGUCAAACCGUCAUAAGUUCACCCCUGAUUGAAGGCCUUCUCACCGUCUGAUCCAGCUCAAAUUUGGAGACCUUAAAGAUGAAAGUAUCAGCUUUCCAGUGCACUUUACAGCUUGGCAAUCCAACGGUUCAAUCAAAAGAUACGCGAAGAGCAAUAUGUCCCGUAAACCAGCCGGCAAGAACUUCCACCCGCGGCCAACAAGCAAUUUCCCGCGGUCAGGAGCAUCCCGACCGCGGCAAACCACUCAUUUCCCGCGGUCAGAGCACUCCCGACCGCGGCCAUCAACCUCCGAGCCCAAAAGCCCAUUUCUGAAGCCCACAAUGAUUCCCUCAUUUGGAGAAACCCUAAGUGACGUCCAGAGCACUAUAAAUACAUGUUUUAGGAACCCUAAUCGAUAUCUAUUGAUGUUGUGUUGUGUGUGGGUGUCAAGUUUUACCCUAAUUUAAAUCAAUAGCCGCAAGUGCACAGCUGAUCGAUUGUAGUACUUAGGGAUCAAAUCCACAGGGAAGGAGGAUCUUUUUCUGCAAAAAGCCUUUGAAAUAAGUUAAAGUAAGGAAGUCUAGAACAAAAAACGGUUUAGUAGAGGUUUGGUAGUGUGUUUAAAAUCUAAAAAACGAAAUAUUAAAAGAGAAUACGGAAAUGAAAUGACGUAAUAACUAAACUUAAUGAAAAUUGCUAAAAAUGAUAAAAACAUAUAUUCUAAUGCUUAAAUGAAAAUGAACUAAAAAGAAAAGACAAUAUUGAACUAAAGCUUUAAAGAAAAUCGGUGUAAAUCAAUGGGAAAGAAAGCGUUGGGGUUCAGGGAAGUUUUCUCAGAGGUACGAACGAUUCAAAACAUUGCUAGAGAGGAAAAUUUGUAAGAUCUUAGCUUAAACUUUUCGAACUGGAGUCACAGACGUAUGAAUACGCCACUGUCGUGAUCAUAGACAACUAUCUCUCUCAACCCUGACCAGUAGGUUUCCACUCUGGCCCUGGAAGAGAAGAGAUGCAUUAUGUUUAAGACUCGUCCUAAUUUACAAAUCGCCCAUAGGUAGGUUUCCACUCCUAUGUUUGUUUUGCUCUCCCAAACUAGAUCUGAUACCUGAUGAACACUUUCGUGUCACCAAGCAUCUGGAUCAGAUUGUAGUUCAUGACGCUACUCUCAUGCAGUAAAAACGAAUUCAGAAGAAAAAGUUCUAAGAUUCGGCUCAAAAGCUCAUGGAAUCCUCAUCGAACAUAUAAAUCCCCAUCGAAAAUCCCUUAAUCCCAACAAUAAAACUACUCAGACAUGAUGAACGAAAUCAAAGACAUAGUAUUAAUAAGUAGAAUAGAAAACGAAAUUGAAAAAGAAAGAACAAGGGUUCAAGAGAACAAAUCUCUCUCUCCCUAAAAGCUAAAGCAAAAACAAUCAAAGUAUGAAGUAAUGAUAGAUGAUAUUCGGGUUACACCAUUUCUAGGGCUCUUAAGACAUGUAUUUAUAGUGCUCAAGACUUCUCUGGACGUCACUUUAGGGUUUCUCCAAAUGUGGGCUUCAGAAAUGGGCUUUUUGGACUCAGAGGUUGAAGGCCGCGGUCGAGACAAGUGUGACGGCGGUGGAUGAGGGGUUUGCCGCGUUCGGGGAUGCUCCUGACCCGCGGGAAAAUGCUUGUUGGCCGGCGGGUGGAAGUGCUUUGUCGGCUGGUUUACGGGACAUCUUGCUCUUCGCGUAUCUUUUGAUUGAACCCGUUGGAUUGCCAAGCUGUAAAGGGCACUGGAAAGCUGAUCCUUCCAUCUUUAGGCUCCAAUUGGAGCUGGAUCAGACGGGGAGAGGUUGGGCAUUCCUUUGCAACUUCUGACGGUUUGACUCUGAGCUAAAAUCUGGUUUUCUAUCCAUUUUGUUAAACUUUUCCCUAAGUUACCUGAAAAGAGUCUUGGAACUACAAAUAUAGAAAAACGUAAUAAAAGUACUUAAAAGCAAAUAAAAACAUAGAAAAAGUAUUUCAAAACGAUCCAUAAAAGUGGUCAAAAUACGGUGUUAUCAUCUAUCGAUCAUCUUCUAUCUUUCUUAUUUUUUUAGAAUACUUGUUUUGCUUUAGCUUUUAGGGAGAGAGAGAUUUGUUCUCUUGAACCUUGUUCUUUCUUCUUCAAUUUCGGUUUCUAUUCUACUUACAUCAGGUAUCAGAUCUAGUUUGGGAGAGCAAAACAAACAUAGGAGUGGAAACCUACCUAUGGGCGAUUUGUGAAUUAGGACGAGUCUUAAACAUAAUGCAUCUCUUCUCUUCCAGGGCCAGAGUGGAAACCUACUGGUCAGGGUUGAGAGAGAUAGUUGUCUAUGAUCACGACAGUGGCGUAUUCAUACGUCCGUGAUUCCAGUUCGAAAAGUUUAAGCUAAGAUCUUACAAAAUUUCCUCUCUAGCAAUGUUUUGAAUCGUUCGUACCCCUGAGAAAACUUCCCUGAAGCCCAACGCUUUCUUCUCCAUUGUUUUACACCGAUUUUCUUUAAAGCUUUAGUUCAAUAUUGUCUUUCCUUUUUAGUUCAUUUUCAUUUAAGCAUUAGAAUAUCCGUUUUUAUUAUUUUUAGUCAUUUUCAUUAAGUUUAGUUAUUACGUCAUUUUUAAUUUCCGUAUUCUCUUUUAAUAUUUCGUUUUUACAUUUUAAACACACUACCAAACCCCCACAAAACCGUUUUUGUUCUAGACUUCCUUACUUUAACUUAUUUCAAAGGCUUUUUGCAGGAAAAGAUCCUCCUUCCCUGUGGAUUUGAUCCCUAAGUACUACAAUCGAUCAGCUGUGCACUUGCGGCUAUUGAUUUCAAUUAGGGUAAAACUUGACACCCCCAACACACCACAACAUCAAGUUUUUGUCGCUGUUGCCGGGGAAGGCACGCGUUUUCUUUUCUGCAAAACCCCGAGAAAGGUUAAUAAAUCGACUCUAGAACCCCUUUUCUGCAACUUUCCAUUUUUCGGUUAUUUUGUUUCCAUUUCAGAAGAUAUGGAUCCUAUAAAUCGAAAUAUACACUAUGAGGAAGGUUUCUAUAACACUCCUCAAGCCACCAGACGCAGAGAGAAGCAUCUACGCGAUCUCUACGAAAAAACUCAAAGCGAAGACAACAGAACGUUCCAGAAGGAGCCCUACGCACCUCAAAUGGCAAACCCUAGAUACUCUAUGUAUCGCCUACCUCACCAAGUUCUCCAACAAGAUGAGAACGUCCAGCUCAGCAACAGACUGAGUCAGCUCGAAGGCGUGAUCAGACAGUUCAUAGAAGCUCAAGCAACCUCUACAACUGCUCUAAACGAAAGGAUUGAUGGGAUAUCGAAACUUUUCAAUGAAAAAAUCGAUAACCUAUCCUCACAAAUCAAUUCAAUAGAAGAACGUGCAACCAAGGAUGCAGCUAUGAUUGCUAACAGGUUCAACAGCAUGGAGGAAGAGCAAGCAAAGCACAACUAUGAGCUUCGCAACACCAAAAACAAAGUCAUGGACCUGGAUUUCAAGCUUGAUGACGUGGACAAAGCCCUAAACGAAGCGAAGAACGAGUCUUAUGACUUUACAGUCAAAGUUUCAGAGAAGGUGUACAAAGUCAUCAACAAAACCGAAGAGCUUGACUCAACCAUGGACAAAGUAGUCUAUGCUCUUGAUGAAGUUGAAGAAAAGGUUGAGGAGAUCAUGCAAGGACUUGGAGAGCAUACCCCAGCAACCAAAACUAAAGACUCAAGUCCUGAGAGGAAGUACAUCAAGCCAGAAGACCUAGGAGACCACCCAAGAGGCAAAGGAGGAAGCAACAGCAGCAGAGCAGCUCGGAGACAAACUCCCGUGGUCGCGUUGGCUCCGACCGCGGCCAACAAGCGCUCCCCUGCAGUCGUGAUGGGUCUGCCCGCAGCCCAUGGUCGCUUCUCCGUGGUCGUGUCAUCUGCAGUCAAGGCCAACCGUAAAAACGUUCCAAAACAGCCCCGUUCAGCUCAUACAAGCAUUUGUACGUCUUGUACACCUCCUGGGAUGACUAAACCACUUCAUCAACAACUGGUUUGCUCCAUAAGCACCCAAAGAUCUGAAGAAGAGGACAAGCCAUGGCCUUGCAACAUGGCUUUGUCUUGUGAAGAUGAGUAUGAAGAGCAAUACUCAGAAGAUGAAGAGUAUGAGUUGUUUGUAGAAGAUCCAAACGCAGGAUAUUCCUCAGAAGACGACUCAAGAGAAAUUCAAUGGAUCACCAACAACAUCAGUAGAGAGAAGCUAAUGGAGUUCAACAACGUAGUCAGGUCAUUCCCUGCUCAUUUAAGCUUUGAUGAAAUCUGGAAACUUGGUCGUUUGCAAGUCUUUUUCAGGUAUUGCAAGGAGUUUAAAGAGGAUAUCCAUAGAUACUUUAUGAGAGCUCGAUACAUGACAACACCAGAAGCAGCUGUCUAUGCGAUUCACCUCAAAAACCCGGAAGACUGCAGCCACUACACCAACAAAAUCAGCAAGGAAAAGCUCGACGAAUUCAAUGAUGUGGUUCGAAAUUUGCCUGAAGGAAUCACGUUUGCCAGAGCUUGCAAGGACUUCAUGAUAGGCCACUACUUCUGUGAGAGCAAAGAAUCAAUCCCUGAGAUAGAGGACUUGUUCAAUCAUGCAAGAAGAGGUAAACCUGUUCGAACACUUCACAAAAUCGAUGGUGCAGGUCAGUUUCUUAUCUCUUGUUCAAUUAGAGGAGAAAUGUUUAAAAACGUGCUAUGUGAUUCUGGAGCUUGUCUUAACAUGAUGUCCAAGGCAAUUGCUUUGAGACUUGGUAUUAGACACCUGCGCAGGACUAGAGCAAAGAUUAAUCUAGCUGAUGAUUCUAAUGCAACACCUCAAGGAAUAGCUCAUGAAAUUCCUUUGAGAAUAGGAGAUUGCAUAGUGCCUAUCGACUUCUACAUUGUCGAAACGAGAGAUGCAACUUAUCCAGUGAUUCUCGGAUGGUCUUUUCUAGCAACUUCCGGAGCUAUAAUGGACUGGCCAAACCGGAGGAUUUCAUUUGCUAAUAUCGACAAAGAUGUCUUCACAGAAGCUGUCCCAUACAACAGCAAAGCAGGAAAACGUUCUGCAGCAGAAGAGUUUGAAGAAGAACUUUGGAGUGACGAAGAACCUGCUAAGCAAAGCAAGGAGAUGUCGAAAAAGACUUGUCUCAGGACAAGGUCUUCUCCAUCAGACUAAGCAACGUCCAACACCAAAAGUCGAGCUAAACGACUUAAAACAAAAGCGCUUAAUUGGAGGCAACCCAUUUAGGUAUUGUUUUCUUUAGGAUUUUUCUUUCUUUUUCUUUUGAUAUUUUUAUUUUUUCUUAGUUUCAGGUGUUUCUUAUAAAACAAAAAGCCAAAAAAAAAAAAAAAAAAACCAGAAAAAACCAAAAAGAAGGAUGGUACCUGACUGCUCGGCCCAGCAGGAACCAAGGAGAAGCAGGAAGAGGCCGCGAUAUAAGCCCCCGCGGUCGCAGACGUUCUGACCGCGGGAAACGACCCAUCGACCGCGGUCGCGUGAAUAUGACCGCGACCAAGUGUUUGUUUGCCGCGGUCGUACAGCCCCUGACCGCGGCACUUAGUCGUUGAAAUCCAAACCCGACCCAAACCACCCCUUUCACCUCAUUUCACCUCACCAAUCACCCUCCACCUCAUUCAUCACCUUCCACCACCUUAAUCACCACCUAAUCACCUUCCCAAACCCCUUCGAAUGAAUCCGGUUCAUCUCCACCAGCAUCCCGGAUCCAGGUAAGUUCUCUUUGUCCUUACCAAUUCGAUUAUCUAUACAUCUUUCUCAUCCAAUCUCGACUUGUUUCACAAUGAGGACAGUGUGAUUUAAGUCUGGGGGAGGAUUACAUCCCUUUCUAACCACUUUUCUUUCAUGAGUCUUGCAUUAUCUACACUUUUUUCAUUUUCCUUAAAGUUUUUCAUAAUCGGUUUUCAAAACAAAAUACGUUUUAAAGGGAAUGGUGAACAUGAAUCAAUGAUAGUUGACUGUGUGCUUUAGACUGUUCCUAGUGACAUGCUCAUUCAUGAUUUAGGACUAGACUAGGCGGUAGCUAAGCACAUUUGAAACGAAGUACCCCAGAGGAAUUUGAAUGAUUUCGAUUUAGAUGAAGGGAUACACUAGCUCUGUUUUAUUUGGACUUAAUUUGGACUUAAUUUUCUCAUUGAAGCAUUAGAUCAGGGAAACGAAUCAUACAUUCAGGACUCCUUUAUCCUUUUACCACUCUCUGUUGAUCCUGAAUGGCUAGUUCAUCUUUAGCUAGUUCCCCACCUUAACCAAUCCUCUUUCAAACCACAUGCACUCUUGUUUUCUAUUGUCUUAUAUGCAGAUAAGUGCAAAAACGUUGGAGAGAAAGAGUAACGACGCAGUUUUCAGUCACCAAGGACAGAGACCUACGAUUUGCCGGAAAAGUUCCCGGAGGGAUUCAACACAAGAGAAAGCUCAGUUUGCCUUAGAAAAAUCUCAAAUUUUGGUACAAUCUCGUCCUCUAGACUCUCUCUCUUUAAAAGGCAUUUCCUUUCCAAAAAAAAAAAAAAGUUCCGAAAAUAAGAAGAAAAAGGAGAUAAAAGCCUUAGAGAGUCUAGAGAGGUCGAAUUUUAAGUCCCAAGGCAACUAGAGUUUGAUUUUAUGGAGUUUUUUGAGAUUGUUCCCUGAUUCCCGAAAAGAAUCUAAGUCUGGGGGAACAGCUGUUUACAACAAAGGAGGAAGGAUUAUGCAACAACAUUUGGCAAGAAGAAGUGACUGAAAAACUGUGGUCAUCAACAGGUCCUUAUCUCUCUUGCGGUUUUGCAUAUUAUCUUGCAUCCUCCAGAUCUUCAGGUAACCCGAAACACUUUAACUCCACCACUUAAACAGCCCUUUAAUGCCAAACGCCGUCUACCCUGGAUGAUGUCUUUAAUGAGAACUCACUAUUGAACUUAAUGAAUGUAGAGAGCUAGCUGACUGGAAUCAAGAUUUAAAUUGUUUAAGUUUUGCAUGACGGAAAAAGUGGACUAGUAUCUCUUGUGCUUUGGUGAGAAUUUUCUAGACUAAGUUGUGGAUUGAUCCACUAUCUUUGGUCCUAGUUUAGGAGUUCAUGAGAUUUGUGCAUUCCCUAUUUUUGUUUUUACUUAACCAGUUUAGGCUUUUGCUUUGUUUGAGGACAAACAAAGGUUUAAGUCUAGGGGAGUUGAUAACACCGUAUUUUGACCACUUUUAUGGAUCGUUUUGAAAUACUUUUUCUAUGUUUUUAAUUGCUUUUAAGUACUUUUAUUACGUUUUUCUAGUAUUUGUAGUUCCAAGACUCUUUUCAGGUAACUUAGGGAAAAGCUUAACAAAAUGGAUAGAAAACCAGAUUUCAGCUCAGAGUAAAACCGUCAGAAAUUCACCCCUGAUUGGAGGCAUUCUCACCGUCUGAUCCAGCUCAAAUUUGGAGACCUUAAAGAUGAAAGUAUCAGCUUUCCAGUGCACUUUACAGCUUGGCAAUCCAACGGUUCAAUCAAAAGAUACGCGAAGAGCAAGAUGUCCCGUAAACCAGCCGGCAAACCACUCAUUCCCCGCGGUCAGAGCACUCCCGACCGCGGCCAUCAACCUCCGAGCCCAAAAGCCCAUUUCUGAAGCCCACAAUGAUUCCCUCAUUUGGAGAAACCCUAAGUGACGUCUAGAGCACUAUAAAUACAUGUUUUAGGAACCCUAAUCGAUAUCUAUCGAUCAUCUUCUAUCUUUCUUAUUGUUUUAGAAUACUUGUUUUGCUUUAGCUUUUAGGGAGAUAGAGAUUUGUUCUCUUGAACCCUUGUUCUUUCUUCUUCAAUUUCGGUUUCUAUUCUACUUAUUAAUACUAUGCUUUUGAUUUCGUUCAUUAUGUCAGAGUAGUUUUAUUGUUGGGAUUAAGGGAUUUUCGAUGGGGAUUUAUAUGUUCGAUGAGGAUUCCAUGAGCUUUUGAGCCGAAUCUUAGAACUUUUUCUUCUGAAUUCGUUUUUACUGCAUGAGAGUAGCGUCAUGAACUACAAUCUGAUCCAGAUGCUUGGUGACACGAAAGUGUUCAUCAGGUAUCAGAUCUAGUUUGGGAGAGCAAAACAAACAUAGGAGUGGAAACCUACCUAUGGGCGAUUUGUGAAUUAGGACGAGUCUUAAACAUAAUGCAUCUCUUCUCUUCCAGGGCCAGAGUGAAAACCUACUGGUCAGGGUUGAGAGAGAUAGUUGUCUAUGAUCACGACAGUGGCGUAUUCAUACGUCCGUGACUCCAGUUCAAAAAGUUUAAGCUAAGAUCUUACCAAUUUACUCUCUAGCAAUGUUUUGAAUCGUUCGUACCCCUGAGAAAACUUCCCUGAACCCCAACGCUUUCUUUUCCAUUGAUUUACAUCGAUUUUCUUUAAAGCUUUAGUUCAAUAUUGUCUUUCCUUUUUAGUUCAUUUUCAUUUAAGCAUUAGAAUAUUCGUUUUUAUCAUUUUUAGUCAUUUUCAUUAAGUUUAGUUAUUACGUCAUUUAAUUAUCGUAUUCUCUUUUAAUAUUUCGUUUUUACAUUUUAAACACACUACCAAACCCCCACAAAACCGUUUUUGUUCUAGACUUCCUUACUUUAUACUUAUUUCAAAGGCUUUUUGCAGGAAAAGAUCCUCCUUCCCUGUGGAUUCGAUCCCUAAGUACUACAAUCGAUCAGCUGUGCACUUGCGGCUAUUGAUUUCAAUUAGGGUAAAACUUGACAACUCUCGACAUCAAGUCACCACCACCAUCAGUGACAAGUCUAAAAAGGUUUAGGUUUUUGUUGUGGAUGACAUAACUAUAAAGUUCAAGAUCGCAGACCCGAGAAUCAGAGCUAGAGUUUUGAGAAGGGGGAUGUGGAGUAUUAAAAAUGUUCCUAUGAUCAUGUCUAAAUGGAGCCCUGUUGUGGAAGAAGCUCAGCCGGAAAUCACAUCUAUUCCAAUGUGGGUGGUGCUAAGAAACGUUCCGCAGUUGAUGUUCUCUUGGAAGGGUUUGAGUUUCCUGACUAGCCCUCUUGGGGAACCGAAGAAGCUACAUUAAGAUACCUUAUGGGCAAAGAAUUUUGAAGAAGCUAAAGUGUUUGUUGAAGUAAACCUGCAACAUAAGUUGCCAGACUCUUUCACUUUUAAAUCCUCGGCAGGGAUGGAUACUAUGGUUUAUUAUGAGUACCCCUGGUAGCCUCCGAGAUGCACGUCUUGUGCUAAAUGGGGCCAUAAUGCAGUGGAUUGUAAAGCUGUUCCGGGUGACAAGAUCAUUCUUCGCCGUGAUCCCCAAACGCCUUUGCAAAGUAAGAGUGCAGGGAAAAAGACAGGGGCAGUGGAGCUCAAGACACCGCUGCAGAGUCAGACUACAGGAACAAUGAUGGUUGAAGUGGAUCCUGGGGUGAGUUUGGAUGUACCGGCCACAACUCCAGGUGGGUCACAGAGUGUUAAGAGACAUGAAAGUGGUGUAAAUCUGGUGACAGACAUGGUGGCGAGUAAGAGAGCUGGCAAAGAAGUUGUGACGCAGGAGACAGGGGAGUGGGAAACAGUAAAAUCACCCACAAGAAAAGCUCGGAAACCUGUGGAAGAGGAGGAGAGGGUGGAAGUUCAGGGGUCUGGAUCUCGGUUUGCAUCAUUGGCAAAUAAUGACACGGACAGAGAGGAAGAUCACGAGAAGUGUGCUGACGCUGAAAGUGAAAAGGACAAAACAAAGGAUGGUUUGGACUUGGAUUUAGAGCAGCAGAGCGUACAGUUCAACCAAGGGAAUGAAGAUUAUACACCAAAUGUAGGUGGGAGAGUCUCUCUUCCGAGAGGGUCAAAGACUACUCACCGAUUUGUUACACCGGUAAUUGCCCCGACUUCUAAGACUGUGGGCAAGAGAACAAAGUCUCGACAAACCAAACCAUCCCAAUAAUGACAGUUUUUUUCUGGAAUUUGAGGGAUUUUAACAAAAAAAGAAACAUAAGAUUAUGAGAAACUGGUGGAGAGAGAAAGAUUUUCUGUUUGGGGGUCUAAUAGAAACUCGAGUUGUUGAAAACAAAGCAGAAGGUAUUAUUGCGAAGGUUUUUCCGAAUUGGUCAUCCUUGUGCAAUUACGAGCAUCAUCGAUUGGGAAAAAUUUGGGUGGUUUGGCAGGAAUCAGUUCGAGUUUGGGUGGUUUGGCAGGAAUCAGUUCAAAACUAGUCAGAUGAUAACAGUGUUGGUGAAACUGCAAGGGGUGGAUGAAUUUUUAUGUUCUUUUGUCUACGGGUCUAAUUUUUUGGAGGAGAGGAAACUUCUAUGGAGUGAUCUUUAGAGUUUUGCCCAAUCUCCAAUAUAUAGGGGAAUGAAAUGGAUGGUGAUGGGGGAUUUGAAUGAGAUUUUAGCGAGGGUGGAGCAUUCUGGUGCAGACUCAAGUGCAGUAAUUUCGAGUGGCAUGGAGGAUUUCCAGAAUGUGGUUCGGAUUUGUGGCCUUAGUGAUAUGGGUUCGCAUGGUCCUAUGCUCACAUGGUGUAACAAGAGAUCAGAAGGUUUGAUUUGUAAGAAGCUUGAUCGACUGCUGGUAUAUGAUGUUUGGUUAGAUCAUUUUCCCAGAUCUUAUUGCAUGUUCGAAGCUGGUGGCUGUUCGGAUCAUCUCCGAUGUAGGUUCUAUGUCGAUGAGGGAAGUGUCAGACCGAAAAAACCUUUUAAGUUUGCUAAUGUGAUCGCUUCUACUCCUAAAUUCAAGGAGGCUCUACAGGAAUAUUGGGAUAACACAGUUGCUUUGUUCGAUUCGACUUCUGCUCUGUUUCGUCUCUCAAAAAUACUAAAGCUGCUGAAGCCUAUUGCUCGAUCGAUAUCUCGAGAUCUUUUGAGCGAUAUUUUUCGACGUGUUAAGGAGGAUUAUACGAUACUAUGUGGAAAGCAAGAACAGAUAUUUAAUGAUCCCUCUGCAAUUCAUCGACAAGAAGAAACAGAGGCUUUUGCUCGGUGGGAGAGGAAUGCGAACUUGGAAGACAAUUAUUUGGCUCAGAAAGCUAAGUUACAUUGGCUUAAUGUUGGUGAUCGAAAUAACAGAUUUUUUUAUCGAGCGGUGCAAACAAGGAAGGCGAGAAAUGGUAUUCGAGAGUUGGAGCAAAAUGGGGUUGUCAUCACGGGUAAUAAUGAGAUCAAGGAGGUGGCGGUAAGCCAUUUUCUGAGUUUCUGAACUUUGUUCCGGAGGAGUUGGAAGAGACGAGGGUGGGUGAUCUGCGCGAGCUCAUUGACUUUCAAUGCUCUUUGGAGGAUUGCAUUCAUCUUUUACGGCUUGUGACGGCUGAGGAAGUCAAAGCUGUUCUUUUUGCAAUGGCUUCUAAUAAAUCGCCGGGUCCUGAUGGUUAUACAGUUGAGUUCUUCAAGGAGAGCUGGUCGACUGUAGGUGCUGAUUUUGUGGUUGGAAUUCAAUCAUUUUUUAGUAAAGGGUUUAUGCCGAAAGGAGUUAAUUCGACGAUCUUGGCUCUUAUACCGAAAAAAGAAGGGGGCAACGCAAAUGAGGGAUUUCAGACCUAUCUCUUGUUGUAAUGUGCUGUACAAAGUCAUUUCCAAGAUUCUUGCCAACAGAUUAAAACAAAUUCUUCCGAAGUUUAUCGCAUCCAAUCAAUCGGCUUUUGUCCAAGAUAGGUUUCUCAUUGAGAAUCUAUUACUGACAUCAGAACUGGUGUCUGGUUAUCAUAAGAGUUCUAUCUCUCCUAGAUGUGCUUUAAAGAUUGAUAUUUCAAAAGCGUUUGAUUCAGUGCAGUGGGGUUUUUUGCUUAACACUUUGGAAGCACUGAAUAUUCCAUCGGAAUUUGUUCACUGGAUUAGGCUUUGUAUUACAACGGCCACUUUUUCAGUCCAAGUGAAUGGUGAGCUUGCUGGUUAUUUUGGGAGCUCAAGGGUUUGCGACAAGAUUGUUCCCUAUCUCCUUAUCUGUUUGUGGUUUGUAUGAACGUCUUAUCCAAGUUGCUUGAUAAGGCUGCUCUGAAUCGAAGAUUUCGAUACCUCCCGAAGUGCGAAAACCUUGGCAUGACACAGCUUUGUUUCGCCGACGAUUUAAUGGUUUUCUCUGACGGGUCGCUGAGCUCGCUUGAGGGGAUUAUGGGAGUGUUUGAGGAUUUUUCGAAUAUAUCAGGUCUAAAUAUCAGUGUUGAGAAAUCAACUUGCUAUCUUGCAGGUGUAUUGGAGACGGAUAGAACUACUGCUACGCAGAGAUUUGCUUUUGAUUUUGGGACCUUACCAGUGCGGUACUUAGGUUUACCACUAUUGACGAAGAAGAUGAGGAUGCUUGAUUAUGAACCUCUUAUAGACAGACUUAAAACUAGAAUGAAUUCCUGGACAGCUCGAACACUGUCUUUUGCUGGAAGAUUGCAGCUACUUCAAUCGGUUAUAGCAAGCACCACCAAUUUUUGGAUUUCGGCUUUCCGAUUACCACUUGGUUGUGUUGGGGAAAUAUAACGUCUCUGUUCAGCGUUCUUGUGGUCGGGGCCUGACCUCAAACCGAGGAAGGCCAAGAUAGCAUGGGGGGAUGUUUGCAAGCCGCGAAUUGAAGGUGGUCUGGGUCUGAAGAGCAUUCGGGAAGCCAAUGAUGUUAGUGUUUUGAAGUUGGUGUGGAGACUUAUUACGGCUGAUUCUCUAUGGGUUCAAUGGACAAGGGCUAAUCUGAUGCGACAAGAGUCUAUAUGGCUAACACCAGAGCCUACAAACUCUUCUCCGAGAUCUUGGAUGUGGAAGGAAAUUCUGCGAUCUCGUCAGAAAGCUGCAAUGUUUCUGCGAGUGGACAUUGGUAAUGGUAGAUCGACUCUGUUCUGGCAUGAUAUUUGGUCGCCUUUGGGAAAAAUCCUCGAUUUACAUGGAGCUCGAGGGAUUAUCGACAUGGGAAUCAAGGAGGAUGCAACGAUGGAUGAUGUAAUUAAUUCACACCGAAGUCGGUCAGCAGUGCUCAAUUCGGUCGAAGAAGCUAUUGAUGCGGCGAAGUUGAGAUACAGAGCCAAUACAGAUGAUCUCUUCUUAUGGAGGAAAAAGGAUGACUGUUACAGAUUUUUUUUCGACACAAAAGCUACCCGUGAGCAGCUUAGAACUCAAGCGCCUCGAGUUACUUGGUUGAAGGGCUUGUGGUUCACUCAUUGUUGCCCGAAAUACAGCUUCAUGGCUUGGUUAGCGGUGCAUGAUCGUUUAUCUACGGGGGAUAGAGUGCACAGGUGAAAUCCUAAUGUCUCUACUGCAUGUGUUUUAUGCUAGGAUCCAUAUGAAACCAGAAGCCAUCUUUUCUUCUCGUGUCCCUUCUCGUCGCAGAUAUGGGAACAACUCGCAAAAGGUCUACUUCAGCAUGAUUACUCCAACAAUUGGUCGGUAAUUGUUGGUUUAAUUUCUCGUCCGUUUAGGGAUAGAAUACAGACUUUUAUCCUCAGAUACUUAUUCCAAAUGGCACUUUAUAUUCUUUGGAGAGAAAGGAAUGACCGUCGGCAUGGUUCUAUCCCAUUCAAUCCAAAUCGGUUGAUCAAAUUCAUUGUAAAGGGCAUCAGAAAUCGAUUCAGUGAAAUUAGGCUUUUAGCUGAUACGAGGUAUGAGGAGGGUCUUCAGGUCUGGCUCAGCACGAGAGAUUAGUUUUUUAAGCUUCUAAAGUUUAUAACUUUGAUGUAAUUUUCUUUUAAAACAAAACUGCUCGCAUCUUUGAUGUAGAAAAUGUUGUUAUUUUUUUGGAUUCGAAUAAAUUUAACAUUCAUUCAAAAAACAAGUAAGCAUCAUGAGCAUGGUACCAAGAGAUUAAGACAUACCUCUUCGUUACCGGUUUUCUUAACUUACUAUACUUCUUUUUUCAUUUAUCAUAAAGGAUGUGAUUUCCUCUGCACCCUAGUAUAUGUUGAUAGUCAGUAUUUAUUAACUUUUUUGCAGAAAUUUUCUCACUCAAAAAUCAUAAAGACUACUUAAACUAUUUAUUGGAAGCUAAGGCCACACAUACACCAAAUGGACUACAUCUAAUUCUUAAUGAAUAAAUCAACGAUCUACUCGUGAAAACAAACAUGCCAGAUUCAAAAACAGUCUCCACUCCAUUGUCAUUAAUACCAAAGAUGUCCAUCAUCACCUUCGAUACUACUUUUGAUAUUCGACUGAGUAAGGGAUUGUUCUCGAUAGCCUCCAAUAUCUCAAUUUCACACACUUCAAGAAUAUUGGUUAUUAAUAGCAUUAGAAGAUAGCAUUUUUGGUAAUUCUGCUAUGGUUAUAAUAACUCUUGUUUUGAUAUAGCAUUUGUAUAUUUGUAAACGCUAUGAUAUAGUGUUAGAUUGAAAAACUAAAAUUUUUGCAUGUUUUUAUAAGUUGAAGGUUCUCUUUAAUAGUGAAUAGUCAUUGAAAGUGUCAUAAUAUGUUUAGACAGAAAAAAUAAUUUCCACUCCCCCGACACUUAGAAAAAAUUAGCCUCCAAAAAUUCAUUUGGGCUCCAUAUCAAAAAAUCCCCAAUUACUCACUGACCUAAAAUUUUCAUCUCCAUUUUAAGUGUUCUUCCCCUAAUCCGACACUCUCCCACAACAACCACAAGGUUUUCAUCCCUAUUUUGUACACUUUUCUCAUUUUACCCUAACUCCAUUCAGCUUCCUUGUAAUCUUUUUCCUCUUUUGCUCGAUUUUGACUAUCUGAAUCUCUCAAUCAGAAAACCCUUUUGAAACCCACUAAGGUGAACAACUUAGUCAGCUAUUCAUUCUCGUUCCUGAAGAAAUCCCAUGUGAAUCCCAUUAAGCUAAGGUGAAAUUGAGUUCCUUUUAUUUUUUCAUUUGUAACGCUUUAGUCUUCUUGUAUGUUGAACUGAAUUUUACUUGUUGAUUUGCAGGAAGGUUUCAUUUAUGCGAAAGAGAAGAAACUCUAUCAGGUAUCUCAGUCAAAUUUGAUUUCUACCAGAUUCUAUUGUUGUUGUGGCUAAAUGUGAGUAUCUUUGGUAAUUAGUUGUAUCCACAUUUUGGUCAGAGCUGUUGUAACAUGGAUAAAGCUUGGGUCUGGUUGCCAAGGUACUAACUCGAUUGUUUGUACUCAUUUUCAUUGAUCGAAGAUUCUGCAUUAAAUUUUGUCACUUUCUAUUAACUCAUAGGAAUAACCUUGAAUAUGAGGAAAGAUCAACUAAGUUUGUGUCUGAUUCAGCGAGAAGUUUGGGUUAUCCAUCAGAUAUGUUCUGUCCUUGCAUUAAUUGUCGAAAUGUUUGCCAGCAGUCAACUGAGAUAGUGUUGAAACAUCUAGGGAUUAGAGGGAUGGAUCAGAAGUACAAGAUAAGUAAAUGUUGGAGUAAACAUGGGGAUAUAAGUAAUGAUAGGACGACUGAUGUUAAUACGCCAGAAUAUGAGGCUUAUGAUUUGAUUAGGACAGCUUUUAUGGCAAGUGAAGGAAAUCAACCAUCUCAGAAGCAGAAUGUAGAUCAGUUUAAGGAUAUCGACAGCCAAGAAAAAUCUGAGUUAGGAAGAAAUUAGGAGAUGCAUAAACUCCAUUGUACAAGUCUGAACUGCACAAAGGUUCAUGCAGUCAUAGGACUUUACCAAAUAAAAGUCAAGAGUGGGAUGUCAGAGAACUAAUUUGACCAGCUUCUAACACUAGUUCAUGAUAUGCUAGUGAAGAUGGUACUAUGCGGCAUCCAGUGGAUUCAUUGACUUGGUUUCAGGUCAAUGAGAAAUUGCCGGAGUUUUCUGCUGAAGCUAGAAACCUUAGACUAGGUCUUUCUACAUAUGGAAUGAAUCCUUUCUCUUUUCAUAACAAAAAGUACAGCACAUGGCUGGUGCUCUUAGUCAAUUACAAUAUGGCUCCAACUGAGUAUAUGAGAGCAGAGAAUAUCAUUCUGAAAAUGUUAUUUUCUAGACCAACCACACCUAGCAACAACAUUGAUGUCUAUCUACAGCCGUUGAUAGAUGAUCUAAAAGACUUGUGGAAUGAACGUAUAAAAGUUUAUGAUUCGUUUCAGAAUGAUAGUUUCACUCUUAGAGCUAUGUUACUGUGAAGUAUCACUGACUAUCCAGCUUUAGGGACAUUAGCUAGAUGUAAAGUGACGGGAAACAAGCGUGUAAUGUCUAUGGGAAAGAUACACCUUAUAGGUGGUUAAAGUUCAGUUGAAAGCAUGUAUAUAUGUCUAAUGUCCCUUACUGGAAGGUUAGUAGUUCUUAGAGUCAAAUUUGUGUUUAAGGUUUAAUUUAAACUACUAUAUUAUGUUUAUGCCAAACUACUUAUACUUUAUGUGGCAGGAUAUGUCUGUGUGGCACAACAUUGAUGUCAUGCAUGUGGAAAAGAAUGUGUCUGAUGCACUAUUGUCUAUUCUGAUGCAUAGCAGAAAAUCAAAGGAUGGCUUGAAAGCAAGAAAAUAUUUAGAAGACAUUGGUAUUCAAAACAACUUACGUACUGAGGUAUGCGGGAAGAAAACUUACUUACAUCCAGCUGCAUAUUGGCUUUCUAAGGAAGAAAAAUCUAUAUUCUGGAAAAAGUUAUCCGAAUUCAGAGGACCUGAUGGAUAUUGUGCAAUAUCUCUAAUUGGGUUUCUGUUGAUUCUCCUAUAAUUGGUAAUAUGAAGUCACAUGACCAUUUUGUUCUAAUGCAAAAAAAAAUUUCUCGUUGAUUUAGAGGUUUACUGCCAAAAAUACUUUGGAUUGCAGUGACUCGUCUCUGCAAUUACUUCAGUAGAUUGUGCCAACGCGUUAUUGAUCCAGAGAAGCUACUAGAUUUAGAUUUAGAGGUUUUGAAACAAUGUGUCAAUUGAAGAGAUUCUUUCUGCCUUUAUUUUUUGAUAUCAUGUUUCAUCUUCCAAUACAUCUAGCAAGGGAAGCACACUUGGGUGGGCAUGUACAUUUCAUAUGGAUGUAUUCUUUUGAAAGGUAUCGCUUUUUGUUGUUGUAUACUUUAAUAGUAUACUAGUAGUAUAUGUAUCUAUUACUCGUAAUAAGUUUGUCAUUGACGUGUAGGUAUAUGAAGACACUAAAGGCAUAUGUCAAGAAUUUUUCAAGGCCAGAAGCAUGUAUGGCUAAGGGAUAUUUGGCUGGUAAAUGCAUUGCAUUUUGUUUGGAGUUUCUACAGAAAUAUGUGUCAGUUCAAGAAGCUAUUAAUCGUCGUGAAGAUAUUAAGGCAGAUCAACCUGUCCUUGAAGGCUAGCCACUGCAGAACGCUACAGAAGUUACUCUUACAGAUAAAGAGCGAGACAUAGCUCAUUGGUAUAUUCUCAUGAAUACAACAGUUAUGGAUCCAUAUAUCAGUAAGUGCAAAACAAUUAUAGUAGUAGAUUUUUUAACAGACACUUAUAGUGUAUGAGAAACUAACUUCAUGGAAAUCAGGUUGCAUUUGGAAGAACUGUAGGCUAGAGAUGCAAGUUGCACAAAAAUGAAACGUUCUUGUGGAAAUAUCAUACAGAAAGGUUCCCACAAUAGAUCAAAGAAAAGGUUCGAGAAAAUAGGAAUUGUUUUUAUUAAGUUUCAGAUUCCUAUAUAUAUAUAUAUAUAUAUAAUGAAUUGUUUUAUGUUUCAUGUUAGAUACAUACUAACUCAAAGGAACAUUUGACUAGGCUGAGAUGGUUUGCUUUUGGACCACGACUGUUUUCCCAAACCUUCAAGGGGUUUAUAAUUAAUGCCCAUCGAUCCCAUACAAAAGAUGUAAAGCGGAAUUGAAGACAUAGAACAGCGGAUUAACAUAUGAAGCAUUUUCUAUGUGUAGAGCUAUUGUUAAAGAUACGAGACAGAUGACGGACAUAGUACUAUUUGAUGUUGCUGUCGUGUGAGGGUUGUCAAGUUUUACCCUAAAUGAAAUCAAUAGCCGCAAGUGCACAGCUGAUCGAUUGUAGUACUUAGGGAUCGAAUCCACAGGGAAGGAAGAUCUUUCCUGCAAAAACCUUCUAAAGAAAUGUGAAGUAAGGAAGUCUAGAACCAGACAAUUUUUGUAGGAGUUUUGGUGGUGUCCUUAAAACGUUAAAACAAAUCUUUUGGUGUCCUUAAAACGUAAAAACAAAUCUUACCGGGAAAAUAAGAGAAUUAAACUGACCUAAUAACUAAACUUAAAGAAAUCGACUAAAAACGAGAAAACAGCUAGACCUAAUUGCUUGUAUGAAAAUCGGCUUAGUGAAUGAAAUACUAGACUAAAAAAUUGAAUGAAAAUCGGUGUAAAUCUAUAGAAAAGAGGCGCUGGAUUUUCAGGGAAAUUCUCUCCCGGAGAUGAACGAUUCAAAAUAUUGCUAAAGAGUAAGUUAAAAAGAUCCUAGCUAAAAGUUUUAGAACUCGAGUCACAAACGUAUUAAUACGCCACUGUAGUGAUCAUAACCAACUAUCUCUCUCAACCCUGACCAGUAGGUUUCCACUCUGGCCCUGGAAGAGAAAAGAUGCGAUAUGCUUAAAACUCAUCAAUAUUCACAGCUCCAUAGGUAGGUUUCCAAUCCCAUGGUCGUUCUGCUCUUCUCGAACUAGAUCUGGCCCCGAAUGAAAACUUUCGCAACACCCAAGACCUAGAUUAGAUUGUAGUUCAUGACGCGACUCCCAUGCAUUAUAAAUAAGUUAAGAAGAAAAAGUUCUAGGAUUUGCCUUCAGUAGCUUAUAGAAUCUUCAUCGAACAUAUAUAGCCCCCAACGAAAAUCCCUUAAACCCAAAAAUAAAACUACUAAGACAUGAUGAGCGAAAGCAAAAACAUUGUAUUAAAAAGCUGAGUAGAAAUCGAUAUGAUAGAAGAACAAAGAGGGUUCAAGAGAUAGAUCUCUAUCUCUCUAAACCUAAAAAUUAAGAAAAUGAAAGACAAAAACUUAAAAGCUGCAAAAAGAAUAAAUUGUAUGUGUCUCUCUCAGUAUAUCUCUAGGGUUCCUAAAAACUUGUAUUUAUAUUGUCCAAGUCGUCACUUAGGGUUUCUCUAAAUGAGUGAAUCAUUCUGGGCUUGAAGAAUGGGCUUCGGGGUCUGACAGACCAAUCUCCGCGGUCGGGAAGGUUGGGACCGUGGUGAAAUGACUGUUGGCCGCGGGUAAGAAUGCUUGCCGGCUGGUUUACGUGACUUUUGAUUGAACCGUUGGAUUUCCAAGAUGUAAAGUGUGCUGGAAAGCUGGUAGUUCUAUCUUUAAGGUCUCCAAAAUUGAGCUGAUCAGAAGGUAAGAAGGUCUUCAUUUGGAGGUGAACUUCUGACGGUUUGACUCUGAGCUGAAAUCUGGUCUUCUAUACAUUUUGUUAAGCUUUUUCCUAAGUUUUCGUAAAAGAGUCUUGGAAUAAUAAAACAUUUGAAAGCAAUAAAAAACAGAAAAAGUAUUUCAAAACGAUCCACAAAAACAGUUGAAACGUAUUUUGUUUUGAAAAACUAUAAGGAAAAAUGCAAAAAGUGUAGAUAAUGCAAGACUCAUGAAAGAAAAGUGGUUAUAAAGGGAUGAAAUCCUCCCCUAGACUUAAAUCACACUGUCCUCAGUGUGAAACAAGUCGAGAUUUAAUGAGAAAAAUGCAUAGAUAUAUCGAAUUUGGUAAGCCAAAGAGAACUUACUUGGAUCCGGAAUGCUGAUGGAGAUGGACCGGAUCCAUUCAGGAAGAUGAGGGAAGGUGACAAAUGGUAAUGGGAGGUGGUGGGAAGUGAUGAAUGAGGGGCAAUGGGACUUGGUGAGGUGGAAUGAUGUGAAGUGGGUGGUUUGGAGUUGGGUGUCAUCUGAACGACUAUUGGCCAUGGUUAAGACUUACGCGACUGCGGUGAAAGCAUGCUUGGCCGCGGUCAUAAAGAUGCGGCCAUGGUCGAAGUGGUCUUGGCCGUGGUCCGGACUCCUGCGACCACGAGGGCUUAAAUGCAGCAUUUUUCCUGUUUUUCCUUGGUUCCUGCUGGGCCGAGCAGUCAGGGACCAUCCUUCUUUUUGGUUUUUUUUUGGUUUUUUGAUUUUUUGGCUUUUUUUUUAUUUAUAAGAAACACCUGAUACUAAGAAAAUUUAAAAGAUCAAUAGAAAAAAAAAGAAAAAUCCUAAAGAAAACAAUACCUAAAUGGCUUGCCUCUUAUUAAGCGCUUUUUUUUUAAGUUGUUUAUCUCGACUUUGGUGUAGGACGUGACUUAGUCCAAUGAAGAAGACCUUGUCCUAAGACAAGCCUUUUUCAAAGUAUCCUUGCUUAACUUAGCAGGUUCAUCGUCACUCCAGAGCUCUUCUUCAACUCUUCGGUUGUAGGUCGUUUUCCUGCUUGGCUGUUGUAAGGGACAACUUCUGUAAGGACAUCUUUGUCGAUAUUAGCAAAUGAGAUCUUCUGGUUUGGCCAGUCUAUGAUGGCUCCGGAAGUUGCUAAAAAGGACCAUCCGAGAAUCAUUGGAUGUGUUGCGUCUCUUGUUUCGACAAUGUAGAAGUCGACAUGCACUAUGCAAUCUCCUAUUCUCAUAGGAAUGUCAUGGGCUAUUCCUUUAGGUGUUGCAUUGGAAUCAUCAGCUAGACUAAUCUUCGCCCUAGUCCUGCGCAGGUGCUUAAUACCAAGUCUCAAAACAAUUGCCCUGGACAUCAUGUUGAGACAGGCUCUAGAAUCACAAAGCACAUUGUUAAACAUUUCACCUUUAAUCGAACAAGAGAUGAGAAACUGACAUUUAGUUUUGACCUUAUAAAGAGUUCGAACUUGCCUUUCUUUGUAAGUGUUGGCUGAUGUUUCAAAUGCUGAAUAUGACUCACAAUAGAAGGCUGCAGUGUCGUAUUCAAUGAUUGAAUCUAUGUAUGGCAUUUUGAUCUUGUUGUGCAUUGGGUCUUCUUGGAUUGAUGAAUCCUCUGAAUCCUCGACACAUUCCAUUGCCACUUUGCAGGGGACACAAGGUAUGGGUUCUUCCGAGUCCGUUUCUUCGUCUGAAAACUGAUUUCUUCCUUCCUGAGUUACUUUUUCAGAUGCUGAAGGUUGAGGUCGGGCUGUAAAUUUCUGAUUCUUUCUUGAAAAUCCCGGAGGUGAGUCUGAACAACCAAUCCCCACUGUCAGAGGUCUCACGACCACAGGAAAAAGAGUCUUGACCGCGGUCAGAGUAGACGGACCCCCGACUCCAAAUGGGACUUGCAUUUCGUACGGACCUCUUCCGCUUCUUCCUUUGGUAGACUACCAUCAUCUGGUCGUUUCUUGGUUAGUUCAGAACUCAUACCAGGGUGAUGUUGUGUCUACUCAUCAGGGUCUUUGAGAUAUUUCUUAGAAAAAUCUUACAGUCGGCUCAAUGUUGGGCAUUUGUCCCAUUCUUGCAUCAAUUUCCCGUGCCUUGAGCUCGAGUUUGGUUAGCCUGUACUCGAUUUCUUGGAACUCUUCAUCUGUCUUCUCUCUAUACGAGGAGGCGAAUUUUCAAUCUCCAUGGAUCUCCCGUUUUGAUUCGACAAUAUCACUUGAGUUUUGUAUGAUAUCGUACACUUGCCUUGUCUGUACUGCUGCGACUUGAUCGAUCAUUCUGGCCAGGGUUUGUGCGUCCUUGUGGGUUUUCUCUUCCAGGAUCCGGACAUGAUCAGCUAUAUCAUCAAACUUCCUGUUGAACUCUUCAGAGAUUGAAUCAAUCCUCUUGAGCAGGGUGUUUUCGGUGAGGAUUUGCUGAUCAAGGAACUGGUAUAUCAUUCCUUCGAGACGUCCCUGGCGUUUGCUGAUCCUCAAGUUGUCCUCUUUCUGACUAGGGUUCUGCGGUGGGGGAUGGUGGAUGUACGUCCCAGAAUAGAUUGGAGGAAGACCAUAGGAAUCUUCCCGGCGGCGAGCAGGCUCUCUGUGCCGGUAAUAUGGAUGGUUAGGCUUGGUGUAUCGAUCCAUGUGGCUGAGAUCUCAAGCUUGAUGUGAUGGCUUGAGGACUUUUGUAAAAGCCUCCCUCGUAGUAGGGAUUUCGAUUUAUAGGGUUCAUUGGUUCGGGAACUGAAACAAAAAGAACCAAAAAUGGAAAUAACCAGAAAAACGGUUCUAGAGUCGAUUUACCAACCUUUCUUAGGUUUUGCGGAAAGAAAACGCGUGCCUUCCCCGGCAACGGCGCCAACAACUUGAUGUUGCUGUCGUGUGAGGGUUGUCAAGUUUUGCCCUAAAUGAAAUCAGUAGCUGCAAGUGCACAGCUGAUCGAUUGUGGUACUUAGGGAUCGAAUCCACAGGGAAGGAAGAUCUUUCCUGCAAAAGCCUUCGAAAGAAAUGUGAAGUAAGGAAGUCUAGAACCAGUCGAUUUUUAUAGGGGUUUUGGUGGUGUCUUUAAAACGUAAAAACAAAUCUUAACGGAAAAAUACGGGAAUUAAAAUGACCUAAAAACUAAACUUAUAGAAAUCAAUUAAAAACGAGAAAAGGGCUAAACCUAAUUGCUUGUAUGAAAAUCGGCUAAGUGAAUGAAAUACUAGACAAAAAACUUGAAUGAAAAUCGGUGUAAAUCUAUAAAAAAGAGGCGCUGGGUUUUAGGGAAAUUCUCUCCGGGGGAUGAACGAUUCAAAACAUUGCUAAAUAGUAAAUUAAAAAGAUCCUAACUAAAAUUUUAGAACUCGAGUCACGAACGUAUAAAUACGCCACUAUCGUGAUCAUAACCAACUAUCUCUCUCAACCCUGACUAGUAGGUUUCCACUCUUGCCCUGGAAGAGAAAAAAUGUGAUAUGCUUAAGACUCAUCAAUAUUCACAGCUCUCCCAAAGGUAGGUUUCCACUCCUAUGGUCGAUCUGCUCUUCUCGAACUAGAUCUGGCCCCGAAUGAAAACUUUCGCAACACCCAAGACCUAGAUCAGAUUGUAGUUUAUGACGCUACUCCUAUGCAUUAUAAAUAAGUUUUUUUAAAAAAGUUCUAGGAUUCGACUUCAAUAGCUAAUGGAAUCCUCAUCGAACAUAUAUAGCCCCAAUCGAAAAUCCCUUAAACCCAACAAUAAAACUACUCAGACAUGAUGAACGAAAGCAAAAACAUUGUAUUAAAAAGCUGAGUAGAAAUCGAUAUAAUAGAAGAACAAAGAGGGUUUAAGAGAUAGAUCUCUAUCUUCCUAAACCUAAAAACUAAGAAAAUGAAGGACAAAAACUUAAAAGCUGCAAAAAGAAUAAAUUGUACGUGUCUCUGUCGGUAUAUCUCUAGAGUUCCUAAAAACAUGUAUUUAUAUUGUCCAAGUCGUCACUUAGGGUUUCUCCAAAUGAGGGAAUCAUUCUGGGCUUGAAAAAUGGGCUCCGGGGUCGGACAGACCAAUCUCCGCGGUCGAGAAGGUUGGGACCGUGGUGAAAUGGCUGUUGGUCGCGGGUAGGAAUGCUUGCCGGCUGGUUUACAAGACAUCUUACUCUUCCCGUGACUUUUGAUUGAAUCGUUGGAUUUCCAAGCUGUAAAGUGUGUUGGAAAUCUGGUAGUUCCAUCUUUAAGGUCUCCAAAAUUGAGCUGGAUCAGACGGUGAGAAGGUCUUCAUUUGGGGGUGAACUUCUGACGGUUUGACUCUAAACUGAAAUCUGGUCUUCUAUCCAUUUUGUUAAGCAUUUUCCUAAGUUUCCUGAAAAGAGUCUUGGAACUACAAAUAAUAGAAAAACAUAAUAAAAACACUUGAAAGCAAUAAAAAACAUAGAAAAAGUACUACAAAACGAUUCAUAAAAGUGAUCAAAAUACGGUGUUAUCACUAUUCUACAGAGUAAUAAAGGAGAUCAUAUUACUUGGCUACCACAUGUUCCAGAUUCCAAUAUUUAAGUGCAUUUAGGCUAACAGAUGGAACAGAGUGAAAGAGGAAGAAGGCUUUACGCUGGUUAAUCUCCAUAUAAAACAAUCAUCAUUUUCAAAUGAUCCUUUCAUUCUGCAAUCACAAGCUAUACGAAGAUGACUAUUCACUUUGGUAUGUUGUUAUGAGGGCACCACCAAGAAAAUAUCAUGAGUUAGAGAGUGAAAGAGGAACAGAGUGAAAGAGGAAGAAGGCUUUACGCUGGUUAAUCUCCAUAUAAAACAAUCAUCAUUUUUAAACGACCCUUUCAUUCUGCCAUCACAAGCUAUACGAAGAUGACUAUUCACUUUGGUAUGUUGUUAUGAGGGCACCACCAAGAAAAUAUCAUGAGUUAGAGACAGAAAAGGAUUUUAUUUCUGCACAGUUAUCAGUCCAACCAAUUGAAGAUUUAGGCGAUCAAUCUUCUGAUGAUGAGAGUUUUUGUGUUAGGGAGGACUGUGAAGGUGUGCUGGUAGAGGAUUGAUAUUCAUAUCUUUACCAAGUCUGUUGCAGUAAGCGCCAAAAAGGCUUUGAGGUGAGUCCUUUGAAGUCACUAAAUCCAAAGAAAAACAGGAAGCCUGCUCCAGAAGAGAAUGAAGGAGAAAUUAAAUGAGUGAUGAGUAUUUUUCUGAAGAAGAUGGUAAUGGCAUUGCUGAAGAGGACCAACAUAGUAAAGUACCAUUGCCAAUAGAGGAAGAUAAAGUGAUCGAUGAAGAAGUAGAAGAACACUCACCCAAUCUAGAAAAAGAAUCUUUCCCGCCUUCCGCAAAAAGAGUUUCCAACACUUUUGAAGAAGUUUAGACACAACAAUCAGAGACCAAAAAGAGGAAUACCAGAGGUCCAACUAAAAUGCGCAAAGUGAUAAAAGUGGAGUUCACUUCUAUAGGCGAGCAUGUUGGUAGUGGAUCAGUAACUAUUUCUUCCUUUCUUGGUCCACUUGUGAGAGAGCAUGUGCCAGUACUGGUUGAUGACUGGAGACAUCUCGAUGAUCAUAAGAAAAGACACAAUGUGAGAGGAAAUUCAGGUUAUUUUCUCUUUUAAUUGAUUGAAUAUGAGUAUAUGUAUGUAUACUAUCAGUAAAUCUUUUAAUGUUUUACUUGGAAAUGUUUGGCAGGGGAGGUUCAAUUUGAAAUAGGAAUGGCAAAAAGAAUCUGUAUUUAGGUAGAUGGGUUGUUUGUGGAGGGCCUCUAAAUCUAGGCUUGUUUCCAAGUUCGAGCUACGAAAAGCAAGGUACAACUACUGAAAAGGAUUUCAAUCCCAAGGUGCACCUUGCCUUUUUUCCAGGUAGCUCUUAAAAGAUGGACACCGUCGGCCGGAAACAGCAGUAUUGCAUCGUUACAAUUGUUCUUUGAAUACUGUGGCGCGCCUUUCAGGUGCUUUAAAACCAAGUAACAUCCAUAGCUCAGCUUUUAAGGUUUGUACAUAACGUGUACUGAUUAUUGUUAAGCUAAUUUUUUUUUAGAUUAGUUAUGUCACAGGACUGUUUGUGUCAUUAGGAACAAAGUGAUCGAUACAGACAACUGAGGAAGGGUCAAAUUCCUCACACCACCAGCCACAAAGGAAUGAUUCGCCUAGCCCAUGAGAUGGUAUGUAUGAUUAUAAAAUGAAUUAGUUAGUUUUAAAUAGUAAAUCAGUUUUUGAUAACUAUUGUUCUGAACUUGUAUAAAAAGAAUAGUUCGGAUCCUAUUACAGUUACUAGAAGUAAGGUUUGGGUAGCAGGACACAUGCAUUCUAAUGAGAGACCCGUGAGGGAAGAAUUUGCGGAUACUAUUGUAAAUGUUAUUUAAAUUAUUACUAAUUUUUGUUUCUGAAAUUGUUAUAGAAACUAUAUUGUCCAUAUUAAGUGUAAAUUUUGAUUUCAGGAAAAAGUCAAGACAAUUGAUAGUGAAAUGGACUCCACAUCCACAAAUAAUAUUAGAGAAGAUGAUGUAAGUCAGGUAUUAGGAAAAGACAGACAGGAAGACUUCAAGGGAUGGACAGAGGGGCUAUUGCUACUAAGUUAGCAUUCUUACAUGUGCAAAAGCUCGAAGCUACUCAAGUAUAAUUACUUAGCAAUCUUGGAGAAUUGCAAAUUGUGGUUAGUGACUUAGCUGGAAAAAAGGUAAGUAUUCCAUCUUGUUGCAAAUUGUUGUGUCCUAAUGAUGUGAUACUGAGCAGCAUCAAGAAAGGAGAGCUUGAACCAGAGCAUGGAGCUAAGGAUCACAUCAAUGUGACUUGCCUCCAUAGGUAGAACAUCACACAGAAUUUCGUCCUCAUACUUUCCAAGGGUUAAAGAAACCGAUACUUGGCUAUUAACUCGCAUUUCACCUUUAUCAUUGAGCCAAUGCAGAUUGUAUGGCUUAGGAUGCUUCCUCACGGUCAAGCCAAGCUUAUUAACCAUGUAUUCACUUGCUACAUUGGUGCAGCUUCCUCCAUCGAUGAUGAGAUUGCACACCUUGCCUUGCACAUGACAUCUUGUGUGAAACAGGUUCUGUCUUUGUGCUUCCUCGUCUGCCUUAGCUUGCACGUUUAGAAUCUUUUUCAUCAUCAAAAGAUCUCCUGUAGCAGCAUACUCCUCAUGCUCUUCCACUGAAUCUGAGAUUUCUUUUUCAUCUGCUGAUUCGUACUCACCAUUGUCCAAGAGAAUCAGAACUCUCUUGUUAGGACAUUCACUAGCAAUGUGUCCUCUUCCUUGACACUUGAAGCAGACUAUCUCACGAGCUCUAGUAGUGGUUGCUUCGGUUUUCACCUUGAAAUCUGGUUUAGCAGGGAAUGAUUUAGUAGGCACCAUCGGCUCAGUACUUGGUUUUUCUUCUUUAGCAAGACUUGGUUUAGCCGUAGAUGAGCUAACUCCAAAGGUUGAUCGAGAUCCUCUCCUCUUGAGCUGUUGUUCGACUAGAAUGGCUUUGUGAUAUAUCUCCUCUAGAUCAGCAUAGCUUUGCAUCUCCACUCUGUCUUGAACUUCUCGUUUUAACCCACUCAAGAACCUAGCGAUGGUUGCUUCUUCAUCUUCUUCAAUACCAGCCUUGAUCAUCAGAGAUUCCAUUUCUUGAAAAUAAUCUUCCACACUGCUGUUUCCUUGAGUCAAGCGUCUAAGUCUCUGGUGUAGCUCCCGAUGAUAAUGACUAGGGACAAAGCGCUUCCUCAUGAGUGCUUUCAACUCAUCCCAAGUAUCAACAGGCGGCUCUCUACUGCGUUUGCGGCUUGUUGUGAUCUGAUCCCACCAGUUUAUGGCAUAACCAUAAAACUCUGUAGCAGCUAGCUUCACCAUCUUGAGAUCUGAAUACUCUUGACAAUCAUAGAUCAUCUCGACCUUCUUCUCCCAUUCCAGAUAAGCGUCUGGAUCAUUCUUGCCACGAAAAGGAGGAACUUUCAGCUUCAUGCCUCUCAUGUCCUCAUCAACACGUUCUCUUACUCCUCUUCCACGUCUUGGACUGCCUUGUGAAAAAUUAUCAUCACCAACAUCAUUUCUAGGCUGUCUCUGCUGGACAUGAACCCCAUUGGCAUUUCUUUCUUGAAAUCUCCUCGGAUUAUGUUCUCCUUGUAGCUGAUCAAUUCGCUGGUGUAGUUCUUCUGCUUGAGUUUUCAUCAGUUGCUCAAACCGAGCCAUCAUAGCUUCCAUAAAGAGUUUGUUGCUAUUGUUGCUGUUGUCUCCUUGCUCUUCACUCAUUGUGACCUGAAAAACAAAACAGAAAACAAGACCAGUAACAAGUUCUCACAAUAGACCAAAAUGCAGAAGUGACUCUUCGUGUACCUCAAGAAAUCAAAAGCCUUAGAAUAUGAUCGGUUUAUUUUUAAACAAACACAGAUAUGGCCGAUGAUGAGAUCUGAUGAUAGAAGCUGAAGAGACAAACUAAUAUGAGCAGAUCUGAUGCCAGAAUAUGAAAAGACCAACAAAACCAUGGAUGAAAGCGUGAUGCAGAGGCAAACAACACUAGAUUUAGAGGCUUAUGAUGCAAACUAAACAGAUCUAAAAUGAUUUUUAUGGGUUUUCUUUUUCUGAAGAGAACUAAAACGAAAACAGAAGAUGAACAGAUGCAGACACGAAAUUAAGAAGAUGAAAAGAUGAGAAAGGAUAGAGACUACCAAAGAAACUUCUAAGUGUGCUCUGAUACCAACUGAUGUGAUCCUUAGCUCCAUGCUCUGGAUCAAGCUCUCCUUUCUUGAUGCUGCUCAGUAUCACAUCACACAUCCUGUUGGGAAGGCCAUGGCAGUAUGAUAAACAAGUGACUCAUGAUGGCUCCACCAAUAAGUAUUCUUUUGAGUUCAAAGGCAGGAAGCACAUCCUUGUUCCAAUGACACCUUUCGAGAUUUAUCAAGAUCAAAAGAAGAAAGGAAAACAGGCUGAGAACAACACCUACAAGCAAUCAAACUUCCUUGCCAAAUCUGGUAAUAUCCAAAGAACUCUAAUCUCUCAAUCAUCUAGUCGUAAGUCUGCUUAUAAAGAAACUCUUUUGAGUUUAUCUAAUGUUGCACCGGAGCUGCCGAGUGGAAGAUCUUUUGUUUUACAGGACUCUAAGGAUGAUUUUCUUAGGCCAACUGAACCUUUAGAAGAUAAAUACUGGAACAGAAUUCAGUUUGGACAAAUAGAUUGCAUCUUUCCUAUGAAGAACCCAUCCGAAGGCCUUAACUUCACCAAAAAGAGGCUUAAGCAAAAGGAGCUGGUAAACGAUCAAACCACCACUGAAAAAGGAGCUCAAAACGAACAAGGAAAAGGAAUGAGGGCUAGAGGACGUGUGGAACUUGAACACUCUGACCUCAAGAAUGCUAGGAAGCAUGGAACACCUCAAACUCCAAUACAGAUCACUGCCGAAACAUACUUGCAAGGUAAGCAUUAUCCGAAUUCAAGUUCUAAUGGUUCUAACUUAGCUUUGUUCUUGGCAGAUGGUCCUGAUUUGAGGACAAAUCCUUUUCAACUGGGGGAGGAUGAUGUGAUACUGAGCAGCAUCAAGAAAGGAGAGCUUGAACCAGAGCAUGGAGCUAAGGAUCAGCUUGUAGCCGAGAAAUAUUGGUCUAAAAACAAAGGAGCUGAUGUGAUACUGAGCAGCAUCAAGAAAGGAGAGCUUGAACCAGAGCAUGGAGCUAAGGAUCAGCUACUUAUCUAUGGAACAAAGAAGAUCGCUUGAGCCAGGCUGGAAGAGAUGGAUUACAAACCACACUGGUUUUGAUUCAGGCUCAAGUAGAUCAACAAUUGGGUAAGUGGCCCAGUUGUACUCUUUUUCCCUUACCUUUGGUUUUGUCCCAAUGGGUUUUCCAAAGGAAGGUUUUUAAGGAGGCAAUGGUGUCUACUUCUCUCAAGGCCCAAUUGUUGAUUCAAGGACUUAAGCCCAAGACAAAUUUCGUCCAAGGGAAGUUCAAGAGGCUGGAGAAGUGACUUGAAGAGUUAUUCAAACUUUGCAUUUAUUUCCUUGUCAUUUUCGAGUUUGCCUUGUUUUUCUACAUUUCUUCUCUUCAAAUAAUCUUGUAAUCUCUUAUGAGAACUCAUCCUGGAUUGGAUCAUCAAACUUUUAUCAAAUAAAACUCUAUCUUUCUCUUAUCAAACCUGGACGAAAUCCUUUGUCUCUUUGAGAGUGAUUCGCUGCUUGUGCAGCAUCUUUAUCAUCUCUAUUCUCUUUGUUUUCUCCUGAGAGUGAAUCGCUGCUUCUGCAGCAUCUUUUUCAUUUCUCUUCUAUCUCUUGUGAUCAAAUUAAACUCUGAACAGCAACCUGAUCUAUUAAUCUCUUCAAACAGAAGUUCAUUCCGCAAGCUUCUGUCCCUGAUCUAUCUCUUACCAAGCUUCUGAGUGCCGAUCCUUGGGAGGAUCACAUCACCUAAUAUGAACUUUUAGUGACUUAGCUGCUAAGAUGCCAGCUAAUAUGUUUCUUGUUAUGUUCAACUUUUUAGAGACAGGCUGGUGAUGUCUCUAAAUCUGAGUUAAUUGACAUUAGCAAAGGAGAAAUUAGGUGCCAGCUAUUGAAUUGGUAUUCGACUGAUGACGUUAUUGUUAGAGAAGGAGAAUUCUGCUCUAGUGAACCAACAUAUAGGAUAGGUUGAAUUUCUCUAGGUCUUAAUGUUGCUGAUGUAAUUGUGAAGUCUGCAUCAGUCGGAGAAGCAUACAUCUGGAGAACUACUCCAACCAUUGUCUCACUUGGUCAAGCUUUAGGAGUUAAAAUAGCAUCAGUCGGAGAAGCAUACGUCUGGAGAACUCCCCUAUGGAUCUGAGGUAAUUUAAAUCUGAAUUUGUAUUCCUUUCAAAGUCAUAUGGACUAGAUUACUAAUAUAGUAUAUAUUUGCAUGACUCUUUAGACUAUUGACGUAUCUAUACAAAAAGUUUAUAUUUUUGAUUAGAAUGUGGAAGAUGAAGUGAUUGGUGAGGGUAUAUUGUUGUCAACUGACCCAAAAGAAUUGGUCAACAAUAUUACUCUGGAACCGAAUGCUACUGUUGUGAAGGUCAAGCUGGUGGUUAAACCUGAUGCCUAUUUAUGUAGACCAAGUGCUGAAAUCUCAUUGAUGGGUGAUGCGCUGAAUGAGAACAUUUCAUGGCCUACUCAUAGGAUACACUUAGGUAAUCUACCUACAAGGAUGAAUCAGAAAAAAAAUCACCUCCGGUAAGUUCUUGCAAUUAGGUUUAUUUUGAUUUGGUUAAAUAUAUAUAGCUUAAUAGUUAUGAUAGUAGGUUUGGCUGAGAUGAGAAUAUAUAUCAUCAGUUAUGGAUUUGUUGAUGUUUCCGUGAUGUUAUAUUGAUGAAGUUUAUAAUUUUGACUACUAGAGUGGUAGUAACAGCACUGGUAGCAACAAAGGUGCAAAACAGACUGUGAUAAUUAUAGGCAAAGAGUUUUAGUAGGUCGUAUUUCUUCAACUGAUCAUGAUCCAGCAGAGAAAGUCCAUUUCGUCCCUUUAGGUCCCAAUACUAGUAAAGUGUGGUAGAAAUUUCUAAGGUUGAUGGUGCACAAGUGUGGAGACCAAAUUUAAAAUUUGAAUUCAUAUCUAAUACAAUAGGAACCACAGUAGCUUGACCGAAUGAUAAACUUAUAUUGAUGUGAGACAGAUGUGUUAGAUUUUGGUUUGUUGUAGUACUUUAAACUAUUUACUUGAGAAAACUAUGUUGAAUUUAUUAUUGUAUCUUUGUCACAAUUAAUAUAAUGAUUUUUUAUUCUGUUGUAUCGUCUCUCAAUCUAGAAAGAUUUAUUGAAUCAAAUUAGUCAAAAACAAAACUUAGAAACAAUGAUAUCUAUAUAAAUGCUAUUUAAUAUUAUAAACAACAAUUCCUAAAUGCUGUGAAUAAUAUUAUUAAUAACAAAACAAAACGUCAUUGUAUAAUAUCUAUUAGCAGAAUAAAAUGCGCUAUAGUAUAUGAGAUUACAAUAGCAGCAUCAAAAACUACUAUCUAAAGUGCUUGACCUAUUAAGACGAGCUAUGAUAGAGAGUUUUUAAAAACGCUAUUGUAUUGUUAGAUAGCUUUUUCUGAUGCUAGGAAUAUUUUUUUUUCCUGUAGUAACACAACCUAAUUAAUAGUAUAUUUGACAUAAACCACAUGUCCCAAUUCCUGUAUCGUCCUCAUUGCUACCACCACACAAUAUCUUUUUUCAAGCUCAUGACGUUCCUCUCAUACUUCAUGCUUACUCAGAUCCCGAUUGAACAAGAAAUGUUCCUAUUUUCUAGUCGUCUAGGAAUUAAAAUAUGUCUCAUGUUCCUCUACUGAAGCAGAAUACCGAGCAAAACUUUGCUUGAUAUUGUCUUUUCUCUUGACUCGAAAUUUCCUUACCUUCAACGCUAUUCGUUUAACGCGACAAUAUCAGUGUGGCUAUGUGCAAUCCGGGUCUUUCAUUAUCUGAUAUACAGAUAUACUUGAUUACCUCUUNNNNNNNNNNNNNNNNNNNNNNNNNNNNNNNNNNNNNNNNNNNNNNNNNNNNNNNNNNNNNNNNNNNNNNNNNNNNNNNNNNNNNNNNNNNNNNNNNNNNAAGAAAAUAGUCUCCUAUAUAUAUAUAUAUAUAUAUAUAUAUAUAUACAAAGGAUACAUUAACCAAACCCCUACCUUAUCCACAUUUUCUUACAUUUUAUGGCUAGACUGGAAUCACUCAUGUCCUUCCAUCUUGAGGAGUCGUGAUGAAGAAAAAGUUGGUUGUUCAAUCCUUAUCAUUGCUCAUGUGAAAUUGCUCAUAUUAUCUCCUGUAAUCACUUGUAUGUAUCAUUAUAUAUAUAUAUAAAUUCUCGGGUCAAUAUAACACAUAACGUCAAUCAUAUUCAACAAAAACUAUAAGAAAUUUUCAAAUUGUCUGAACUUUUUAUAAAUGACAAAAAUUACAACUAAACUGCCGUUCACUCAAAUAUUUACGUAUUGUUCCAUUUUCGUCAAAAACUUGUAAAAAAAAAAGAAAUCAACUAGAUUCUAGCCCGUCCAUUGGUGGACGGGCGUAAUUUUUGUUGUUUUAAUAUUUUUUUUAAAAAAAGUAAAGUGAAUAUUGAAUAUAAUGUUUGAUUAAAGAUAUGGAGUUUUAUGUUAUGGACAAAAUAAUAUAUGGAGUUAAAACAUCGAUGAGUCUGAAUUUUAUUAUGUGGAGAUAUAAAUUUAUAUUGUGGAUAUAUAAAUCUCAAAUUGGCAGCCCAAUAUGGAUGGGUAGAUGUGCAACGGCCCAAUAGUCUAAAUUUGUGUUCAUACAAAUAUUCUUAUAUAAUAUUGAAUAUUUGAACUAAAUAAGUAAUAAAAGAUAUAUAUUUCUUCCUUAAUUAAGAUUCACUACAGCAUAUAUUGGAACAAUUUAGUAUUAGAAAAUCAAAACAAUUAAAUGAUGUUAAAUUUAUAUAAAGGAAAUAAAUAUUUUUUUCACAAAGGGAUAUAAACCAUUUUGGGCCGGCCCAGUAUAGGUUGAUCAAUACUGUUUUUGCAUUUGAUGUUUUUGAGUAUAUAUUGAUUCUACUUAUGUAUCUGACAGGCCCAACCCAUUUAAUUGUUUUCAUUUACAAACUACAAUAUAAUUUUUAAAUUUUGAUGUUUUGCAUAUUGCCAACUAAAAUUGCAGGUUUGACUAUGCGAAUCAUUAAAACCUAUUUUAGUUAGUGAUAUUAAAUAUUUCGUGAAAGACACAAAGUUAUCCUCAUAUUUCAAACUAAUUAUUAUAUGUAUUCAAAGACAUAAAUUAUACUUCAAAACAGAUUAUGACUUUUGUUAUAAAAUCAAUUGAUAACUAAACAUAGCAUAAAGAUUACUAUAAAUCUCUUAACAUCGUUCAAAAAUAUCAUCUUAAACAAAUGUGAUUACUAAGCAAAAAUUGCUCAAAACCCCACCUCCGAUCGAUACCUAAUAUAUAAAUGUGAAUACACCUUGAUGAAUAUUAUAAUAUAUACUAAAAUUUGAUCAUAUAUAUAUAUAUCAAUAUUAACUUACUUCUUUUUGAAUUCAAUGGCUUCUUGUAUUUGUGGGUCUAUUAAAAACUGUGAACAACCCAUAACAGAAUGAACACACAUGCGCCCAACAUCGUGAUCUACAUUAAAAACUGGUUUUUAGCAAUCUAACUUACGUACAUGUUGUAUACAACUACUAAGGUAUAUAUGAGAUUUAAUACUAAAUAAUAUUUUUACUAACCUCUUCCUUCUUUAAUUUCCCAAAAAUGGAUAACACAUACAGAACAAUAAGUUCUACUAUGCAUCCACUCAUACUUGAAAUCUCUCGCAAUAUCACCAAAUGCAACACAACCCAUAAUACAUGCGCUUCAAUAUUGUCAAGUAAAUAUUUGAUAAGCUAAAGUAAAAAGUCAUAAUCAAUGGGUGGGCGGCGAUAACGCCAAAAAUCUGAGAUCAAGAUGGAUCGACGAUGGGAUCUGCGGUUGAUUCGGUCAGAUAUCUUGACAGAGGAGGUCUCUAAUGGGGAAGAAAUGGAAUCGGUUUGGUUAUUCGGUCUAAUUCAAUGGAGUGAUCUACAGGAAUUAAUUGUUGAGGAUGUGCAAAUCGGACUAAUUUACAUCCGAUCUGUUUCUCUACUGAUUUGGGGGAAGGAGAAAUAUGAAAGUCGGAUCUUUUUCACGAUAUCUGGGUGGACCAGAGGGGUUUUGAGAAAAUCAAAUCAGAGAAAGGCAAAAACAACUUAUCAAAUUACGAGGUGUAGUGUCUAUUUAGGAAAUGGAUCUGGUCGAUCUUCAGGGAUGAAUUCCAAAUCAAAUGUGAAUCGAAGAUAUGCAGAUGCAGAAUCGACGAAGAUUGGGGAAAAAUUAGGAUCUCGGAGAUUUGAUUUCAGUAAAUCAAAAUCAAAUUAUGAGGAUGGCGAAUCACAGAUUCAUAAUCAAAAUCUUCUUGAGGGAAUACCCUUGCAAGUAAUGUUGGCCUUUAAAAGGAGCACGCGAGGAGAUUGGAGCAGCAAAACAACAACAUCAACUUAUCCCCUUCUUUCUUUAGUUCUUCAUUCGCUACACCAAAACACAAAUUCAUCGACUAUGUCUCAGAGUUCUCUGCUCAAAACGAGUAGUUUGGAGGUCACAAAUGGGGGUCCACCGAAACGGUUGAAGAUUACGGUUCCUAAAUUUGAUAAUGCGGAUCUCAUCAAGGGUUAUUCAAAAACCCUGAUCGGUAGAUGUAUGAAACCUCAGCUGCAGGACAUGAAAGCUUUAUUGUUCAUGCUUCCAAGGAUCUGGAAAAUGGAGGAGCGUGUUGAAGGUGCGGAUUGAGGACUCGGAAAAUUCCAGUUCGACUUUGACAGAGAGGAAGACAUCAAGAAGGUAAUGAAGAUGGAGCCUUUCCAUUUUGAUUACUGGAUGUUAUCUUUGGUACGCUGGUCACCGGCGAUUAAAUUCUGGAUCAGGAUCAUUGGUGUUCCUCUACAAUAUUGGGCUGAUGUGAGUUUUAGGAGUAUCGGGAAAGCUCUAGGUGAUGUGAAAUCGGUGAAUCUGGAUGAGGGGAAGGUUCACGUGGUAAUCGAGGGUUCGAAGCCCUUAUGCUUCGAGACAACAGUAGACUUCGACGAAGGUGUGGAGACGACAAUAUAUUUGCGAUACGAGAAGUUAUUCGGUUACUGCAGGAACUGUCUAAGCCUCUGCCAUGACCAACAACGCUGCCCCCUGCGGACGGGAACGGAUGAACGGAAACCUCAAGAAACCGGCCUUGAGACAGCAGAUAGAAACCAGAGUGUGGCAUCGUACAAGACGGUCACAAAAUAUGGAGGGGGUGGAGGAAGAGACUCGGUGAAAAAUGAGAGUGUGAAUGCGGGCUUUAAAGGGAAGGGGAAAGCUCAUAAAGAAGAAGCUGAUCACAAGCUGAAAGGCAGAUCGGAGAAGAAGACCGGUGAACGCUCAAUGGUCUUCACGAGACUAUCAGGGUAUAUCCCUCCAAAGGCGCUACACAGGACAUACAAAGCCAAAGAAGCUGGUAAUAAUGGUGCGGAAAUUUAUGAAAAGGAGUUGAGCUCCACGGUGGAGGUUACUAGGAACCAGAGGAAAGAUUUCCCAGAAGAUAAGGCGAUCACAAAGGUGGAUCACAACAUCGGGAAUCAAACCGGUUUGUCUCAAAUAAGGAGCUUAGCAAGGAAGAGCCUUUCUUUUAAUGAAGAUGAUCUCAUGGAGGAACCGGUCUUGAACAGGAGAGCAAAUUUUAACAGAAACAGGGAGUCGGAGAUGAUUAAUACGGUGACAGAACAGACUAACGAUGAUGGAAUGGCAGGUGACGAGGAUAUGCAGGACCAGGGGCUGACCUUAUCAGCCAACGAUAUCUCAGGAUACAUGAUGGAACACAGUUUGGAAGCUGCAAAAGAGGAGGAGCUAAACCUGUGCUCGGAAAUGCAGGACCAUAUUAAGCCAAGCUCAUCCGGUAAUGAAAUCACGGUGACACUGGGGCAAGACAUGGAGGCUAAUCCGGACAUGGUCACUUGCGAAGGAAAUGUGGGAAAGGAAAGGGGUGAGGAUGACUUUGAAGACGGGGAAUUUUUCCAGACUAUUACAGAGUUUGAGGAAUUGUGGGAUUCUGCAGGUCUUGAGGUCACAGUUGCAGAUCUACUGGGUGAGACAGGCCCUGCAAAGUCAUCGGAUAUAGAGGGAGGGGGACUCGAUGAGGUGGCCAAGGACGGAGACAAAAACGAUGUAAAAAAGAAAUCCGUUAAGAGCAACCCGCUCUUUCUAGGAGGCAGCACAAAGAAGCGACUGGUCCAAAAAUUUACAUCUCCUCGGAAAAAACAAGGGGUCAAAAAUGGGAACCACAUCGGUGACAAAGGCCAGAAUGGAGCUCCGAAGGGGACCUUAAACCCAAAACAGUGGCAGAAAGCAACAAACAAAGCGAUUAAUGAGAGCACUUAGCUGGAAUUGUCAGGGUCUUGGAAGCAAAUGGACAAUAAGCUACCUGCGAGAGAUUUGGAAAAGACAUAGGGCCGAAUUUUUAUUUCUUUCUGAGACUAAACAAUGUUUUUCUUUUGUGCAACAAUUUCAAUUUCAUUUUGGUUAUAAUAAAUUAUUUACGGUUGAACCUUGCGGAACAAGUGGAGGACUUGCACUUUUUUAUAAUGAUCUUUUUAACAUUAAGGUGAUAUAUUCAAGUGCAAGAAUUAUCGAUAUCGAAGCGGUUAUUCAAGGAAAAAUUGUUUAUCUGUCUUUUAUUUAUGGAGAUCCGGUCCCCAAACAGCGGGAUCAAGUAUGGGAACGAUUGACGACAAUCAGCCUGUCUCGAAAAGAACCAUGGUUUAUCAUUGGGGACCUAAACGAAAUUACUGGUAACCAUGAAAAGCAAGGUGGAGCCUUGCGACAUGCAUCGAACUUUACAUCCUUUAAUCUCAUGAUUAGUAUUUGCGGUUUCCUAUAAUUUCCGUGUUUAGGAAAUACCAUGUCUUGGAGGGGACGUAGAAACUCCAAAAUAGUAAGAUGUCGAUUGGACCGAGCUCUAGCAAAUGAACACUGGCAUGAGCUGUUUUGUCAUUCGUUUGUGGAGUAUCUGGCAAUGAUUGGAUCGGAUCAUAGACCGAUAGUAACAACAAUUGAGGAUAAAAUUCCCCGGAAGAGAACCCAAUCCGAUUUGACAAACGAUGGAUUGGCCAAGAGGGUUUAAUGGAUGCUAUUUCUACAGGAUGGACUUCAAAUUUCGGGCGACGUGAGGGAACGUUCAUGGAAAAAAUCUCUAAUUGCCGUCGCGAAAUAUCUAGAUGGAGGAAAAACAAUCUACCUUACGGGAAGGAGAGGAUUACUGAGCUGCAAAAGGAGCUUGAGGACGUUCAAAAUGAUGAUACAAAAUCGGAGGAGGAAUUACUAGAGGUUACAAGGAAAUUAAAAAUAGCUUAUAGAGACGAGGAGCUUUUUUGGCAAAAGAAAAGCCGGAACGAUUGGGCUAUUGGGGGUGAUAAAAAUACAAAAUUCUAUCAUGCGCAUGUAAAACAAAGACGAGCAAGGAAUCGAAUUGUCGGAUUGUAUAAUGCGGCAGGUUCAUGGGUGACCUCCGAAAAAGAGGUCGAACAAGUUGCAGUGGGAUAUUUUGAGGACUUGUUCACUACAACCUCCCCAUUAGAAUUUGAAUCAGCACUUGGAGAAAUUCAAAAUCGAGUCACAGAGGAGGAUAAUGCCAUGUUAGUGGCGGAGGCAACAGAAGAUGAGGUGUACAAAGCUUUGUUUAUGAUGAACCCGGAAAAGGCUCCAGGACCUGACGGAAUGACAGCCUUAUUUUUUCAAAAAUCAUGGCAGAUAAUUAAAACGGAUUUACUUGGGCUAGUAAAUGGCUUCUUGGAAACAGGGAUCUUCGAUCAACGACUAAAUAUGACUAACAUGUGUUUAAUUCCUAAAAAGGACAGGCCAACUCGAAUGACGGAACUGCGACCAAUAAGUCUAUGCAAUGUUGGGUACAAAAUAAUUUCUAAAGUUUUGUGUCAACGGUUAAAGCAAUUAUUACCCGUUAUUAUUUCAGAAACACAAUCAGCUUUUGUCGCGGGACGCUUGAUCUCGGAUAACAUUCUGAUUGCACAGGAAAUGUUCCAUGGGCUCCGCACAAAUAAGUCCUGCCAAAAUAAAUUCAUGGCAAUUAAAACGGACAUGAGCAAAGCCUAUGACAGGAUUGAAUGGGAUCUCAUAGAACAUCUCUUGAGAAAAAUGGGAUUUGCGGAAAGAUGGAUUACCUGGAUGAUGUGGUGUAUAAAGUCAGUACAAUAUAAAGUUCUUUUGAAUGGGCAACCUAAAGAAAGAAUAAUUCCACAUAGGGGACUCCGACAAGGGGAUCUAUUGUCCCCAUAUUUAUUCAUAUUGUGUACGGAAGUCCUGAUAUCUAACAUAAAGAAGGCAGAACAAGACAGAAAGUUGACCGGAUUGCAAAUAGCCCGAUCAAGCCCUUCGAUCUCACACUUGUUAUUUGCGGAUGACAGCCUUUUCUUUUGUAAAGCAAACAAGGAGGAAUGUCAGCAGAUAUUGCAGGUGCUCCGCCAAUAUGAGAACGUUUCGGGUCAACAAAUAAAUUUCGACAAGUCGUCAAUACAAUCCGGGCAUAAGGUCUCAGACAUAGUGAAAAAUGAGAUGAAACAAAUUUUAGGAAUUCACAACAUGGGGGGAAUGGGCUCAUAUUUAGGAUUACCGGAAAACCUUGGGGGAACGAAAAGCAAGAUCUUCUAGUUUCUAGCUGACAGACAACAGGAUCGCGUAAACGGAUGGACAUCCAACUUUUUAUCAAACGGGGGAAAGGAAGUACUAAUAAAAUCGGUGGCUUCCGCUAUGCCAACAUUUGUCAUGUCAUGUUUUCGCUUACCAAAAUCAAUUACCACAAAGUUAACGAGCAUCACGGCAAGAUUUUGGUGGAACACGAAAGGUCAAGGAAAAGGAAUGCAUUGGCUAGCAUGGCCUAAGAUGUGUCGUCACAAAUCGGUGGGGGGCAUGGGCUUCAGGUCGCUAGAGAAUUUUAAUACGGCACUGUUGGCAAAACAGUUAUGGCGAUUAAUAGAAAAGCCAGAUACGCUAUUUGCGAGAGUACUCAAAGGACGAUAUUAUCGGAAUGCAGGUCCAAUGGACAACAUAAAGUCAUAUUCCCCAUCUUAUGUAUGGCGAAGUAUUAUCUCAGCUCGAUCUCUGGUUAACAAAGGGCUAAUCAAAAGAGUUGGUUCUGGAUGUUCCACUUCGGUUUGGAAAGAUCCCUGGAUACCAUCUUCUCGCCCGAGAUCAGCAAUAUGUAAGGGUUAUAAUUAUUACCCAAAUCUCAUGGUUAAUCAUCUCAUUGAUCCACAGACUAGUACUUGGAAUAUGGGGCUCCUCAAUGCUAUCAUAGAUCCAAAAGAUGUGGAAAUAAUACAAGGGAUGCCAAUCAGCACUUCAUUUCGGCCGGAUGUACUGGGUUGGCACUUCACAAAAUCAGGCAAAUAUACGGUCAAAUCUGGAUACCAAAUUGAACACCAAAACUCGGAAACAGAAACACAAAACCUAUAUGAACCUACUUUCGAGCCCUUAUUAGUAAAACUAUGGAAACUGAGGUGUCCCCCUAAAUUACGCCAUUUUCUAUGGCAAGUUCUGUCAGGUUGUCUGGCUGUUGCCAAAAACCUGAACAACAGAGGAAUUAAAUGUGAUGCGCAAUGCACUCGAUGUGGGGCAGAGGAGGAAAUGAUCAAACAUGUUUUAUUUGAAUGUCCACCCGCAAUGCAGACGUGGGCUUUGUCACAGAUCCCAACACCUACGGGAGUUUUCCCAGGAAUAUCUAUUUAUGGAAAUUUGGAUUAUUUGUUUUGGCGUACACCAACAGGAACUUCUAAUGAAUCAUAUCCAUGGAUAGUAUGGUACAUUUGGAAAGCAAGAAAUGACAAACUGUUCUCAAACAUAGACAGGGAUCCACGAUUAACGCUUAAAUUAGCAGAAACGGAAAGCCUUUUAUGGAUUGAGACACAUAAAUCGGUAACUGAAACGGAAAUACACCAUCCUCAAUUACCAUCAUUCCCGACCUCCUUUAAUAAUGGAUGGUGUUCGGUGGAUGGUUCUUGGAAGGAGACGGAUAAAAAAUCAGGUAUAGGAUGGUAUUAUAGGAGCGAGGAAUCCAACGAGACCAUAAUGGGGGCACAAAAUUUACGACGCAGCUUAUCUCCUUUACAUGCAGAAGUAGAGGCACUAUUAUGGGCAAUGUUGUGCAUGAUUGAAAAUCAGCGAAGAGAAGUAGUUUUUGCAACGGACUGUUCUGAUGUGGUGAAGAUGGUGUCGGCACCAACGGAAUGGCCAGCAUUUGCACUACAAUUGGGGGAAAUCCAGAAAUUCAGAGAGAAGUUCCUUUUUUUCAAACUGAUCCACAUACCACGAGCGAAGAACAACAAGGCGGACGCAUUGGCUCACAGCGCUAGAGUCUAUCCAAGGAAUGUGAUUUAUGUGAACUCAUCUCCACCGGUUUGGUUAACACCUUCGGUUUAGGAGAAGAGGUUGUUGACAAAAAAAAAAAAAAAGAAGCUAAAGUAAAAAGUCAAGUUAAGAAACUAAAUAAUAUGUUCCCUAAAUAAUAUGAAGAUGAAGUAAAAUUUACUCUGCGUCCUCCAGAUCAAAAUUUAAUAUAUAUUGUCCUCCUUCGUUUCAGAGUUCACCUGCGACCGAGACAGUUCCAACUAAUUCUAUGUAUGGAUAUACAUGCAAAAAGAAUAUGUUAAUUGAACGUUUGAUUAAGAGAAAUCAAUAAUAAAUAGUUAAAAAUACAAUAUUUUUUACCUGUCAAAACAGAAGGGUAUGCCUUUCUUCUCAGAAUAUCUACGAAUUUUGCAGCAUAAAAAAAAUCCUAUCUGUCUUGGCCUGAAUAUUUUCGAUAAUGGUGGAGUUCUUCAAUAGAAUAUAGUAGAUAUUACGUGUAAGUCUUCGAACAUCAUUAUUUACAAAUACUUUGAAGCCCCAAAUAAGGUUCCAAUCGCCUUGUCUAAGUUUAUCUUCAUGAUGAUGCACAUCACUUGGUUCUAUUUUAGCGGAUAUCUUCUAACCCUUAGAGUAUUUACAAAUAAAUGCAAAAUAGAAUGAAAAUUUAAGUUGUUAAAACUAUUGAAUAUAAUAAAUAAAUCUAAACGUCCGAAUAUGUAAAGGUUUUUAAUUAUUAUCACAUAAGGUAGUUUAAGUGCGAAUAAGGAAUUUUGAAUAAGUACCUUAUUAUCCAUGAGUAUCAUCUCAAUACUAUCGCUGUAAGAAGAUGGUUUCCUCCAUAUACUUAAGAUUUUGACAUCGAUCGCCCAACAUUGACCCAUUGCACGUAAAUCUUGCAAUUCAUCUCGAGCAACUCUUGAAAAAUCCAUUUUCUGAGAUGAAUAAUGAAAUUGUGAGUUCAGAGAAAAAGUUAAUAGAGAUAAAGAUGAAUUACUUUUUAUGACAUGCUUCUUUGGAAAAUGUGAGGAAGAUUCAAUGCAUGUCCGUAAAUUAAAUUUUUUGAAGGAGUAAUUUCUCUGUUAUUUAAUAACAAUAUUAUUGUGUACACAAUAUUUUCUUUAAUAUUACACAAAGCAGAUCGUUUAAUUUAGAAUUCUCUAAAUCUAAACCCUAAAAAUAACAAAUCAAACCGGGGAAAAGACAUUCAUGAUUUAAAUGAAUCGAUCAACGAUUUUGGGAUAUAAUAUCAGAUGUUAGAGCUUUGAACAAUAUACUGUUAAUAUCAUAAUAUGAAAAUUCACAUAAAAACGUAAGUAUAAAAUAUGGUACUUUAGACUACGAACGAAACAAAAAGGAUAUUGUACUUGAAAAGUCAUUAUGGUAAUAACAUAAUAUGUAAAACGAAAAGGAAUUCUAAUGUUUAUUACAUAACAUAAUUAAGAAGGACAUCACUCCUAUUCAGAUAAGAUAAAUGGAAAGUUUUUUAAAAAGUAAAACACAAAAUUGUAAGAUACAUGUAUCAACCUAAAUAGUUCGUCUAGGAAUUGAUCUUUGAAGAUUUCCCUGCAAUUUGGAACCUAUACAAUUAUAGAAAAAUGUUACACAUAUUUAUUACUAUUAAAUGUUAAAUAGAAUAAUAUUAGAUUUACAAUCCAACUUACUUGUUUCAAAAAUCUUGAACUUCCUUAAAAUCAGGAUUGAAUCUGAAUCGAGAUAUACCUUCGCUGUUUCGAAUAAACUGACCGUGUUCUAUAAUAAAAUACAACACAAUUCAAUGCAAUUUUAUAAUAAAUGAAUGAAAAAACAUAAGUCUUUUUAUUUUUCUCUAAAUUUGUUACUUUUUACCUUUAUUUUCGCUGAGCCUCCACUCGCUAAGAAGACAAAACACUAAAUUAGUUGUUCUAUUUUGCCACAUAUCAUUGAAACGCGUUGCGUAGUUGUUAUAAGCGAAACACUUAAGAACAACAUCACUGAAAUUUUUAAAUAAUGAUAUCAAAAACAUAUAAAGAGUAUAUACCAGUCUGUACAUAACUAAAAAUUUACACUUACUUCAAAUCUCUAAUAUGGAAUUCAAUACACGUAUUGAACUGGAAGGUUGAACUCGAUGAUCCUUGCACACCGGUUUGAAUAGUUCCAACAUAAUCAAUCACCUCAAGUAAGUCUGUUUAAAAUGAUCAAUAAAAUGUAAUUAGGAAGACUUCAAUUUCAUAAAAUAUAAGUAUUUCAAACCAAUAAGAUAUUAUGUGAAAAAAAUUAUAAAUAAUAUAAACGAUAAACACAUUACCUAUAGGAUAAGUAGGAUCGACCAUUCCAUCUUUAAUUGAUUUGAAAUCAAUCAAAUUCAAAAACAUGCAAGUUGGGGGAUUAUUGACAAGAGUUGCAACGGAAGUCUCACGGGUCAAAAUAAUGUUGUAGAAGUGAUUCGUUGCUCUCUCGUUCCAGUUAUUCCAGUCGGAGUUUGUAACUACAAACCCACUAAUUUCUUUCCAAUUUCCUUCAUUCAUUUCUCGACGAAAGAACGAUUCAACGAAAUUAUUUGUCGUUGCAUGUAUUUUUAAACCAUGAGACAUUUUCCAUUAAAAAUUAAAAGUAAAUUAUAUGAUAAAAUAAAAUAAAAAAUUUGCACAGAUGUUGUUAAUAAAACCUCUUCGUCGACAAAGAUGAACUCCAAACGCGGUCUACCAUUGUUGUCAAACUCUGUCAAUUUCUUAUAAACUAAAACACAUAUAGUCCAGUGUUUUCUCCAUGGGUGUAAGUGACUAACUAAGUUGUAGUAAACCAUUUUGAAGAAAAAAUUGAUCGUUUCUGGGUUUGCAAAAUUAUGGGAUUGGUUUUUAUUGCCUGGAUAGUCGCCAAGGGAGUAAAAUCAGAAAACAGAGGAUAUAUCUCACCUGUUCAGAAGUAAUACUUUGGAAAAUUCACUAAAUUUAAAUAUUUUAUAUAGAAUUUAAUGCAAUACCUUUUAAUUAGUACACUUAAUUGAAUUAAAAUUUUAAUUUAAUUUCUAUUAAUUUAAUGUGGUUGGUAUCUUUCGUAUCUAUUGAAUAUAUAUAAUAAAAAUAAAAUUGUUUUGACAGAAAUCAUAAAAUCCGGUUUGGUAAAUAUUGAUUGAUAUAUCGCUAGUUAGAAGACCAAAUGUCAUGUAGGUUCAAUAAUUGAUUGUCUCUAGUUUUUUAUGCAACUUGCAUAUGUUUAUAUAUGACACAUUUUAUUAGGGUAUUUCAAAAAUAUACACUUCAAAAAUACUUGUUAGACAUUACAAUUUUUAUUUCAUAAAUGUGCAAGUGGUUUAUGAUUACCGUUUCUAGUUUAUAUGUUAUAUAAUAACCGUUUCACACUUAGCAAUAUAAAAUUAUCUUAAAUGAUGAAGAUUUAUUUAGUCUAUUGGUUAUCUUAAAUUGAAAUAUAAAAUGUAUUAUUUUUUAGAGUAAUGAUUACCAUGAAGAAAACAAAGUGCCUAGUAUCUCACAUAUCUAUGUAGUAUCAAUUAUAGAAUAUGUCUAUAAGUUUGUUUAUUAAUUAUUAAAUACAAAAACAGAAUAAGUUGUUAUAGUUUAAAACAACAAAAUUAUUCACAUAUAAAUUAAACAUUUCUACACAAUAAAAGAAUAUCAAUCUAUAAAAAUAGUUAAAAUUUAAAAAGCCGACAUUAUGACAGUUUAUUGAAGAUAAUAACAAUGACUGGUUAUCAUCAUCCAAUAAAUUUAUUAUAUGGUUUCGUUGCAUGCAACUCCAAUCACUUACCGAGACGAUAAUCAUUAGUAUUGAGAAAUUAAAAAGCUGACAUUAUGAUAGUUUUAUUCCGUAGCAUGCAACUUAUUAACACAUGUUCUAUAUACUACGUUAAGGUAAAGUAAAUUAAUUUAACAUAAAUUAUAAUUAUUAACACCUGUUCUAUAUACGUCACCGUGAACUACCAGUUCGAUAUAUAUAAAGGUAAACAUUGGUCGGUAUAUACUUAAUCGAAAAAAUACAAACAUACAAAGUUGCAAAUAGAAACGGUCAUUAACCAAAAUAGAAUCUUCUAUCUAGUUUCUAUCAUAAAUGGGUUAUAUCAAAAAUUACACUUCGACUUAAAAACCCAAAAAAAUUAACCAAAUGACAUUGUAUUUCAAAAAAUAAAUAAUACUUCAAUUGGUUCGAUAUAUAUUGUUCAAUUGAAAAAUAUAACAACGUCAAACGAUAAACAACACAAAGCCGAAUCACAUAAUAACCAUAGGAAUAUAGUGACGCAUUCACCCCUACAUUAAACAUAAAAACAAAAACUUUUACAUGAUGAAUGCAUUAUAUUAUUAACGGAACGAAUACGAAAAUAAAAAACAUACCUUUUUAAUCAUCACAAUCAUUUCCUAAAUUUCGGAAUACUUAUUUGAAUACAACAUUCAUUGUUUGUCUUUAUGGAUUGCCAUCUCUAUUUACUAUCAGUAUUUUCAAGCCUUUCUUCGAUGUUACCCGAGAUAUUGCAACAUAUAGCUGUCCAUGAGAAAACACAGGACGAGGUAAAUACAAACCUACUUCUGAUAACGACUGUCCCUGAAUUUUGUUGAUGGUUAUAGCGAAUGCAACUGCCAACGGUAACUGUCUACGUCUUAAUUUAAAAGGCAAUCUUGCAUCAGAUGGAGUGAUCAGCAAUCGUGGAAUAAUAACUUAGUCUCCAGCUUUAUCUGCGGUAAUAAUUCUUGCUUCUAUCAUGAAAUCCGCCAUUUGUGUAAUCUGAAGUCUCGUUUCAUUCAUCAAUCCCGCUUUGGGGUCAAUAUUCCUAAGCAGCAUCACAUGACACCCUAUUUUCCAUGUAAUACAAGGAUUUGAUGUCAUCAAAAGAUUCUGGACCCCUGACAACAUUAAGAAGAAUCCUCAAAUAAUAAGCUUCUUCUAGUUUACGUGGAACAUAAGUAAUCCUUCCAAUAGCAAAAUUUUUUUUUCUUGGUUUAAACAUCCGAAGUGAUUUAUCCCACGUAUAGUAAACAGGGAUUUCUCCAUACGUGAGUGUUUUACAUUUACCACCUUUUUUGUUCAACUCAAACCAAGCCGUCAUCUUUGUGUUCUUUACAACUUCCCUAUGGAUAAUCGUUUCUACCAUCUCAUCGCCCUUGAAAUAUACCAACUGUUUGCCUGGUAAGUGAAAGGAAAGGUAUUCAACGGGGGUUGUACGAUUGUGGAUUGGAUUUUUUAAGAUUCGCAAUGCAGAUUCAGACGCAGAUACUUAUAUGUAUAAUAAAAUAGUAUGUUAGAAGUAAACAAUUAACAAUGUUCAAUUAAAUAUAUAGUUUUUAUUCUGACAGUAGUUCAAAUAUAAAUGUUUACAACGAACCUGCAGUCGAAGAAGUCUUUAAUCUCAUUUUUCUUCUUUGCUUGACAUUCAUGUGUGAAAUCAUAAUGACUGUUAUCUCCUCCAUCAGCUUUCACAUUCUAUGCUUGUGAAGGCUCAAUCACAAACGUAACACGAACAAACCCUUUAUUUAUAUACUUAAAUAAGUAUUUAAUGGAAGAAGCUUGGUUGCACCACUCAACAUUGAUAUGAGCUCGAUAACGAAGAGACAACUUCUUGUUAUAGGGUAUCACAAAUUUAUUAUCACAUUUGUAUCCAUUUUUGUCAAUGUAAUCGUUGAGCUGUGAUCUCCUCCUAUACAAAGGAAAACCUUCUUUAUGAAUAGAUGUCGUCUCAACAUGCUGUUUAGGAUACAUUUUUGUACAACUCCCUUGCGACAUGCAUGGUGAUCUUGGAUUAAUAUCACCGCAUGGACCAUGAAACAUCAUUUCUGAAACAAUUCCAUAAAGCUCUGACUCUUCAUAUUGGUCGGGUAUCUCAGCUGAUAUAACAUUGGCGAUUUUUUCAGGAGGAAUUUUUGAAGUUGGAUCUAAAAACAAUAGAAUAUGUGCAUGCGGUAGACCCCUCUUCUGAAACUCUAUAGUGUACAUGGAUGAAAUUACGAAAAUAUAUAUCAAUGAAUAAACUGUAUAAUAUUGAUAUUACAAAUUUCAAAAUUAAAGAAUGUCAAAGUUACUAACCAGAAACAACUUUUCCUAUAACAAGUCUGUUAUCAGCAAAAUCCAUCAUCUUAGAAUCUAGCUUCAUUUUGAACACCCGACAAAUUAUAUCUGGUCUAUCAUCAAAACUGAAUUUCCUCUCGUUCACAUACCUUGUGAUUUCUGGCCACUUUGGAUUACAUGUAAAGGUGAUGAAAAGAUCAGGGUACCUAAAAUGUUUACAUACAGACAUUGCAUCCAAGUAGCAUUGAGUCAUAUAUCAAGGUCCAUCAGUGAAUGAAGGAGGCAAAUACGUUUUUCUACCUUGAUCACGCAAAUUCUUUUUACCUUUAUUUGAUGCAUCUUCUAUUGAAUCAAAAUUUUCAGAUCUGAGUGAUGUCUGGUUUUUGUCAAGAUAGCGAACAAGAUUUGCCUCUAUCAUAGUAAAAACAUCAACCAGAAACUGCUGGAAUAACCUCUUAGCCCGCAGCAAAGUGUGACAUUCAUUCUUUCGCUCCUGUAUACGAAAUGCAAAAAACUGUCUCAUACUAAUAUAUUCUCGUUUCCGUUUCUUCUUUCCAGUCUUUGCAAAACAUUUUUCAACGCGAAUAUGGAAACCGUCUUCACCAUACAAAAAUAUCAAAGGAUACUGUAGAGCAAUGUAUGAAGGAUGAAUUUCACUAUCCUUAUCAGCUUGCCGCAUUGUUUCUGCAAUAUUAUAUCACGCUUACACAUAUCCUCAUUCAGAUCACCAGGGAUCAACGCAGCCACUUCAGACGCAGUAGGCAUAUUAUAUAUCCUUGAGUCUUUCUGGCGAUCAUUUAUAAGUCUCAUAUGAAGCUCCUCGUUGGGAUCCACAUUCAAUCUGUCUCUAGCAGCUCAAAAAUUCUUCACGUAAGGAUUCACCUUAUCUAACAUCUUAAUCAGCCUAUCAAUUAAUUCCUUCCUUAAUUGUUUACGUUUAGACACCUUCAUAGGAUUUUUACUUUUACUGCAAGAAAAAUAUAUCUAUUAUUAAAAUAAAGUAAUAAUAAAUAUGAAUUCAAUCAUUACUUUUACCUCAUAAUGGUUAAACGAUUUUGUACUUCUUCAUCGGUGUCAACAAUAAAUAACUGAUAAAACUUCACAACAUCACCAGGUUUAGGGAGCAUAGUUCCCAUCAGAUGAUAAUUCUCUCCAUUAAGCUGGAACAUUGAUGGUCCACGCCCCUUUUUGAUAGACCUAUCUACUUUACCUCCAAUAGAAGUCAUUGAAAAUAGCAUAUUGUAGGCUCUAACAUUCUCGUGAAAAUGUUUGUUUAGAUCAUUGGCAGAUGUAAAAAGAUGCAUUAAUUCUUCUGGAGAAUCUCGAAGGUAUGGUAGCUUUACUUGACAUUGCGAACAGCACAAAAAAAAUAGGAUUCUUUGCUCUUCUUUUUUUGUUUAAACGUUCACCAUAGCAGAAAAUUUCACCAGAAUAAUUACACGCCUACGAAGGAUAGCCAUAAUCUUUAUAUUCUGAAUAUAAAAGUAGUCCGACAUUAUAAUAAAUUCAUAUGUGAAUCACAUAACAUAAGAUUUAGCGUUGGAAAUAAAUACAUUUAUAUUCGCUGAAAGGAUUAUUAUUAUUAGAGACUCCUACAGAAAAUGCUUUCUGCAACAUAGUAGCUAAACUCUUGACAUCAUAAACAUAGUCUUCAGGUUCCUCAUUGUCAGAUGAAAUUUCUUCGCCAGCUUCAUCCAUAAUAUAGUUUUCCUCAUCGGACGAACCAUCAAGACUGCUACAGUCAAACCGCUGUUCAUAAUCUUACUCAUCUAUAAAAUAUAUAAUUGUUAUUAGUUAAAAAGGUAUAAGUGUAUAUAACUGCACAUUAAGUCAAUACAGCAUGAAGGUAAAUAUUACCUUCUGAAUCCCAGUAUUUGUUUGGAAAGACGACAUCCUUAUACAUAUCUUUGGUAUCAUCAACACCAAGACUACUAUAAUCAACAUGUCCUGACAGACGAAUGUAAAACAAUACGAAAUGCAAGUGAACGAUAUUUUCUGGGCACAAAAUUAGUUGCAAUAUAAAUACUUACCUUCACGAUGUUGAUGGUCGAAAAUAUUCUCGUUGUAGUUCUGACCAAUCUCCUGUUUACAUCUAUAAUCUUCAUACGAAGAUAUAGAAUCUGUAUUCCGUAUACAAGAUGAAUCUGCAUUUUCUAAGAAAACAAACUUGGUUGACUUGUUACUUGACCCACAAUUAUUUAACUUCGUCGAUGUCAACUGGGAUAGCUCGGCUAUAUAAAUAAAAAAGAAGAUUACGAAAACCAAUACUUAUCAAGGUACUUUAUAUAUAAAGGACUAUAGUACGCCAAACAUAUAUAACUCACAUGAAGAUAGUGAUUCUGGUUGUUUCCGCUUUCUCUUUUCUAAUGUGAAAGAAUUCUCUUUCCCAGUAUAAUUUGUUUUAGUAUGUAGAGCUGAAUUAUUGAAAGAAUAAUGUCGCAUACUAAAGUUUAAUGAUUUAUAACCAUUGUGUUAACGAUAAUAAUAUACGAUUUAAAGAAAAUAGUUUCUAAACAUCAAUUUAAGAAGACUUACAGUUUUCCAGUCCAUCACAUAAGGUAGGAGAAAAUUGAUUAUGCGUUCUAGUUAGGGAUUCAAUAUUAGUUCUGUCUACCACAAUUUGUGGAAAUAGAGAAUGAACUUUGAUCUCGUUUUCAAAAUGAUUAUCCACUAUAUCUGAUUUCUGAGUAAACGAAUUGGUAGAUGAUGACCCUGAAUUAUUAACUUGGCUGCUCCAACCAGACAACAAAGCCUUCUGUUUAUUCUUCCGAUCAACAUGUUUAAUCCUAAGCAUAAUUUAACCUCUCAUAAAACUUCCUCGUUAAGAUCAAAAUAUAGCAAAAAACGAUGGGAUUAGGCAGGGAAGAUAGACUAAGAAUAAAACGAAAGAGUUUAAGUUAAAUUUACGGCUGCAAAUCCUACAUGUGAAUCUUAACAAUAUCUAUUAAUCAAUUAUGAUAUGUAAAGAUCUUUUUUUCAAAAUAUUAAUUGAUAAAUGAACAUAACCAAUUUAAAUAUAUUUAUAUGAAAUUAUCAUUCACAUAUAUGAAUAAUAUACCAUAAAUCGAAUUAUGUACAUAACAAUUAUGGUUAUUUGCCAUAGAUAUGAAACAUCUUAAAAACAUUGCCAUUACAAUUUCACACUGUAUAUUUGCAAAAUAUUAUAAUUUAUUAAUUGCAUACUGUAAAUCGUUAAGACAAUAUAUAAUUAGGUAAUUCACAUGUUCACUCAAUAUGAUUAUAUAUUAUAUAUGCAAUCAAAUUUUCCACUAUAUAAAAUAUCAUUUUUUGUUACAAUCCAUUCCAUGAACAUCUACAUAAAAAAAGAAAUUGAGAUUUAAAUUAUUAAUUUACUUAGGUAUAAAUUAGAAAAUGUAAAUAAACUACUUCUUUCUGACGUGAUCCUUGACAGAUGUACAAAAAAUAUUUAAUAGAGAAACAAUUUUUUUCUUGGAUGUAAAUAUAUUUUUUUGUACGUGAUGUGAUACUGAGCAGCAUCAAGAAAGGAGAGCUUGAACCAGAGCAUGGAGCUAGGGAUCAGCUUGUAGCCGAGAGAUAUUGGUCUAAAAACAAAGGAGCUAAGGCUAAUAAGCUCAAGGAAGGCAUUGGCGAGAUACCUACUUAUCUAUGGAACAAAGAAGAUCGCUUGAGCCAGGCUGGAGAAGAUGGAUUACAAACCACGCUGGUUUCGAUUCAGGCUCAAGUAGAACAACAAUUGGAUAAGUGGCCCAAUUGUACUCUUUUUCCCUUACCUUUGGUUUUGUCCCAAUGGGUUUUCCAAAGGAAGAUUUUUAAGGAGGCAAUGGUGUCUACUUCUCUCAAGGCCCAAUUGUUGAUUCAAGAACUUAAGCCCAAGACAAAUUUCGUCCAAGGGAAGUUCAAGAGGCUGGAGAAGUGACUUGAAGAGUUAUUCAAACUUUGCAUUUAUUUCCUUGUCAUUUUCGAGUUUGCCUUGUUUUUCUACAUUUCUUCUCUUUAUAAUCUCUUGUAAUCUCUUAUGAGAACUCAUCCUGGAUUGGAUCAUCAAACUUUUAUCAAAUAAAACUCUAUCUUUCUCUUAUCAAACCUGGACGAAAUCCUUUGUCUCUUUGAGAGUGAUUCGCUGCUUGUGCAGCAUCUUUAUCAUCUCUAUUCUCUUUGUUUUCUCCUGAGAGUGAAUCGCUGCUUCUGCAGCAUCUUUUUCAUUUCUCUUCUAUCUCUUGUGAUCAAAUUAAACUCUGAACAGCAACCUGAUCUAUUAAUCUCUUCAAACAGAAGUUCAUUCGCAAGCUUCUGUCCUUGAUCUAUCUCUUACCAAGCUUCUGAGUGCCGAUCCUUGGGAGGAUCACAUCAAGUGGUAUCAGAGCACACUUAGAAGUUUCUUUGGUAGUCUCUAUCCUUUCUCAGCUAUUUAAUUUCGUGUCUGCAUCUGUUCAUCUUCUAUUUUCGUUUUAGUUCUCUUCAGAAAAAGAAAACCCAUAAAAAUCAUUUUAGAUCUGUUUAGUUUGCAUCAUAAGCCUCUAAAUCUAGUGUUGUUUGCCUCUGCAUCACGCUUUCAUCCCUGAUUUUGUUGGUCUUUUCAUAUUCUGGCAUCAGAUCUGCUCAUAUUAGUUUGUCUCUUCAGCUUCUAUAAUCAGAUCUCAUCAUCGGCCAUAUCUGUGCUUGUUUAAAAAUAAACCGAUCAUAUUCUAGGGCUUUUGAUUUCUUGUGGUACACGAAGAGUCACUUUUGCAUUUUGAUCUUUUGUGAGAACUAGUUACUGGCUUUGUUUUGUGCUCUCUUUUUCAGGUCACAAUGAGUGAAGAGCAAGGAGACAACAGCAACAAUAGCACCAAACUCUUUAUGGAAGCUAUGAUGGCUCGGUUUGAGCAACUGAUGAAAACUCAAGCAGAAGAACUACAUCAGCGAAUUGAUCAGCUACAAGGAGAACCUAAUCCAAGGGGGAUUCAAGAAAGAAAUACCAAUGGAGUUCAUGUCCAGCAGAGACAGCCUAGAAAUGAUGUUGGUGAUGAUAAUUCUUCACAAGGCAGUCUAAGACAUGGAAGAGGAGUAAGAGAACGUGUUGAUGAUGACAUGAGAGGCAUGAAGCUGAAAGUUCCUCCUUUUCAUGGUAAGAAUGAUCCAGACGCUUAUCUGGAAUGGGAGAAGAAGGUCGAGAUGAUCUAUGAUUGUCAAGAGUAUUCAGAUCUCAAGAUGGUGAAGCUAGCUGCUACAGAGUUUUAUGGUUAUGCCAUAAACUGGUGGGAUCAGAUCACAACAAGCCGCAAACGCAAUAGAGAGCCGCCUGUUGAUACUUGGGAUGAGUUGAAAGCACUCAUGAGGAAGUGCUUUGUCCGUAGUCAUUAUCAGCGAGAGCUACACCAGAGACUUAGGCGCUUGACUCAAGGAAACAGCAGUGUGGAAGAUUAUUUUCAAGAAAUGGAAUCUCUGAUGAUCAAGGCUGGUAUUGAAGAAGAUGAAGAAGCAACCAUCGCUAGGUUCUUGAGUGGGUUAAACCGAGAAGUUCAAGACAGAGUGGAGAUGCAAAGCUAUGCUGAUCUAGAGGAGAUAUAUCACAAGGCCAUUCUGGUUGAACAACAGCUCAAGCGGAGAGGAUCUCGAUCAACUUUUGGAGUUAAUUCAUCUACGGCUAGACCAGGCUUCACAAAAGAAGAAAAACCAAGUGCUGAGCCUGUGGUGUCUUCUAAAUCAUUCUCUACUAAACCAGAGUUCAAGGUCAAAACCGAAUCAUCAACUACUAGAGCUCGUGAGAUAGUCUGCUUCAAGUGUCAAGGAAGAGGACACAUCGCUAGUGAAUGUCCUAACAAGAGAGUUCUGGUUCUCUUGGACAAUGGUGAGUACGAAUCAGCAGAUGAAAAAGAGAUCUCAGAUUCAGUGGAAGAGCAUGAGGAGUAUGCUGCUACAGGAGAUCUUUUGAUGAUGAAAAAGAUUCUAAACGUGCAAGCUAAGGCAGAGGAAGAAGCACAAAGACAGAACCUGUUUCACACAAGAUAUCAUGUGCAAGGCAAGGUGUGCAAUCUCAUCAUCGAUGGAGGAAGCUGCACCAAUGUAGCAAGUGAAUACAUGGUUAAUAAGCUUGGCUUGACCGUGAGGAAGCAUCCUAAGCCAUACAAUCUGCAUUGGCUCAAUGAUAAAGGUGAAAUGCGAGUUGACAGCCAAGUAUCGGUUUCUUUAACCCUUGGAAAGUAUGAGGACGAAAUUCUGUGUGAUGUUCUACCUAUGGAGGAAAGUCACAUCCUGUUGGGAAGGCCAUGGCAGUAUGAUAGACAAGUGACUCAUGAUGGCUCCACCAACAAGUAUUCUUUUGAGUUCAAAGGCAGGAAGCACAUCCUUGUUCCAAUGACACCUUUCGGGAUUUAUAAAGAUCUAAAGAAGAAAGGAAAACAGGCUGAGAACAACACCUACAAGCAAUCAAAUUUCCUUGCCAAAUCUGGUAAUAUCCAAAGAACUCUAAUCUCUCAAUCAUCUAGUCGUAAGUCUGCUUAUAAAGAAACUCUUUUGAGUUUAUCUAAUGUUGCACCGGAGCUGCCGAGUGGAAGAUCUUUUGUUUUGCAGGACUAUAAGGAUGAUUUUCUUAGGCCAACUGAACCUUUAGAAGAUAGAUUCUGGAACAGAAUUCAGUUACAAAUAGAUUGCAUCUUUCCUAUGAAAAACCCAUCCGAAGGCCUUAUCUUCACCAAAAAGAGCCUUAAGCAAAAGGAGCUUGUAAACGAUCAAACCACCACUGAAAAAGGAGCUCAAAACGAACAAGGAAAAGGGAUGAGGGCUGGAGGACGUGUGGAACUUGAACACUCUGACCUCAAGGAUGCUAGGAAGCAUGGAACACCUCAAACUCCAAUACAGAUCACUGCCGAAACAUACUUGCAAGGUAAGCAUUAUCCGAAUUCAAGUUCUAAUGGUUCUAACUUAGCGUUGUUCUUGGCAGAUGGUCCUGAUUUGAGGACAAAUCCUUUUCAACUGGGGGAGUAUGAUGUGAUACUGAGCAGCAUCAAGAAAGGAGAGCUUGAACCAGAGCAUGGAGCUAAGGAUCAGCUUGUAGCCGAGAGAUAUUGGUCUAAAAACAAAGGAGCUAAGGCUAAUAAGCUCAAGGAAGGCAUUGGCGAGAUACCUACUUAUCUAUGGAACAAAGAAGAUCGCUUGAGCCAGGCUGGAGAAGAUGGAUUACAAACCACGCUGGUUUCGAUUCAGGCUCAAGUAGAUCAACAAUUGGAUAAGUGGCUCAGUUGUACUCUUUUUCCCUUAUCUUUGGUUUUGUCCCAAUGGGUUUUCUAAAGGAAGGUUUUUAAGGAGGCAAUGGUGUCUACUUCUCUCAAGGCCCAAUUGUUGAUUCAAGGACUUAAACCCAAGACAAAUUUCGUCCAAGGGAAGUUCAAGAGGCUGGAGAAGUGACUUGAAGAGUUAUUCAAACUUUGCAUUUAUUUCCUUGUUAUUUUCGAGUUUGCCUUGUUUUUCUACAUUUCUUCUCUUUAUAAUCUCUUGUAAUCUCUUAUGAGAACUCAUCCUGGAUUGGAUCAUCAAACUUUUAUCAAAUAAAACUCUAUCUUUCUCUUAUCAAACCUGGACGAAAUCCUUUGUCUCUUUGAGAGUGAUUCGCUGCUUGUGCAGCAUCUUUUUCAUCUCUAUUCUUUUUGUUUUCUCCUGAGAGUGAAUCGCUGCUUCUGCAGCAUCUUUUUCCAUUCUCUUCUAUCUCUUGUGAUCAAAUUAAACUCUGAACAGCAACCUGAUCUAUUAAUCUCUUCAACAGAAGUUCAUUCCGCAAGCUUCUGUCCCUGAUCUAUCUCUUACCAAGCUUCUGAGUGCCGAUCUUUGGGAGGAUCACAUCGGUACGUCUGUCUGAGGACCACAUAAGAGGAAUAGUUGUAGAGAGAAUUGUAUUUGAGUGAAGAAAGUUCCCUUCUACUUUUAUUUAUAGUCGUAAAAGUAAAGCGACUACUCACGUUUCAUCUAUGUGUUUCAUAUUCCCCAAAGUCUGCUCUAAUUAAAAUAUAUUAAGAUACAGUUGACUCAAUUUUCAUAAAUUCCCAUAGAAUAGCAUUUACAAAUAAAUGAAUAUAUCUUCUAUAAAUAUUGGAAAAUAUCUUGAAAAAUAAAAAAAUAAGGUAUGUACUCUGAAGUAAGUGUAUGAUUCAUCUACAAUUUCUUAAUCAUACAUAGAAUAUAAUAAUUACUCAAAUAUGUCACUGCAAAACGUUAGGCAAUAUUAAUUUCGGCCCAAUAAAAUUAACACGAUACACAAGUGAUUUGUAAAAUAACGUAAAUGUAGUAAUGGUUAAAUUAAAAGAAUAAAUUAUUAAAGUUCAAGAACAAUGCAUGAGUAUCAUCCGAACAAAUCUCAACAAAAAGUUGAACAACAAUAGCGAAAUAACAUGAGAAGUUACAAAUUCAAAUAACCAUUUUUUUCGCUAUAUCACGACCAUAACUUUUCCAGAUCCAUGUGCACGAGCGAGUCCCUUGUCAAAUUUCCAUCUCAUAAGAAGGCUCUUGCCUCAGCGUGUUUAUCAGAGACAGCUACAAGGUUUACAUAUAAAUAUAAACAUAAAAGGCCAAAUAACGUGUAUUAAUAUAUACAAUUUAUUAUAUGCAAGCAAACUAAUAAAUUUCAAAAUUAUACCUUAUUACCAGGCAAUAGCAAGCUCUGAUCACCCAUAUCUUCAGAUUCAUUCACCUCAUCAACGGAUAAAACAUCAUUUCCUUUCCAAACGUUCCGACUUUAUAUGUAUUACUACCACCAUAUAGAUUUUCUUUCUCAACACAAAUCAGAAACUGAAAAGUCUUCCCAAUCAAGUUUUGCAGUGCAUCAGGAAGGACAUCCGGUUCUUGUAUCUAAGUAUAUAACGUACAUGAAAUUUUAAACAAACAAAGUCUUUAAGCAUAUAGGGUUAUAAUUGUAUCAUAGAUUAAGAUUUACAAAUUAAUACCUCAUCGAAGUUCCCCUUGAGAAUUUCAUCAGCUUUCUGAUUUAAAAUAUCCUGCGCAUUUCUAUCAAAAAGAAAACACUUGAUCUUGCUGGUAUCUUCCAUAACGCAAAGAUGAAGUUUGUACCUAGCAAUAUAUAAAGAUUGUAUUAAACUACUCGAAUGCACGGUUAGAUAAAUAAUUAAGACAAAUACUAAAAAAAUAGUAAAAAUUUUUACCUCGCACUCACAAAUGACACUUUUGCAUCACAUGUUUCACAUGAAUAAAGGGUCUUAUUCUUCUUGGUCAUUUUUUGAUUUUCCUUCUUUGGAAUUUUGUACACUUUUUUACCACACCUAGUGCAAACCAAUAAGAUAUUAUGUGAAAAAAAUUAUAAAUAAUAUAAACGAUAAACACAUUACCUAUAGGAUAAGUAGGAUCGACCAUUCCAUCUUUAAUUGAUUUGAAAUCAAUCAAAUUCAAAAACAUGCAAGUUGGGGGAUUAUUGACAAGAGUUGCAACGGAAGUCUCACGGGUCAAAAUAAUGUUGUAGAAGUGAUUCGUUGCUCUCUCGUUCCAGUUAUUCCAGUCGGAGUUUGUAACUACAAACCCACUAAUUUCUUUCCAAUUUCCUUCAUUCAUUUCUCGACGAAAGAACGAUUCAACGAAAUUAUUUGUCGUUGCAUGUAUUUUUAAACCCUGAGACAUUUUCCGUUAAAAAUUAAAAGUAAAUUAUAUGAUAAAAUAAAAUAAAAAAUUUGCACAGAUGUUGUUAAUAAAACCUCUUCGUCGACAAAGAUGAACUCCAAACGCGGUCUACCAUUGUUGUCAAACUCUGUCAAUUUCUUAUAAACUAAAACACAUAUAGUCCAGUGUUUUCUCCAUGGGUGUAAGUGACUAACUAAGUUGUAGUAAACCAUUUUGAAGAAAAAAUUGAUCGUUUCUGGGUUUGCAAAAUUAUGGGAUUGGUUUUUAUUGCCUGGAUAGUCGCCAAGGGAGUAAAAUCAGAAAACAGAGGAUAUAUCUCACCUGUUUACUUUGGAAAAUUCACUAAAUUUAAAUAUUUUGUAUAGAAUUUAAUGCAAUACCUUUUAAUUAGUACACUUAAUUGAAUUAAAAUUUUAAUUUAGUUUCUAUUAAUUUAAUGUGGUUGGUAUCUUUCGUAUCUAUUGAAUAUAUAUAAUAAAAAUAAAAUUGUUUUGACAGAAAUCAUAAAAUCCAGUUUGGUAAAUAUUGAUUGAUAUAUCGCUAGUUAGAAGACCAAAUGUCAUGUAGGUUCAAUAAUUGAUUGUCUUUAUGCAACUUGCAUAUGUUUAUAUAUGACACAUUUUAUUAGGGUAUUUCAAAAAUAUACACUUCAAAAAUACUUGUUAGACAUUACAAUUUUUAUUUCAUAAAUGUGCAAGUGGUUUAUGUUUACCUUUUCUAGUUUAUAUGUUAUAUAAUAACCGUUUCACACUUAGCAAUAUAAAAUUAUCUUAAAUGAUGAAGAUUUAUUUACUCUAUUGGUUAUCUUAAAUUGAAAUAUAAAAUGUAUUAUUCUUUAGAGUAAUGAUUACCAGGAAGAAAACAAAGUGCCUAGUAUCUCACAUAUCUAUGUAGUAUCAGUUAUAGAAUAUGUCUAUAAGUUUGUUUAUUAAUUAUUAAAUACAAAAAACAGAAUAAGUUGUUAUAGUUUAAAACAACGAAAUUAUUCACAUAUAAAUUAAACAUUUCUACAUAAUCAAAGAAUAUCAAUCUAUAAAAAAAGUUAAAAGUUAAAAAGCCGACAUUAUGACAGUUUAUUGAAGAUAAUAACAAUGACUGGUUAUCAUCAUCCAAUAAAUUUAUUAUAUGGUUUCGUUGCAUGCAACUCCAAUCACUUACCGAGACGAUAAUCAUUAGUAUUGAGAAAUUAAAAAGCUGACAUUAUGAUAGUUUAUUCCGUAGCAUGCAACUUAUUAACACAUGUUCUAUAUACAUUAAGGUAAAGUAAAUUAAUUUAACAUAAAUUAUAAUUAUUAACACUUUUAUAUAUACGUCACCGUGAACUACCAGUUCGAUAUAUAUAAAGGUAAACAUUGGUCGGUAUAUACUCAAUCGAAAAAAUACAAACAUACAAAGUUGCAAAUAGAAACGGUCAUUAUACCAAAAUAGAAUCUUCUAUCUAGUUUCUAUCAUAAAUGGGAUAUAUCAAAAAUUACACUUCGACUUAAAAACCCAAAAAAAUUAACCAAAUGACAUUGUAUUUCAAAAAAUAAAUAAUACUUCAAUUGGUUCGAUAUAUAUUGUUCAAUUGAAAAAUAUAACAACGUCAAACGAUAAACAACACAAAGCCGAAUCACAUAAUAACCAUAGGAAUACAGUGACGCAUUCACCCCUACAUUAAACAUAAAAACAAAAACUUUUACAUGAUGAAUGCAUUAUAUUAUUAACGGAACGAAUACGAAAAUAAAAAACAUACCUUUUUAAUCAUCACGAUCAUUUCCUAAAUUUCAGAAUACUUAUUUGAAUAGAACAUUCAUUGUUUGCCUUUAUGGAUUGCCAUCUCUAUUUACUAUCAGUAUUUUCAAGCCUUUCUUCGAUGUUACCCGAGAUAUUGCAACAUAUAGCUGUCCAUGAGAAAACACAGGACGAGGUAAAUACAAACCUACUUCUGAUAACGACUGUCCCUGAAUUUUGUUGAUGGUUAUAGCGAAUGCAACUGCCAACGGUAACUGUCUACGUCUUAAUUUAAAAGGCAAUCUUGCAUCAGAUGGAGUGAUCAGCAAUCGUGGAAUAAUAACUUUGUCUCCAGCUUUAUCUGCGGUAAUAAUUCUUGCUUCUAUCAUGAAAUCCGCCAUUUGUGUAAUCUGAAGUCUCGUUUCAUUCAUCAAUCCCGCUUUAGGGUCAAUAUUCCUAAGCAGCAUCACAGGACACCUUAUUUUCAAUGUAAUACAAUGAUUGGGGAAUCCAGCAACUUUUAUACUGUUCAAAAAUUCAUGAGUAAAAGCGGGAUUUUUCAAUGCUCCGGAGUCAGCAGGAUCUAUAGUAUCAGAACUCAGAUAUACUUUUGACUCACCUGUGUUAAUUAGUUCAAAAUAUUGAUAUAAGUAAGAAUAAAAGUCCAAAAACAAACCAAUAAACACAAUCAUAUAAGAUGAACAUAUUGUACUUACCAGUCAUAUUCGAAAAUAUAUGUUCAUUUAUAUUGUUCACAUUUUCAUUGGUUGGACAAAGUAUUGCUCUUUCUUGCCAAAAUUUGGCCUCUUUUUCCUCCUGAAACGAUGUUUUUUAUCCGUAAAUCAUGUAUGUCCGUUAUAAGGAACUCCUCAGGAAUAUCAAUCAUUGCUUCACCGUCAUUUGGCUCAGCAAUUUUACCUUCGCCAACAUCUAAAAUCCAUUCAGAAAAUUCCUUUAAUUCAUUUGCUUGCUCAACAUUCAAGUCACUUGCCAGUAACCUCAUAUUUUUUGUUAGCUUCAUAACUUUGCAAUAAUCCCAAAUAUAGGAUGCAUUCAAUGCAGCAUUAGCAACAUCUCCCCUGGAAGCACUAUGCAUGACCGGUAGAAUCUGCUUGAAAUCUCCACCAAAUACAACAACUUUCCCACCGAAAACACCUCCUUCGUCAUUCUGCAUGAUGUCAGAUAAAUUUUUAUCUAACGAUUCAAAGCAGUAUUUACUCAUCAUAGGUGCUUCAUCCCAAAUAAUAAGAGAUGCUUCUUCUAUCAAAUUCGCAACUUCUGAACCACGUUUCAUCGAACAUGUAGUAUAUUUAUCUAGGUUAAUAGGUAUACCAAACCGCAAAUGAGCUGUCCAACCUCCUUGUAACAACAAAGAUGCGAUUCCACUUGAUGCAACGUUUAGCACAAUAUCACCCUUACAUCUUAUUGCAACAGAAAAAAGAGACCAAAGGAAAGUUUUGCCAGUACCUCCAAAUCCAUAUACAAAAAACGACUCUUUUUUUGUUCUCAACUACUUCAAUAAUCUUCCUUUGCUCAGUUGUAAGCUUCACAAUGUCUCUAUCAUGCAUUUCUUUUAAUGUCUGUCUAUCAAAAUUUUUUCAUCAAUUAUUAAGACAUUAUCGUUGUUAAGCCCAUCUUUUGGAGGCUUAGGCAUUGAUGUAUAGAAUUGCAAAGAACUAUUGUGAAAUUUCAAGAUCUUCUCAAUCUCCAAAAGGGCAAACUUUUUCUUAUCAGCAUCAUCCAAUAUAAGACCUGCAAAACGUGUAAAUUAUAUGUAUAAUGAGUUUACUAAUCAGUAACAAAUUAAACAAUGCAUUACGGUUUAACACAAUACCGUUAACGAUGCAAUAAAAUAAAUAAGAAACAGUAGGGAAUUUAUCAAAACUAUCCGAUUACAAUGCUGUCGCCGCAUGUAUUCAAUAUCUUCUGACAAAACUUCCCAGGUUUGUUCCCAAACAUAUUCAAGUCGAGACAAACUACCAGAUACAAGCAUUAUAACAAAUAGUUGUCUUAAAAAUGACCCUGUAGCAGUAAAACUCAUUCUAAUAAUAUCAGUAAUAUACUCCUGGUCAUCUUCUAACAACUCUCUAGCAUAACAUGCUUCCUUGAAAGAAGGGUAUACCACAUCAUUGUAGGAUUUGAUGUCAUCAAAAGAUUCUGGACCCCUGACAACAUUAAGAAGAAUCCUCAAAUAAUAAGCUUCUUCUAGUUUACGUGGAACAUAAGUAAUCCUUCCAAUAGCAAAAUUUUUUUUUCUUGGUUUAAACAUCCGAAGUGAUCUAUCCCAUAUAUAGUAAACAGGGAUUUCUCCAUACGUGAGUGUUUUACAUUUACCACCUUUUUUGUUCAACUCAAACCAAGCCGUCAUCUUUGUGUUCUAUACAACUUCCCUAUGGAUAAUCGUUUCUACCAUCUCAUCGCCCUUGAAAUAUACCAACUGUUUGCCUGGUAAGUGAAAGGAAAGGUAUUCAACGGGGGUUGUACGAUUGUGGAUUGGAUUUUUUAAGAUUCGCAAUGCAGAUUCACACGCAGAUACUUAUAUGUAUAAUAAAAUAGUAUGUUAGAAGUAAACAAUUAACAAUGUUCAAUUAAAUAUAUAGUUUUUAUUCUGACAGUAGUUCAAAUAUAAAUGUUUACAACGAACCUGCAGUCGAAGAAGUCUUUAAUCUCAUUUUUCUUCUUUGCUUGACAUUCAUGUGUGAAAUCAUAAUGACUGUUAUCUCCUCCAUCAGCUUUCACAUUCUAUGCUUGUGAAGGCUCAAUCACAAACGUAACACGAACAAACCCUUUAUUUAUAUACUUAAAUAAGUAUUUAAUGGAAGAAGCUUGGUUGCACCACUCAACAUUGAUAUGAGCUCGAUAACGAAGAGACAACUUCUUGUUAUAGGGUAUCACAAAUUUAUUAUCACAUUUGUAUCCAUUUUUGUCAAUGUAAUCGUUGAGCUGUGAUCUCCUCCUAUACAGAGGAAAACCUUCUUUAUUAAUAGUUGUCGUCUCAACAUGCUGUUUAGGAUACAUUUUUGUACAACUCCCUUGCGACAUGCAUGGUGAUCUUGGAUUAAUAUCACCGCAUGGACCAUGAAACAUCAUUUCUGAAACAAUUCCAUAAAGCUCGGACUCUUCAUAUUGGUCGGGUAUCUCAGCUGAUAUAACAUUGGCGAUUUUUUCAGGAGGAAUUUUUGAAGUUGGAUCUAAAAACAAUAGAAUAUGUGCAUGCGGUAGACCCCUCUUCUGAAACUCUAUAGUGUACAUGGAUGAAAUUACGAAAAUAUAUAUCAAUGAAUAAACUGUAUAAUAUUGAUAUUACAAAUUUCAAAAUUAAAGAAUGUCAAAGUUACUAACCAGAAACAACUUUUCCUAUAACAAGUCUGUUAUCAGCAAAAUCCAUCAUCUUAGAAUCUAGCUUCAUUUUGAACACCCGACAAAUUAUAUCUGGUCUAUCAUCAAAACUGAAUUUCCUCUCGUUCACAUACCUUGUGAUUUCUGGCCACUUUGGAUUACAUGUAAAGGUGAUGAAAAGAUCAGGGUACCUAAAAUGUUUACAUACAGACAUUGCAUCCAAGUAGCAUUGAGUCAUAUAUCAAGGUCCAUCAGUGAAUGAAGGAGGCAAAUACGUUUUUCUACCUUGAUCACGCAAAUUCUUUUUACCUUUAUUUGAUGCAUCUUCUAUUGAAUCAAAAUUUUCAGAUCUGAGUGAUGUCUGGUUUUUGUCAAGAUAGCGAACAAGAUUUGCCUCUAUCAUAGUAAAAACAUCAACCAGAAACUGCUGGAAUAACCUCUUAGCCCGCAGCAAAGUGUGACAUUCAUUCUUUCGCUCCUGUAUACGAAAUGCAAAAAACUGUCUCAUACUAAUAUAUUCUCGUUUCCGUUUCUUCUUUCCAGUCUUUGCAAAACAUUUUUCAAUGCGUAUAUGGAAACCGUCUUCACCAUAUAAAAAUAUCAAAGGAUACUAUAGAGCAAUGUAUGAAGGAUGAAUUUCACUAUCCUUAUCAGCUUGCCGCAUUGUUUCUGCAAUAUUAUAUCACGCUUACACAUAUCCUCAUUCAGAUCACCAGGGAUCAACGCAGCCACUUCAGACACAGUAGGCAUAUUAUAUAUCCUUGAGUCUUUCUGGCGAUCAUUUAUAAGUCUCAUAUGAAGCUCCUCGUUGGGAUCCAUAUUCAAUCUGUCUCUAGCAGCUCAAAAAAUUUUCACGUAAGGGUUCACCUUAUCUAACAUCUUAAUCAGCCUAUCAAUUAAUUCCUUCCUGAAUUGUUUACGUUUAGACACCUUCAUAGGAUUUUUACUUUUACUGCAAGAAAAAUAUAUCUAUUAUUAAAAUAAAGUAAUAAUAAAUAUGAAUUCAAUCAUUACUUUUACCUCAUAAUGGUCAAACGAUUUUGUACUUCUUCAUCGGUGUCAACAGUAAAUAACUGAUAAAACUUCGCAACAUCACCAGGUUUAGGGAGCAUACUUCCCAUCAGAUGAUAAUUCUCUCCGUUAAGCUGGAACAUUGAUGGUCCAUGCCCCUUUUUGAUAGACCUAUCUACUUUACCUCCAAUAGAAGUCAUUGAAAAUAGCAUAUUGUAGGCUCUAACAUUCUCGUGAAAAUGUUUGCUUAGAUCAUUGGCAGAUGUAAAAAGAUGCAUUAAUUCCUCUGGAGAAUCUCGAAGGUAUGGUAGCUUUACUUGACAUUACGAACAACACAAAGAAAAUAUAGGAUUCUUUGCUCUUCUUCUUUUGUUUAAACGUUCACCAUACCAGAAAUUUCACCAGAAUAAUUACACGUAUAUGAAGGAUAGCCAUCAUCUUUAUAUUCUGAAUAUAAAAGUAGUCCGACAUUAUAAUAAAUUCAUAUGUGAAUCACAUAACAUAAGAUUUAGCGUUAGAAAUAAAUACCUUUAUAUUCGCUGAAAGGAUUAUUAUUAUUAGAGACUCCUACAGAAAAUGCUUUCUGCAACAUAGUAGCUAAACUCUUGACAUCUUAAACAUAGUCUUCAGGUUCCUCAUUGUCAGAUGAAAUUUCUUCGCCAGCUUCAUCCAUAAUAUAGUUUUCCUCAUCGGACGAACAAUCAAGACUGCUACAGUCAAACCAUUGUUCAUAAUCAUACUCAUCUAUAAAAUAUAUAAUUGUUAUUAGUUAAAAAGGUAUAAGUGUAUAUAAUUGCACAUUAAGUCAAUACAGCAUGAAGGUAAAUAUUACCUUCUGAAUCCCAGUAUUUGUUUGGAAAGACGACAUCAUUAUACAUAUCUUUGGUAUCAUCAACACCAAGACUACCAUAAUCAACAUGUCCUGACAGACGAAUGUAAAACAAUACGAAAUGCAAGUGAACGAUAUUUUCUGGGCACAAAAUUAGUUGCAAUAUAAAUACUUACCUUCACGAUGUUGAUGGUCGAAAAUAUUCUCGUUGUAGUUCUGACCAAUCUCCUGUUUACAUCUAUAAUCUUCAUACGAAGAUAUAGAAUCUGUAUUCCGUAUACAAGAUGAAUCUGUAUUUUCUAAGAAAACAAACUUGGUUGACUUGUUACUUGACCCACAAUUAUUUAACUUCGUCGAUGUCAACUGGGAUAGCUCGGCUAUAUAAAUAAAAAAGAAGAUUACAAAAACCAAUACUUAUCAAGGUACUUUAUAUAUAAAGGACCAUAGUACGCCAAACAUAUAUAACUCACAUGAAGAUAGUGAUUCUGGUUGUUUCCGCUUUCUCUUUUCUAAUGUGAAAGAAUUCUCUUUCCCAGUAUAAUUUGUUUUAGUAUGUAGAGCUGAAUUAUUGAAAGAAUAGUGUCGCAUACUAAAGUUUAAUGAUUUAUAACCAUUGUGUUAACGAUAAUAAUUUACGAUUUAAAGAAAUAGUUUCUAAACAUCAAUUUAAGAAGACUUACAGUUUUCCAGUCCAUCACAUAAGGUAGGAGAAAAUUGAUUAUGCGUUCUAGUUAGGGAUUCAGUAUUAGUUCUGUCUACCACAAUUUCUGGAAGUAGAGAAUGAACUUUGAUCUCGUUUUCAAAAUGAUUAUCCACUAUAUCUGAUUUCUGAGUAAACGAAUUGGUAGAUGAUGACCCUGAAUUAUUAACUUGGCUGCUCCAACCAGACAACAAAGCCUUCUGUUUAUUCUUCCGAUCAACAUGUUUAAUCCUAAGCAUAAUUUAACCUCUCAUAAAACCUCCUCGUUAGGAUCAAAAUAUAGCAAAAAAACGAUGGGAUUAGGGAGGGUAGAUAGACUAAGAAUAAAACGAAAGAGUUUAGGUUAAAUUUACGGCCGCAAAUCCUACAAGUGAAUCUUAACAAUAUCUAUUAAUCAAUUAUGAUAUGUAAAGAUCUUUUUUUUCAAAAUAUAAAUUGAUAAAUGAACAUAACCAAUUUAAAUAUAUUUAUAUGAAAUUAUCAUUCACAUAUAUGAAUAAUAUACCAUAAAUCGAAUUAUGUACAUAACAGUUAUGGUUAUUUGCCAUAGAUAUGAAACAUCUUAAAAACAUUGCCAUUACAAUUUCACGCUGUAUAUUUGCAAAAUAUUAUAAUUUAUUAAUUGCAUACUGUAAAUCGUUAAGACAGUAUAUAAUUAGGUAAUUCACAUAUUCACUCAAUAUGAUUAUAUAUUAUAUAUGCAAUCGAAUUUUCCACUAUAUAAAAUAUCAUUUUUUGUUACAAUCCAUUCCACGAACAUCUACAUAAAAAAGAAAUUGAGAUUUAAAUUAUUAAUUUACUUAGGUAUAAAUUAGAAAAUGUAAAUAAACUACUUCUUUCUGAUGUGAUCCUUGACAGAUGUACAAAAAAUUUAAUAGAGAAACAAUUUUUUCUUGGAUGUAAAUAUAUUUUUUUGUACGUCUGUCUGAGGACCACAUAAGAGGAAUAGUUGUAGAGAGAAUUGUAUUUGAGUGAAGAAAGUUCCCUUUUACUUUUAUUUAGAGUCGUAAAAGUAAAGCGACUACUCACAUUUCAUCUGUGUGUUUCAUAUUCCCCAAAGUCUGCUCUAAUUAAAACAUAUUAAGAUACAGUUUACUCGAAUGCAUGGUUAGAUAAAUAAUUAAGACGAAUACUAAAAAAAUAGUAAAACAUUUUACCUCGCACUCACAAAUGACACUUUUGCAUCACAUGUUUCACAUGAAUAAAGGGUCUUAUUCUUCUUGGUCAUUUUUUGAUCUUCCUUCUUUGGAAUUUUGUACACUUUUUUACCACACCUAGUGCAAACCAAAUAAAAUCACGACCAGUCUGUGUCAACUGCGUAGAUGGUGAACAUGAUCUUACAUUUCCCAACCUGAAGUCACAAAAAUACAAAUGUCAAAAUUAUAUAAUCUAUGAUGUUUUCCGUAGCAAAGUUUUAAAAUGACAUAUACCUCAAGAGAAUCUUGUAAUUCUGAAAUAGUGACCAUUGGAAACUGAUCGAAAUGAAUCUCAUCACCAUAAGAAACCCAUUGUUGAGGUUUGCUACUCAAGAAGGUAAUACGUCCGCAAUUCUCAGGUAAACUUAUAUUAGGUAAUAGUAUUAGUUGUAUUAGUAAUCGUAAUGAUAAGAGAUAUAUAUAAUAUACAUAGACAAAUUAACUAUUCUUGAAGACAGUGACAUCGGGAUCAUUCAAAUCGAUCAGAACCUUCGUUGUUUGACAACUACUUGUUAUUCGACGAUCACCUACAAUAUUUAACAAACAAAACAAAACAAAAACAAUGGUGUUGUAUGAAAAGAAAAAAUUUAUGAAUAAACAAAAUUAAUAUGUACCUUUGAAAACGUUAAUUUUCCCAAAACAGAUCACAAGAAUGACACUUCUUUCACCCAAACUCCGACAAGCCGACCAGACUUCUUCACCAAACUUUCCCCAAAAGUGUGCAUGGUAAAUGGUCAUCACUGUAAGACAUAUCACAUAAAAUAGAUGAAAGAAACAAUAAAAAAAAAUAAAGUGUCUGUAUUUAUAUAUAUAUUCACUUAGCAUUUCGUAGAGCGAACUCGAGUUUGGUGGUGUCCUUAUUCAUAAUAGAUAUUGUUUGCAACUCAUAAACACUUUCAACUUGUCCAAUAACAUCUAUUUAGGAAAAUAACGGCAGGUAAUUAUUGAAAGUAAUAUGAAUGAACAAAUUAAAUAAAAUAUUACAGAUAAACUUACCAACCGAAAAACUCGUAUUGGUUACAUCGUCCAAUAUUGUAACAAACUCUGAGAAAUCAAAAAACAAACUGUCUGACCAAUUAGAACUUUUGCUGACAACUGUAGAGGAUAUGAAUGACAUCUUAAAUUGAUGUCUGGUGGUCCGGUAGUGUACUGAAGUCUGAUUCAAUGAAAAGUUCUCUGUGAACUUCCAUUCACCGACAACCAUCAUCUGUUCAAAGCGAUGCAGCAAGUUUUUCUUGACAGUUGCGUGGAUUUUGGUACCCUGGAUGAUCAAGAAGUUAAAACAUUGAACAGAACAAUCAAAAUAUUAAAAAAAAGUAAUGUCGAUUAAUAAUAAAUUUGUACCAUUUCAUCGGCAAGGAUGAUUUCCAAAGACUCGCCACUCUUGGUUUGGUAUUGUUUCCAUGUAUGAAGCACCAUCACUUGAACCUUUCACCCAGUCCUAUAAGGCUUAACGUCAGCUAAAGGGGUUCGCUUCGUUGUGGAAGCCAUAAGAACAAUGAAAAAACAAAAAAAAAAAAAAAAACAGAGAGGAAAAUGAAACUUCAUGAAGAGUGUUUUGGAAGAAGGGGUUGUAUAUUUAUAAUAAAAAAAUAUAGGAUUUAUUGAUAAGCCGUUAAAUGUUCAUAAAUUGGCAGCCAAGAAUAUUCGUGAAAUUUAAAUUUUUGAAAUAGAUAUGCCAAAUAUCAAAUAACGUUGUUUUUGUAAAGUAGUUGUAAUUGUCUAUAUACACGAAGAUGCGAUAUAAACGGAAUAAAUUCGAAAUAUCCUAUGGUAGAAGUUCAAAGAUGAGCACAUAUGUAUAUUAUUUCGAACAUACAUUUAUGAGAAUAUAUUGUGUUCAAUAAAUAUGGGAACUAAACCCAAAUGAGAUAUGUGAUAGUGGUUAGAAUUGUCUACACUAUUAUAGUGUCUAUUGUUGUAAUUGGUAACAAUAAUUAUUGAUAUAAUUAAUAAUAGAUAUCAUAACAGAAUUUGAAGUAUAUCUAAUUCGCAUACGUAAUCUUGCAAAUCUAUUCAAAUGAGUUCGAAAGUUAUUGCGAAUUUUAGUUUAUCCGUAAUAAUAUAAUAUUUUGUUUAAAUUACGUUUUUAUUGAAGAGUUGAAAUAAAUAAUGAAUUGCCUAAAAUAAGAAACGGGUCAAAUUAAAGGAACUGCGUCCUUUUAAAAGGGUCAAAAUAAAGGACGCGGAUCCUCUUUGAUUUCAGUUUUUUUUUUGUUCGUGGAAUACAUUUUUUACAAUGGUAUUUCAUGUAAUAUAACACGUAAUACCGAGGUCAAUUUCCUAAAUGUACUUCUCCUUUAAUAUUAUAAGAUAAACAGAAACACAUUAUUAUUUGGGUAAUUAGGUUAAUAACCAAUUACACAUUAUUAUUUGGGUAAUUAGGGUACAGAGAGCUUCUAUAUAAAAUAGACAUUCUAUACAAAAUAUAUGUUCUUAUGCAACAUAGAAGAUGAUUCAAAACGGCUCAAUUAGAUUACACAAUUACAACGAAAAAAUAUUCUAGACACAUGAUGUGUCUACUGCAUGAGGGAACAAGUUUUACCUUUAAUAAAAACAAAUGAAAGCCGCAAGUGCACAGCUAAUCAAUUGUAGUACUUAGGGAUCAAAUCCACAGAGAUUUGUGUGCCUGGUAUUCUUCUACUGUUUCUAACUUUAUGUCUAGACUAGAUCGGUUUUAGAGAUUGGUUGGUUGUCACGGAUUGAAAUAAAACUAAAGAAAGCUAAUAAAUCUAUCCUGAAGAGCAAGUAGAAAAUCAAAUAAAAGGCAAAUGAAGCGAGCAGAAUAUUGAACUAAAGCAAAUAAAACGCAGAUCUAAAUGAGCAAGUAAAAAUCGAUUGGUUUGUAAACUAUGGCUAAAAACGCUGAGCUAUUGGGAACUCUACAGGGAUCAUAAUCGGUUUCAACACUAGAGAUUAUAGAUUGGGAUUGACGGAUAUCGAAAUAUAGGGUUCUAGAGCUAGAGUACGGCGGUAUGACUACGUCACUGUCGUGAUCAUAACCAACUGUUUCUCGCAAUCCUGACCAGUAGGUUUCCACUCUGGCCCAGGAAGGGAGAGAACGCAAGAGCUGCACAGGACUCGUCAGUACUCACGAUUUUGCCGCAGGUAGGUUUCCACUCCUACGGAAAAAUCGCCUGUUUCAUUCUAGGUCGGAUACUUAAUGAAAACUUUUGCAACACUAACUAUCUAGAUCAGAUACGAGGUGAUCAAUCAAGCAUACAUGCAAUAAGAACAAGAAUAAACAGAGAACAAUGUUAAAAUCUCAGAUCUAUAACCUAGAUGUCUUAAUCGAUUAUGAGAGCCUUUUUUGGGAACCCUAAGCCCAAUUUGGGAUCUACUCAGACAUGGCUGAGGUCGACAUCAUCAUUAGUUUUAAUAAAAGCAAUCGGGAGUAACGUGGCGGCGGGAAAUAGAGGCUCGGCCGCGGUCGUGCAGCUCGUGACAGCGGUGGAUGGGUCGGUGGCCGCGGUCGGGAGGCUUGCUGGCCAUCUUCGAGUGUCUCUGGGGCAAAUAGGAUAUCUUGAGAUCCAACCAUUGGAAUGUAUCCAAACUCAGUGCAUUUGAAAGCUGGUUGAUUCUUCUAUAAGUUCUCCAAUUUUGAGGGUGAUCAGACGGUGAGAAGAUUUUCGUAUCUCCAUGAGAGUUCUGACGGUCUGCAUUUAUCCAAAAGAGUAUUUUUGUUCCAAUUUGUGCCUCUUUAUCCCAAAUUACAUGAAAAGUCUUUUAAAAUCCAAAAACAUAGAAAUCCUUUGAAAACCUUUGAAAAUAGAGUAAAAACACCUGUAAAAGACAUUAAAGUGAUCCAUAAAAAUGGUCAAAAUCUGGUGUUAUCAACUUCUCCAGACUUAGUCUUUUGUUUGUCCUCAAACAAAACAAAGGCCAAAUCUCGGUGAGAAGUUUGAAAACGCAGGAACUAACAAAAUCUCAGAGACCAAACUUCUAGACCAACUUCAAUCAUUAUGCAUCAAUCGGGAAUAGUCAAGAAAAUUCUCACUAGAAAUACGGGCAUAACUAGUCCGUUAAUCCGUCAUGCGGAAAUCUAUUGCACUAAGAUCUAACUUCCAGUCAACUAGCUCUUAACAUUCAUUAAAAAUUCUGGUGGUUCUCAUCAAAGAAAGUAUAAGCGAGGCAAUCUAGGCUAUGUAUCAAAAAGGUUAUUCUAGGGGUAAGGCUUAAAGUGUUUAUGGGUUACCUGAAGAUCUGGAGGAUGCAAGAUAUUAUGCAAAACCGCAAGAGAGAGUGAAGCUGUUGAUAUCCACAGUUUUCAGUCACUUUCUUCUUGCUAUAGAUUUCUGGUCUUCUUCCUCAGGUUCUCUCCUAAUUCCCCCAGACUUAGAUUUUUGUAAAUCUUUCUAAACCAUAGCUCCUUAGAUGACUAGUAGUUGCUUUUUGCUCAAAAAUUUCGACAAUCUAGGACUCAUUAAGCUUUUUGUUUUCCUUUUUUCUUUCAAAAUUAUAUAUAAAUAUAUAUAUUUUUCUUUCAAAAUUAUAUAUAUAUAUAUAUAUAUAUAUAUAUAUAUUUUGAAAGAGGGAGCACAUUUAGAUAUAGAGUCCUAGAGAGCACGGAAUUACCAAUAAAAAUGAGUCUUGUAAAGCUUAAUAAGGUUUCUGAUAUUCUUCCUUCCCAAUUCCAUUCAGCCUUCCUCUUGAGUGACUGAAAACUGCGUCGUUCCUCUUCUUUCCGGCGUUUUUGCACAUAUCUGCUGAUAUAAACUAAAGAGAGAAUGCAUGAGGAUUGAAAACAAAUGUUUUGGGUUUAGGUUAUGGUACUAGAUAAAGAUGAACUGGCCAUCUAGGACGACAAAGGGUGGUAGAAAUAAGGGUAAAAGACGUCCUAGAUGUAUAUCACGAUGCCUGCCUAAAAUCAAUGAUGAGAAAAUUAGAUAUCAAUAUUAAGGUCAAAUAAAAAGAGCUAGUAUAUCCUGUCAGAAAGAAUCUUCAUGAAUAGAAGUCCUCUGGUGGGAGUUUGUAGUGCAAGUACUCUAGCUACCACCUAGUCUAGUGCUAACCACAAAUGAGCUAUCAUGCGUAGUGUAGAAGCGUGCAAGUCUAAAUCAUCACAGUUUUAUGUCAAACAUUCCUGAAAAAUACUUAAGGUCAAAUAGGUUGCAUAUUAAAAUUUAGAAAGUACUUGAAAUUUUAAAAACAAAGCAAGAAAAUAAUUAGUACGGAUAGACAUCCUCCCCUAGACUUAAGUUACACUGUCCCCAGUGUGAACAAGUUGGUGAGAAGAUGGUGAAUAAAAGCGAAAAUGAAAUAAGAUAAAAGAAAAGAAAAUGAUGAUAGAACCGUGAUGGCUGUCAAAUGACAAUGAAGUGCUGAUCAAUCACUCUUCCUCCGAUGUGUCUACUUCCAAAUGGUGCUGCUCCUGUAGGAAGGUGACGACGCGCUCAAAGCGUCUUCCUUGUCUCUCAACUCUGCGCUCCAUAUCAGAAUGUGUGUGUGAUGAUGUCGAUGAUGAAGUAUGGCCCGUGGAAACAGAUGGCUGAAAGUGAGCACGUGCUGCAGCUGCGUCGCGCUUCACCUUGGCUACUAUGUAUUGCCCGAUAGUGAAUGGUAGACGAGGUACAGAGGGUAAAAACUCAUCAGGUCCCGGAUUCCAUCGUCGACGUCCUCCGUUACACAAUCUUGGGACUGAAGCUGAAGGUAAACAGACUCGGUGCUCUUCAGUGCUCUUCGGUGCCAGUGCAAUACUUGUAACUGAACCUGUCUGGAUCGAAAAUGGUACGAGAGAUAGUGUGAUCGCGAGAGAGAUAAAGUAGGUCAUACCAGACGUCGGGAAGUGGAUCAUCAGAUUAGAAAUUGAAUCCCACAGCCUGUAGUAUUGCUAUAAUAGCGCUUUCAUAAGCAGUAGUAGCAUCCUCACUACCAUGUAAAUAAUGCUUCACCUUCACCAUGUUCUGUGCUAUGAUCCAGGCAAAGCAGGCAAGUCGGGGGUCGUCCAUAAAUGGUAUCUGAAGUGUAAUGAGCUUGGUAUUCAGAACACAUCCCAUGUUGGCUCUAGAGAAAAUCGUGUGAGCUAAGAGUUUGUGCACAACUCUCACAGCAGGAUGAGUAAGAAGGGCUGACUAGGAUCUCCCGCUAUCAUAGAUGCCAUGACCCAUCUCUCUCCAUAAGUCAAAAUCAGGUUCUUCUUCGAGGUGAAUAUCAUCAGUGUAUGGAAGCUUAAGAGCUUCACAAAUUGCAGAAAUGGUGAGUGAGUAGGUCUGUCCGCGGAUAGAUAACGACAGAAUGCCGUCAGAUGCUUUGGGGCUCCUCCUAUUCAUGUGGUGGAGGGUGACGAUUGCUAAGAACUCGCGGACUAGCUCGGCAUAAGUUGGAAGUUUCAGCUCCAUGUAGGGUCUCAGCCUAAGUGCAUCGAUGUGCGAGAUUACAUCUUCUCUAAUCCCAAGCAUCUCGAGUGUAUGAUAAUCAAUGCAGGGUGUUGGUUUGAUGUUCAGCUUCUUGAAACGCCUUGCAUAGUCCACUCUCGGGUUGAUCUCUUUCCCAAUAUAUCGAAUCUGUGGUGGCUCGGGAAUCGCAUGUGUUUCUCUUGAGUGUUGGAGCAGCCUCAUCACUCGAGUUCUUCUUGGCUUGGCUCAGCAUGUAAUCUACAAGAGUACUAUCAUUGGGUAUUUCCUCAGAGCUUCUUUGGGACUUGGUUUGUUCCAUUUUCUUUGCUGGAAAGAGAGAUUUGAUGAUAGAUUCGGAAUCAGCUUUGAAAAAGAGUGAAGUUUGGGCAAGGAAUUUCUUAAAAAGCUUAAGAAUUGAAAAAGGUAAUCUAUCUCCUAAAUCUCCAAGUCUUUUGGAAGAGAAGAGAAAAAGGAGUUUUGAUCCAAAAAGUGCGUUUUCUUUCUUUAACAAGCAUUUUUGUGGCAAAAACGGAAAAUUUUCGGGAAUUCAAAGGCUUACGGGAACUUACUUUUCUUGUCUUGUACGCAACAGGGAAUUUAAAACUUACGGAAAAUCUUAAUGGGCUUUUCCGAAAAUGUUCCAAGAAUCGUCGGGAAUCACCGGGAACAUCUGAAAAGCGACGAAAAUCUGAGGUUCCGUCUCAACGACCAAUUGCCGCAGUCAGGAGACGCGCGACCGCGGUGAACAUAACAUCGGCCGCGGUCACAUUCACGGUGCCGCGAUCGAUGGUGCAUUGGCUGCGGGUCGGUUGGUCGUGACCGCGGCCCAUUUUCCUGCGGCCUUCGUCCAACUUCCAGGUUUCUGCUGGACCGAGCAGCUAAAAACCUCAACUUCUAUUUCGGUUUUUCAAAUUUUCUGAUUUUUUGUGUAUUUUUUUUUAUGAGAGUACCUGAAACAAAAAAACAAAAACAUAAAUUGUAAAACCCUUCUUCUCCUUGAGGCGCCAGCUUCUUUCCUUUACUCUUCUUCCUGACUUUAACGUUGUUUAAAACCCUUUUUGUGUUCUCGAUCAGCUCCUGGAUUUGGUCCUCACUAGUCUCUGUUGCAUCUGGCGGAAUGAUGAUCUUGAUCUUUGCAAAAGCUCUCGGGUUUUCCUUUUCCUUCUCUUUUUGCCGUUUUUCUUUACUUGGAAAAACGUCUAGAACAGUCGGAUAAAACUUCCUGCAAUCUACAUUGAGGAAGACAGCAUGCCGGUUUACGUGAUCGAUUACUGCUCCUACAUUAGCUAGAAAUGGUCUACCCAAUAUGAGUGGUCUCUCCUUGUCUUGAUCCAUUUCUAGAACUUGGAAGUCUGCUGGAACAAUCUUGUCCCCUACUAGAACUUGUAGAUCAUGAAUCGCCCCUUCAGUAUCUUUUUGGGAUGAAUCUCCAAAGAUAACCUUUACUGUUGAUGUCCUUUAUGUUUUUAUGCCCAAUUUUUUGACAAAUGUCUUUGACAUGAUGUUGACAUUGGCUCCGGAAUUGCAUAGACAGUCUGUGAACUUGAUUCCUGAAAUGAAACAUUGGAAAACAAGACGUCCUGGGUCGUUGGCUUUUGUAAGCCUUUGAAAUGCGGAACGUUGAGGUACCUUGAAUGGUGGCUGCUUGGGAUCGACAUCUCUGUAAAGUGGAACAAAGAUUGGGGUUUCUUCAUUUUUUCCAUCGGUUCUGGUUUCUUCUUCGGUCAGCGUGGUUAUGGCAUUGCAAAAUCUCUUGGGGUUAUCUUCAACUCUUCCUGGAAGAGCUCCAUUUUGUCUUUUAAUAGAGUCGGCUGUUUGGGCAACUUGGACAUCUAGCUUUUUGACGUGCGAAGAUAAAGCUUCAAACUUCCCGUUCAGGUCAUUGUACAUGCAGUCAACUUUCACGUUCAUGUCUUUAGCUGCUUUCUCGUUUGUCAUAACAAGCUGUUGGAUGGACUGUUCAAGUCUUCCGAUUUGCGAAACUAGCUGGUUCGUUGUGACUCCUUGCUGUUGUACAAAUUGAUUGUUAAAACCCAUACCUUGAUAGUUAUAUGGCUGUUGCAGCUGAUAAGCUCCUGUCCCUCCAAAAUUUCCACCUUGGAACUUGUUUUGGAAGGAUCUCUGCUGCGGUGGGUAGUGCUGAUCUUGAGGGUUCUCCACAUUUAGAUUGCGGUAAGAGAUUUUUGUAGUUUGCAUUCCGGAAGUUAUUGUUGAAACGAUUUGGGUAUGGUGCAUGUGCUCCUACAUAGUUUACUUCUUCUUCUUGAAAGGUUGGGUUAAUGUGAUUGAUAUCACAAGGUCCUUCGUCUUCUGCGCCAUUGUUGGUUUCACAAGCAUGGAUUUUGCGAUUGUUGCUUUUCAAAAGUUGGCUCAUCAUGUUCUUCAACUCGGUUAUCUCUUUGUUAUCUGUUCCGGUUUGCUUUGUCGAGCGGUAGUACUCUGGACAAUCAUUGCUAUUGGCUUGAGCCAAAUUUUCGAUGAGGGCUCUUCCUUGUGCUAUCGUUUUUGGUCCAAAAUCUCUGUUGCUAGCUGUAUCAAGCGACAGCUUGUAUUUUGGUUGCAAGCCUCUGUAAAAUGUGCUCAUCAGACUUGAUCCCGGAAAUCCAUGGUGAGGGCAGUCACGUUCAUACUCCUUAAAAUGCUCCCAGGCGUCAUAGAAAGGUUUAGUCGGUCCUUGCUGAAAACUUGAGAUCUUGGUUCUCAGCAAGUUUGACCGUGACUUAGUAUAGAAGUGGUUCAGGAAGGCAGUUUUACAUUCUUCCCAAUUAGUGAUCGAUCCUGCAGGCAAAUAUUUCAACCAAUGGUGAGCUUUAUCUGCUAAUGAAAAAGGGAAUAACUUACACUUUAAAUAGUCUGCGGGAACUUGGUUUAUCCUCAUCAUGCUGCAGAUUUCUUCAAAGAGCUCGAUAUGGUCCAUUGGAUGUUCAGAAGGAACUCCAUAGAAUUGAUUUUGUUUCACCAAAGAGAUAAUUUGAGGCUUGACUUCAAACUCAUUCCGGUUCGGGAAUGGUACUUGAAUUGCGGAUCGGUUCUGAAAAUUCUGAGUAGGUGCAUCGAAAUCAGCUAUGCGAUGGUUCCUGGCUUGUCUUCGGUGUUGAUUUGCUUGCUGAAUAGGGCAGUUAAUGCGCCCAUUCGGCUGCAUCUCCUGGUUGUUAUCAUCGGCUACAUUGAUAGGUGCAUCAAGGUCUUCGCGUUCUUCUCUCUCUCGGUUUUGAGGAUUUAUUGGAGGAAUUUCAUUAUCUUCUCCAUCUUGUCGAGCAUGAUCACCUUUUCUGUGAUCGUUUUCUUCAUUUUCACCAUGUUCAGACCCAUCUUGGUCCAUGUUUAAAGUUCGGUUAACAGGAUCUCCAGGCUGGUCAUCGUCGGCCAUUCCUUGCGUUUGUCUAAGUCUUCGAAGUUCUCUUUCGUGUCUGUCUAUUUCGUCUAGAAUUGUAAUGUUUUCUACAGGUCUGCGCCUGGUAUUCAUGCAAUUCAGAGAAAAACAGAAGAAUGGAAAGAUAAUUCAGCAACUUUAAGAAAGAACUAGAGAUCAGAUGUCUAGAACAGAAAUUAUAACAAGAAAAAUAACAAAGGCAGCGAAACAAAUCCCGGACAAUGGCACCAAAAACUUGAUGUGUCUACUGCAUGAGGGAACAAGUUUUAUCCUUAAUAAAAACAAAUGAAAGCCGCAAGUGCACAUCUAAUCAAUUGUAGUACUUAGGGAUCAAAUCCACAGAGAUUUGUGUGUCUGGUAUUCUUCUACGGUUUCUAACUUUAUGUCUAGACUAGAUCGGUUUUAGAGAUUGGUUGGUUGUCACGGAUUGAAAUCAAACUAAAGAAAGCUAAUAAAUCUAUCCUAAAGAGCAAGUAGAAAAUCAAAUAAAAGGCAAAUGAAGCGAGCAGAAUAUUGAACUAAAGCAAAUAAAACGCAGAUCUAAAUGAGCAAGUAAAAAUCGAUUGGUUUGUAAACUAUGGCUAAAAACGCUGAGCUAUUGGGAACUCUACAGGGAUCAUAAUCGGUUUCAACACUAGAGAUUAUAGAUUGGGAUUAACGGAUAUCGAAAUAUAGGGUUCUAGAGCUAGAGUACGGCGGUAUAACUACGUCACCGUCGUGAUCAUAACCAACUGUUUCUCGCAAUCCUGACCAGUAGGUUUCCACUCUGGCCCAGGAAGGUAGAGAACGCAAGAGCUGCACAGGACUCGUCAGUACUCACGAUUUCGCCCCAGGUAGGUUUCCACUCCUACGGAAAAAUUGCCUGUUUCAUUCUAGGUCGGAUACUUAAUGAAAACUUUUGCAACACUAACUAUCUAGAUCAGAUACGAGGUGAUCAAUCAAGCAUACAUGCAAUAAGAACAAGAAUAAAUAGAGAAGAAUGUUAAAAUCUCAGAUCUAUAAACCUAGAUGUCUUAAUCGAUUAUGAGAGCCUUUUUUGGGAACCCUAAGCCCAACUCGGGAUCUACUCAGACAUGGCUGAGGUCGACAUCAUCAUUAGUUUUAAUAAAAGCAAUCGGGAGUAACGUGGCGGCGGGAAAUAGAGGCUCGGCCGCGGUCGUGCAGCUCGUGACAGCAGUGGAUGGGUCGGUGGCCGCGGUCGGGAGGCUUGCUGGCCAUCUUCAAGUGUCUCUGGGGCAAAUGAGAUAUCUUGAGAUCCAACCGUUGGAAUGUAUCCAAACUCAGUGCAUUUGAAAGCUGGUUGAUUCUUCUAUAAGUUCUCCAAUUUUGAGGGUGAUCAGACGGUGAGAAGAUUUUCGUAUCUCCAUGAGAGUUCUGACGGUCUGCAUUUAUCCAAAAGAGUCUUUUUGUUCCAGUUUGUGCCUCUUUAUCCCAAAUUACAUGAAAAGUCUUUUAAAAUCCAAAAACAUAGAAAUCCUUUGAAAACCUUUGAAAAUAGAGUAAAACACCUGUAAAAGACAUUUAAGUGAUCCAUAAAAAUGGUCAAAAUCUGGUGUUAUCAACUUCUCCAGACUUAGUCUUUUGUUUGUCCUCAAACAAAACAAAGGCCAAAUCUCGGUGAGAGGUUUGAAAACGCAGGAACUAACAAAAUCUCAGAGACCAAACUUCUAGACCAACUUCAAUCAUUAUGCAUCAAUCGGGAAUAGUUUAGAAAAUUCUCACUAGAAAUACGGGCAUAACUAGUCUGUUAAUCCGUCAUGCGGAAAUCUAUUGCACUAAGAUCUAACUUCCAGUAAACUAGCUCUUAACAUUCAUUAAAAAUUCUGGUGGUUCUCAUCAAAGAAAGUAUAAGCGAGGCAAUCUUGGCUAGGUAUCAAAAAGGUUACUUAAUGAAAAAUCGCCUGUUUCAUUCUAGGUCGGAUACUUAAUGAAAACUUUCGCAACACUAACUAUCUAGAUCAAAUACGAGGGGAUCAAUCAAGCAUACAUGCAAUAAAGACGAGAAUAAACAGAGAACAAUGUUAAAAUCCCAGAGCUAUAAACCUAGAUGGCUUAAUCGAUUAUGAGAGCCCUUUUCGGGAACCCUAAGCCCAACUCGGGAUCUACUCAGACAUGGCUGAGGUCGACAUCAUCAUUGGUUUUAAUAAAAGCAAUCCAAAACAGUAAAGAAAAGAGAUGAAAGAAAGCUUCUCUAUUGAUGAACUCAGAGUUGAACAAUCUUCUCUAAAAAUCGCAUAAAACGGCUGAAGAAAAAGGGUUUUUGUAAAAGUAUGAAGGUGAUGUCUAAAAAUGACCUAAAUGACUAGUAUUUAUAGUCUUCAAUACUCCAUGGUCUUUAGGGUUCCGGAAUUGAGGCAGAGAAACGACUUUGGACUUCAAAAAUAUGGUUUUUUAAUCGGAGUUGGCCAGCCGCGGUCGCGAGUAACAUGGCCGCGGGAAAUAGAAGCUUGGCUGCGGUCGUGCGGCUCGUGACUGUGGUGGAUGGGUCGGUGGCCGUGGUCGGAAGGCUUGCUGGCCGUCUUCAAGUGUCUCUGGGGCAAAUGGGAUAUCUUGAGAUCCAACCGUUGGAAUGUCUCCAAACCAAGUGCAUUUGAAAUCUGGUUGAUUCUUCUAUAAGUUGUCGAAUUUUGAGGGUGAUCGGACGGUGAGAAGGUUUUCGUCUCUCCAUGAAAGUUCUGACGGUCCAUGCUCUGCGUGUGUUAGAAAUAGUGUUACCAGCUUUUAUUCUCUAUUUAUUUUUGGUGGUGAGGGUCCAUGCAACAAUAAUAUUGUUCUCAUAGUUAUAACGAUAACGUUUUAAUUAUUAUAUGUGAAUAUUCUAAAUAAAUUAUUGUUAAUAUACAUAUUAUGCUGAUAUUAUUGUUAGCAUUUUAUAUAAAUUAUGUGUUAAUAUAAAUAUCAUCCUUAUAUUAUUGUUAACAUACUAUAUAUUUCGAUUAUUAUUGUUAAUAUUUUAUAUUUAACAGAUAUUAUUAUUGAUAUAUUAAUAUUUUAUUAUAAGAUUCAUGAAUUAUCACGUUAUAAUUAUCUGACAUAGUUGUUAACACUUACAAUUAUCAUAUAUAUAUAUAUAUAUUUAUUAACAUGUUAAUAUAUUAUAUUAUAACAAAAUUAACAUAAACUUAUAGGGAUAACUUUCAUAUAUAUUAUGUUAACUAAAUAGUUAUCCAGUAAUGAAUAAUAUCUUUUCUUAAAUGAAUAGUGUUGGCGAUGAUGAGCAUUAUUUAUAGUAACACCAUGUGCAAAAAAAAGAUUAAUAGCAAUUUGUGUAAAUAAGCAAAGUGAGAAGGAUAAUAAUGGGUAAAACAAAAAAUUCUCUUUGCUAGUUACCUAAUUAUUAAUUCUAAUGCUUUUUUUGUCAUCUAUGAAAUUUAUUAAACUUCUGAACGAUACAAGCAAGAUACAAAGCCAAGCCGGAAGAAAAAUCGGAGUCAAAGCCGACGGAAAACAUAAUUUCCUUGGAGACAAAGCCCUAUCGAAGGGAAGCAAACAACAAUUACAAAGCAUAAAACAACCACUACAGUUUAUAACUAUGACAGAAAACAAUCCAAGAGCCAUUUAAUCCAAAACUAAGAUAGAACACAAACCCAACAAAAAUCUAUACUUCAUAAGAUCCUUUGAGAGAAGUUAAAGAAGAUGCCCAAGGCCAACCAUCGAUAAAAAAUUCAUCCGUAGAAAUGCGGUUUUAAAGCAUUGAUUCCUAAGCUUCAUAAUCCGGCAAGAUACAUGAUACUCCCAGAUGCGGCGGGGUCGAAAAUGUGACGGUUGCACCCCUAGAUCUCGAUCAGACCUGUAAAGAAAAGACAAGGAGCGAACGAUCCAAUCCGGGUAACACCGAACUCCACAAAGCAAGAACAGCAAAGGAUCGAACCAGAAAGAAUUCAAAGCGAUCUCCAUAGAAGCAGAAAAUUGCAAGGCUGUACAAAACUUAGAAUCGGCAAAAAACAGCACUAAAAAUCGAUCUAGGACAAGAAACGAAAAAACUCUAGGUGUUUGCAGAUGAACCGCACCGUUGAUCCAAAGGAUCCGGCAUCUCUAGCAUCACAACAUCCUAAAACCGACCAGAACUGAAAAUUAAAACGCCCAAGGACCAAAAUCAACAUCAUCGAACUAAGAGGAUCGAAAACAAAAGAAGAUCUAUAAAUAGAUCUAGAUCUGAAAACGAAAAAACCAUCUUAAAACUGGAUGAAAUCAUAGACAAACACUAGGGCAGAGCCAAAAGCGAUCUAAACAAAGAUAAAGCAAAGAGAACCCGACCCCGGUGCUGAAAAAGCCACCGGAAUCGGUAACCAAGGGAGACGGCGGCUAGGUUUAGUUUAGGAGAGAAGGGAGAGCAGUUAAAAUAUAAGAGAGAAGGAGAAAGACACUUUCGAUCUGAUUAUUAAUUCUAAUGCUAUUAAUUUAAUUUUUUGUUUAACUAUUAAUAAUCUAUAAUAAAUUCACUCAUAUUAUAUAAGAUUAGGAGAGAACCCACGCAUAUGCGCGGAUCCUGUUUUAACUUAUAUUUUAAAUAAUAUAUUUUUAGAAUUUGUUUUGAAUUUUAUUUUUACCAUCAAUGUUUUUUCGUUUAAAAUAUUUAUAUUUUCUUCGAUUUCUUCUAGAUAAUACAUUAUUUGUAAUCUCUUCUAAACCGAUUGUGACAAAUAAUCUGAUUUUUCUUCUAUGGUAAUGAGGGACUAAAGAUCUACUAUUUUAAUUUAUGUAUGAAAACGUAAUAACUCAAAGAAAAUUUUACCAUUUCGAGUUUUUUUGGUUAUAUAUAUUUUAUUGAUUUCAUUUUAAAAAAAAUAUAAAAAAAAAACCUUUUAUGGCAAUUUGAUGUAUCCACUCUUCUUUUUACUAUUACUUUUUUAAUAACUUUUAUCUCUUUAAUCGUUUAUUGAAUAUUUAGUCUUAUAAUUUUAUUAGUUAGAGUUUUAUAUAAAAUAAUCUUAAAUUUUUAACUUAUUCAGUCUCAUAAUUUUUUUUCACUUACAUUAAAAUUCAAUUAUAUUAUUAGUUUAAAAAUAUAGUUUAAGUCACUUAAAAAAGAAAAUACAAUAGUGUAUUUAAAAUUUUUGUAUUAUAUAAUAUUUAUAAGUUUUGAUAUAUUUGAAAUAAAUUUGAAUUUUAUUUAUUUAAACAAAUUUGUUUAUAUACCUAUUAAUAUUUAUUAAUGUGUUUUAAUGUUUUUUAAAUAUGAUUAAUUGUUUAUUUCAUUAAGAUUUUAAAUGGACAGAUAGCGCUUUCUCAAAUACUGAAGUGGCAAGUAGCUGGAAAAAGUUGGCCAAGUUUUAUAUCUACUAGGAGAGAACCUGCGCGUAUGCGCGGAUCCUAUUUUAAUUUAUAUAUUUUAAAUAUUUUCUAUUGAAUUUUAUGUUUGCUAUUAAUAUAUUUUUGUCUAAAAUAUUUAUAUUUUCUUCGAUUUCUUCUUGAUGAUACAUUAUAUGUAAUCUUUUUUACACCAGUUGUAUUAAAUAGUCUCAUUUUAUCUUCGAUCUUUAUAUUUUUUUAUUCUAAUAAAUCUUACUAAUAUAAUACUUGUUAAUUUCUUAAUUUAUCAUUUGAUUAUUUUGGUAAUAUAUAUUUUAUUGAUUUCAUCUUUUUUUAUUAUUUAAAAAAAACCAUAGAUGACAUUUUUAUGUGGAUAUCUUUCUUUUUACUAUUUUUUUUUAAUAACUUUUAUCUUUUUAAUCAUUUAUUAAAUAUAAUUUGUGUUUUAUAAUUUUAUUAGUUGAAUUUUUAUAUAAUAUUAUUUGAAACUUUUUAACUUAUUUAGUCUCAUAAUUUGUUUUCACUUGCAUUAAAAAUUAGUUAUUUUUUUUAGUUUAUAAAUAAAGUUUAAAAUAUUUAAAAAAAAUAGAGUUGUGCAUUUCAAAAGUCUUGUAUUAUAUAGAAUUUACAAGUUUUUAUAUGUUUAAAUUAAAUNNNNNNNNNNNNNNNNNNNNNNNNNNNNNNNNNNNNNNNNNNNNNNNNNNNNNNNNNNNNNNNNNNNNNNNNNNNNNNNNNNNNNNNNNNNNNNNNNNNNNNNNNNNNNNNNNNNNNNNNNNNNNNNNNNNNNNNNNNNNNNNNNNNNNNNNNNNNNNNNNNNNNNNNNNNNNNNNNNNNNNNNNNNNNNNNNNNNNNNNNNNNNNNNNNNNNNNNNNNNNNNNNNNNNNNNNNNNNNNNNNNNNNNNNNNNNNNNNNNNNNNNNNNNNNNNNNNNNNNNNNNNNNNNNNNNNNNNNNNNNNNNNNNNNNNNNNNNNNNNNNNNNNNNNNNNNNNNNNNNNNNNNNNNNNNNNNNNNNNNNNNNNNNNNNNNNNNNNNNNNNNNNNNNNNNNNNNNNNNNNNNNNNNNNNNNNNNNNNNNNNNNNNNNNNNNNNNNNNNNNNNNNNNNNNNNNNNNNNNNNNNNNNNNNNNNNNNNNNNNNNNNNNNNNNNNNNNNNNNNNNNNNNNNNNNNNNNNNNNNNNNNNNNNNNNNNNNNNNNNNNNNNNNNNNNNNNNNNNNNNNNNNNNNNNNNNNNNNNNNNNNNNNNNNNNNNNNNNNNNNNNNNNNNNNNNNNNNNNNNNNNNNNNNNNNNNNNNNNNNNNNNNNNNNNNNNNNNNNNNNNNNNNNNNNNNNNNNNNNNNNNNNNNNNNNNNNNNNNNNNNNNNNNNNNNNNNNNNNNNNNNNNNNNNNNNNNNNNNNNNNNNNNNNNNNNNNNNNNNNNNNNNNNNNNNNNNNNNNNNNNNNNNNNNNNNNNNNNNNNNNNNNNNNNNNNNNNNNNNNNNNNNNNNNNNNNNNNNNNNNNNNNNNNNNNNNNNNNNNNNNNNNNNNNNNNNNNNNNNNNNNNNNNNNNNNNNNNNNNNNNNNNNNNNNNNNNNNNNNNNNNNNNNNNNNNNNNNNNNNNNNNNNNNNNNNNNNNNNNNNNNNNNNNNNNNNNNNNNNNNNNNNNNNNNNNNNNNNNNNNNNNNNNNNNNNNNNNNNNNNNNNNNNNNNNNNNNNNNNNNNNNNNNNNNNNNNNNNNNNNNNNNNNNNNNNNNNNNNNNNNNNNNNNNNNNNNNNNNNNNNNNNNNNNNNNNNNNNNNNNNNNNNNNNNNNNNNNNNNNNNNNNNNNNNNNNNNNNNNNNNNNNNNNNNNNNNNNNNNNNNNNNNNNNNNNNNNNNNNNNNNNNNNNNNNNNNNNNNNNNNNNNNNNNNNNNNNNNNNNNNNNNNNNNNNNNNNNNNNNNNNNNNNNNNNNNNNNNNNNNNNNNNNNNNNNNNNNNNNNNNNNNNNNNNNNNNNNNNNNNNNNNNNNNNNNNNNNNNNNNNNNNNNNNNNNNNNNNNNNNNNNNNNNNNNNNNNNNNNNNNNNNNNNNNNNNNNNNNNNNNNNNNNNNNNNNNNNNNNNNNNNNNNNNNNNNNNNNNNNNNNNNNNNNNNNNNNNNNNNNNNNNNNNNNNNNNNNNNNNNNNNNNNNNNNNNNNNNNNNNNNNNNNNNNNNNNNNNNNNNNNNNNNNNNNNNNNNNNNNNNNNNNNNNNNNNNNNNNNNNNNNNNNNNNNNNNNNNNNNNNNNNNNNNNNNNNNNNNNNNNNNNNNNNNNNNNNNNNNNNNNNNNNNNNNNNNNNNNNNNNNNNNNNNNNNNNNNNNNNNNNNNNNNNNNNNNNNNNNNNNNNNNNNNNNNNNNNNNNNNNNNNNNNNNNNNNNNNNNNNNNNNNNNNNNNNNNNNNNNNNNNNNNNNNNNNNNNNNNNNNNNNNNNNNNNNNNNNNNNNNNNNNNNNNNNNNNNNNNNNNNNNNNNNNNNNNNNNNNNNNNNNNNNNNNNNNNNNNNNNNNNNNNNNNNNNNNNNNNNNNNNNNNNNNNNNNNNNNNNNNNNNNNNNNNNNNNNNNNNNNNNNNNNNNNNNNNNNNNNNNNNNNNNNNNNNNNNNNNNNNNNNNNNNNNNNNNNNNNNNNNNNNNNNNNNNNNNNNNNNNNNNNNNNNNNNNNNNNNNNNNNNNNNNNNNNNNNNNNNNNNNNNNNNNNNNNNNNNNNNNNNNNNNNNNNNNNNNNNNNNNNNNNNNNNNNNNNNNNNNNNNNNNNNNNNNNNNNNNNNNNNNNNNNNNNNNNNNNNNNNNNNNNNNNNNNNNNNNNNNNNNNNNNNNNNNNNNNNNNNNNNNNNNNNNNNNNNNNNNNNNNNNNNNNNNNNNNNNNNNNNNNNNNNNNNNNNNNNNNNNNNNNNNNNNNNNNNNNNNNNNNNNNNNNNNNNNNNNCAUUGGUUUGUGUAGCUCCUGAAUCUCUCAUAUGCUUCACCAAAACUUUCAUUGCUGUGCUGAGUGAAGCUAGAGAUUUGGUUUCUCAGUUUUGCAGUUCUUGAGGUGGAGAAGAACUUAGAUAAGAAGGCUUGCUUGCAUUGCUCCCAGGUUUGAAUGGAGCCUCUUGGAAGAUUCUUCUCCCAUUGAUGAGCUUUGUCACCAAGACUGAAUGGGAAUAGUCUUAGCUUAAAGCUGUCUUCUGAAACUCCAUUAAUCUUGGUCAGAUCACACACCUUAUCAAACUGGUCCAAGUGUUCCAAGGGAUCUUCCAUUGCUAACCCAUGGAACUUUGAGUUCUGGACCAUAUUCAGCAAUGACGCUUUCACUUCAAAGUUGUUGUUCUGCACAGGUGGUGCCUGAAUACCAGCUCCAUACUGAUGAGCAUUGGCCCUGUCAUUCUCGCCAACAUAUAUUUGGGGUUGCUCAUAUCUUCUUUGUUGUGGUUGGAAAGGGUGGGGUUGGUGGUGCACCUGGUGUCUUUGUUGAACAUUGGCCUGAUGCCUCUGUUGAUGAGCCUGAGCUUGUCCCUGGUGGACAUAGGCUUGUUGGUGGUGCACCUGUUCCUGCUGAACAUUGCCUUGGUGAAACCCCUGACCAAUUCCAAUACCAGCUCCCUGACCUUGAGCCUGUUGCUCCUGAACUGGUUGUUCUAUAUCUACCCCGUGAUCUCCUUGGUCUGCCAUCUCAGUCUGAUCAAGUUGUCUACCACGUCUGUCUCUUCUCCUCCUUGGUACCAGAAGGUUGAUGUUGUCGUUUAGAGGAAAAGGAGGACCGCAGCUUCUUGAUCUAGACCUGGUGUUCAUAUACCUGAAAUCACAAACAGAAAUUGAAAGGAAUCAGUAAAAACAAGAAAGUAAGCACUUGAUCUCAAGAACAGAUCAGAGCUUAAUGCUAAUCAAACCACAAUUUGGCAACGGCGCCAAUUGAUAGAUAGGACUUUUAAGGGUCUCAGGGCUAUCAAUCCCCUUGUCAAUGUAGUACAAAGAGGUUUAUCAAUCCAGAUGUGGUGUUAGACACUAAGCUAUAUGAUCAAGUUCUUAAUUCAAGCAAACAAGAAUAGGUUUUGAUUAAUCUAGAGACAACUAUAAACAUAAACAGGUUUAAAGACAAAUGACAAUGACAAAUGAUGUGAAUAUGAUAUGAUGGAGGCAUGAGAUUCUAGACAUGAUAGUUGGUUAGGGUGCCUUGGUGUUAAACUAGAAAUGCUAAUGACAAUGAUGAGACAUGAUUCAAAUGAUUAAGAACUCUAAUCUAGGUUAAUCCUCUCAUGAAGGUAUUAACCCCUAUACUAAUCCAUUUUCAAACCAAAUUCCCAUUUGUGAAACAUGAAUCAAUAUGCAUUAACAAACAGCUCUUAAUGAUCAUUCAAGCAUUUAACAAAUCAUUCCCAUGAUGAAAAAUUACUUAAACCUCUAACACAACUCUUUCAGGAAUUUCAUCAAACACUUUUGGUGCAUGAAAUUCCCAGAAUCUAGAUCUCAAGUGAUUAUCAAGGAUUUAGCAUAGAGAACAGCUGUUUAGAGAGAUGAAUCAAUGAAUCUAGCCCUAAGCACUCCUAAUCUAACACUUUAGCACCCUAACCUACACAUCUAGAACCUCAUUAAGGUGACUACUCACUAAUCAUACUAAUCUCUCUUAAACUUUUGCAAGUUGAGUAGAUUAGCAUGAUUAAUGAUGAGAAAUGGAGAUGGAGAUGAUAGAUUCAAAAGAAAACAGCUUUAAACACCCAGAUCUCCUUAAACUCUCUUGAUUAAACACUCAAAUAAAAAUAUUUCUCUUCUUAAUGGAGUCUUUUCACCAAAAAGGCAAGAGACAAAGGGAAUAAAACUUGGUUCUCCCCCAAAAAACCCUAAAAAGUAUUUAUACCUUCUUAAAAACGAACCGGGUCAGCCCGGAACAAACCGGGUCCUGACCCGGCUUUAAUGGAUAAAGUGGGAAAAGCUGCGGGUCGGUUCAGUAUGUCCCAGGCCGCACACCUAAGUCGCAGUAGAUGAAGACUUGUCUUGUGAGGCUUGAAUCACCUUGUCGGAGCCGCACGCCUAUCUAGGAGUAAAUUGCGAGUGUUUCUGCGGCAUGGUCUCCUUCCUCUCCAACUCGCAGGGCUGAGCCGGUUUCUGGGGGAUGUAGAAACUGUGCGGGUUGGUCUCUAUUGCACUUAGGUCGCAGGCUCAAGUCGGAGUGAAUUCCGAGUGAUCGUGCGGCAUAGAUCCAGGCGCGGAUGACUCGCAUGCCUAAGUCGCACGAUUGUGGACUUAGCAUUUCUCUUGCUCGGGAGCUCCAGACCUCUUCCAGUGAUAGUUUACCCGCACAUUUCAACUCGCAGCAUCAGCAUUCAGGUGUUCAUCUUCAGGCCUGCGGGUUAACCAAGUCGCAAGACCAUCUCGCAGCAUCCAGAGCAGCUUAGAUCACUUCGCAUUCCGGAGAGUGUAACUCCUGUGAUACUUGUCCGAAUUGAAUGAUUUCGGUUGCAGAAGACAGAGGACUCAUUUAUCUCCAACUUUUGUGAAGGAAGUUUCAGUGCUUGGGAGGUGGAAGGCUUCCUGGAGGGCACAUCUUUGCAGUGCAUGUAUACGACCAGAGAGAGGCGUCUAGACAUGUGUCCAUUCCGGAGGCCGUAUCUUCCUGCUCAUAGAUCCGAAUUGAAUGCUCUUGGACGUUCUGGAAAGAAAACUCAAAUGUCUCUGAUUCUCAUGAAGGACCCGGAAGCUGAAUCGGCCUGGAAGUGCACCGUCCUUCGCAUCCUUCAGAACUGAUCUGCUCGGUCCGGAAUACCUGCGAGACAGGGGUUUCUUCCGACGAGCUUAUCUCUCUGCUCACGCGUCCGAAUUCUACGAUUCCAAUUGCUAUGAGACCGUGCUUCAAUGCUCUCCAACUUCUAUGAAGGACCCGCCAUCUGAAUCGGACCGGAAGGCUCCCCGGACAGGUGAUUUCUGAGACUCGUUCGCACCCGGAGAUUUUGGCCGAUAUACUUAAUUCGCGGUACGUGAAAAUGGCCGGUAAAGCUUCCCGCGGUACAUGAAAAUGGCCGGUAAAACCUUCCUGGCCAGCGAGAAUGGCCGAUAACCUCCAUAGACUCAAGUUUUCCACUUUUUCAAGCUCUGCUCACCAUUCCACCUCCUGGAUUCAUCUUUUCAGCUCCAUAAUCACCUGAUAGACACUCAAAACAUGCAAAGACUCAUUGGGACCUAAUGCAUCUCCUAAGUUCUAAAACAAACCCUAGGGACCUAAAAUACAUGAAAUAAAACAUGAUUUGGAAUGAUUUAUGCAACCUAAAUGAUGCAAAUUAUGAACAUAUCAACUCCCCCACACUUGUCCUUUGCUUGUCCUCAAGCAAAAAGAGCAAAUGAGAGAAAGAGGUUGUAUGCAAUGGGAGUUCACAUUUUCUUUUUGAGAGAAGUGAUCACAAUGAGAAUUCAAGUUCAUGCUCAAUUAUGCAAUGCAAAGCCAUACUCAGAUAUAUGUCGAGGUUACAUCUUCUCUAAUCCCAAGCAUCUCGAGUGUAUGAUAAUCAAUGCAGGGUGUUGGUUUGAUGUUCAGCUUCUUGAAACGCCUUGCAUAGUCCACUCUCGGGUUGAUCUCUUUCCCAAUAUAUUGAAUCUGUGGUGGCUCGGGAAUCGCAUGAGUUUCUCUUGAGUGAUGGAGCAGCCUCAUCACUCGAGUUCUUCUUCUCGGACUGGCUUGGCUCAGCAUGUACUCUCCAAGAGUACUAUCAUCGGGUAUUUCCUCAGAGCUGUCACCAGUGCGACGGCUUCUUCGGGACUUGGUUUGUUCCAUUUUCCUUGCUGGAAAGAGAGAUUUGAUGAUAGAUUCGAAAUCAGCUUUGAAAAAGAGUGAGGUUUGGGCAAGGAAUUUCUUAAAAAGCUUAAGAAUUGAAAAAGGUAAUCUAUCUCCUAAAUCUUCAAGUCUUUUGGAAGAAAAGAGUAAAAGGAGUUUUGAUCCAAAAAGUGCGUUUUCUUUCUUUAACAAGCGUUUUUGUGGCAAAAACGGGAAAUUUUUGGGAAUUCAAAGGCUUACGGGAACUUACUUUUCUUGUCUUGUAUGCAACAGGGAAUUUAAAACUUACGGAAAAUCUUAAUGGGCUUUUCCGGAAAUGUUCCAGGAAUCGUCGGGAAUCACCGGGAACAUCUGAAAAGCGACGGAAAUAUGAGGUUCCGUCUCAACGACCAAUUGCCACAGUCAGGAGACGCGCGACCGCAGUGAACAUAGCAUCGGCCGCGGUCACAUUCACGGUGCCGCGAUCGACGGUGCAUUGGCUGCAGGUCGGUUGGUCGUGACCACGGCCCAUUUUCCUGCGACCUUCGUCCAACUUUCAGGUUUCUGCUGGGCCGAGCAGCUAAAAACCUCAACUUCUUUUUUGGUUUUUCAAAUUUUCUGAUUUUUUUGUGUAUUUUUUUUAUGAGAGUACCUGAAACUAAAAAAAAAAACAGAAAUUGUAAAAAAGAAAAAAAAAACUAAAAGAAAGAAUACCUAAAUGGGUUGCUUCCCAUUAAGCGCUUAUGUUUUAAGUCGUUUAGCUCGACUUAGGCACGAGAGAUCAGGCUGAUUAAAAUGGCACUCCACUUGAUGUGCCUUUAUCAUUUCCGGUCGCUGGAGGUUUAACUUCUUCUCCUUGAGGCGCCAGCUUCUUUCCUUUACUCUUCUUCCGGACUUUAACGUUGUUUAAAACCCUUUUUGUGUUCUCGAUCAGCUCCUGGAUUUGGUCCUCACUAGUCUCUGUUGCAUCUGGCGGAAUGAUGAUCUUGAUCUUUGCAAAAGCUCUCAGCUUUUCCUUUUCCUUCUCUUUUGGCCGUUUUUCUUUACUUGGAAAAACGUCUAGAACAGUCGGAUAAAACUUCCUGCGAUCUACAUUGAGGAAGACAGCAUGCCGGUUUACGUGAUCGAUUACUGCUCCUACAUUAGCUAGAAAUGGUCUACCGAAUAUGAGUGGUCUCUUCUUGUAUUGAUCCAUUUCUAGAACUUGGAAGUCUUCUGGAACAAUCUUGUCCCCUACUAGAACUUGUAGAUCAUGAAUUGCCCCUUCAGUAUCUUUUUGGGAUGAAUCUCCAAAGAUAACCUUUACUGUUGAUGUCCUUUAAGUUCUUAUGCUCAAUUUUUUGGCAAAUAUCUUUGACAUGAUGUUGACAUUGGCUCCGAAAUUGCAUAGACAGUCUGUGAACUUGAUUCCUGAAAUGAAACAUUGGAAAACAAAACAUCCCGGGUCGUUGGCUUUUGUAAGCCUUUGAAAUGGGGAACGUUGAGGUACCUUGAAUGGUGGCUGCUUGGGAUCGACAUCUCUGUAAAGUGGAACAAAGAUUGGGGUUUCUUCAUUUGUUCCAUCGGUUUUGGUUUCUUCUUCGGUCAGCGUAGUUAUGGCAGUGCAAAAUCUCUUGGGGUUAUCUUCAACUUUUCCUGGAAGAGCUCCAUUUUUUCUUUUCAUAGAGUCGGCUGUUUGGGCAACUUGGACAUCUAGCUUUUUGACGUGCGAAGAUAAAGCUUCAAACUUCCCGUUCAGGUCAUUGUACAUGCAGUCAACUUUCACGUUCAUGUCUUUAGCUGCUUUCUCGUUUGUCAUAACUUCCUUAUCACUUCGUGCGGCCACCGCCUCAAGGCAUCGCCUAGGGUUUUUAUGGGCUUUCUCCCUUCAAGGCUUCGGUCCGGCCCACUUUCCCUUGUGCAGAGCUCGGCCCAUCUUCUCUUAUACACGGCGCGGCCCAUUUGAAUAUUCUUCAUGCGGCUCGGUCCAAACUUACUUCCUCCUCACGGUUCGGCUCACUUUUUGUUGUAUGCGGCUCGGCCCACUUACUUUUCCUCUCAUGGCUCGGCCCAAGCUACACCCGGAGUCAUGGGGCGGCUUGGACCAAACUCUCCUUUCUUUUAUGGAUUUUGCCUACUCUCGUACUUCUUCGCUAUAGCUCGGCUCUCCCAAACACUUAGUCUUAUGAAGAUGGUUUUGUCCGCUUUGGGUGAGACCGACCCCAACAGUUAGCCCCCCAGCUCGUUAAUUUCGGAGACGAGAGUGACGAGGUUCAUCAUUCCUGGCCAUGGGAUAAAUCAUCGAGUCAAGCCAUCGCGAAACGAUCCCGGGUGAGGCGUUAUGUGAACAAAAGUUUUGAGCAUUUCCUAAAGAUGCCGAGGCGUUUUCAAAGGGUGCCGAGGUGUUUUUCAAAGGGUGCCGAGGUGUUUUUCAAUGGGUGCCGAGCCGAUGGGGCAUUCUUGUUCUAUAACACCGAGUCGUGGUUCGUGGCAACGAUGAGGCGAUUCUGCUUGAUAAUGCCAAGCCAUGUUAAGGACGAGGCGUUUUUGUUUAGUAAUGCCGAGCCAAAUAAACGACGAGGCGUUUAUGUUGAUAAUGCUGAGCCGUGAUUCAAGUUAACGACGAGGCGUUUUUCAGAGAUAGUUACCGAGCUGUUUCGUGUUAAUGAUAACAGCGAGGCGUUUUACGUCAGUAAUGCCGAGCCGUGUUUCAAGGUAACGACGAUGCGUUUUAUGCGUUUCAAGAGGGUUGCCAAGCCGUUUCGCGUCAGCGAUAACGACAAGGCGUUGUUAUGAAAUUGUCGAGCCGUAAAAACAAAGCACGGAUUGGUUCACACAGCUUAAUGAGAUAUUCUCAGGUAACCAUAGCUGUGUCGUGGGCUCGUUUUACCUGGACAGAAAAGCUAUUAGUAUCCUGAGUGUUGGCGUGUUUGACGGACGCGCCAAGAGGUUACGUAUUCGCCGUGGACUUCACGUGCCCUUUUUGAACACCUUUGCGUCAUCCAGAGGUCCACGCGGAUUUCAUGCGCUUCGGUUGUCCUAUAAAUAGGUGAGCUCCUUCGUUCCUUCUCAUAAUCUUCAGAUCCACUCGUUUUCACUAAAAGGUAGCUCUCCCUUCUCUCUUCUUUCUCUCUCUAGUUUAUUUAUUUUCCGGCUAGGGUUCCGAGGUCUCCGCCGUCCCAGAUCUUUUUCCUACGAAAGUUUGCCGCAUAGCAUUGUAUUUUCCGUACCAGCUGUAGAUCAUGUCGAACCGUUCUGAUGAUUCGUUAGAUUCGCUCUUUAAUUACAAGUCGAGCCGUGUAGACGCCGACGCAAGAGGUGUAACAGGAUCCUCUGAGCCCUUCUAACUGUUUAUCCAAAAGCAACGAGGCGUCGAAUCGUUCAAAUCCGUCAGGCGCUCGCUCUCCAGAUGACGAGCCGUCGGUUUCGACGAGCCGCCCUCAGGGUCCUGCUCUCGACGAAGAUGUUAAUCAUGCCGCAGUGAAAGCCGAGGAGGAAGCGUUUCCCUUUGAUCUGUUCGAGGCGAAGCGUGAAUUAGAACGUCUCAUGGCGUCCCGAGGUGCUUCUUCAUCUGGGCGAGGGAAACGAGUGAAAAGACAAAAACCUGACCCGCCCGGCUCUACGCUCUCCUCCCCUAACUCACUCGAGGCGUUGAGAUGUCGUUUCGGGAUAUUCGAGGCGGUAGAAUUUGUCCUUCCAGAGAAGAAUGACCGAGCCGACAAACCUCCUGAGAAUCACUUUACUCUGUACGAGGCGUUCUUUGAGCUUUGUUUUCUCUGGUUCCCGAUCCCCGGAGUUAUCCUUGAGUACCUCUGGAAACAUAGGAUCUCAAUCGGGCAGAUCAUGCCGAGGGGUCUGCGGCACAUGAUCGGCAUUCUGGUUCGAAGUUUUGAAUGCGGGCUCGAUAUCGAACCGAAUCAUUUGCUAAACUUGCUGGAAAUCAGGAAAGCUCCGAAGGGAGAUAGAUUCUAUAUUUCCAACAAGCCCAAUCGCCGGAUCAUAGGUGGCUUUUCAAGCAAGGAUCAGUUUUGGACCGAGCGCUUUUUCUAUGUCUUGGUGAACGAGGCGUCAGUUGGCGAGGACUACGUUCACAAAACCAAGCCGAUCCGAAGCUUGGCCUCGGCUCGGAACUAUAUAUCGUAUAUACUUUCCUUACUGAGCUGAUUGUUCUCGUGUUGUUUUUGCAGUUCGGAACAUUCUUCCUCCAAUUCCCGACGACCUCUUUGUUGUUCGAGAUUCUCUUGUGGCUCAGAAAGUUAAUUGGAGGAAGCAUUUUACAUUUGAGAGAGUGGAAAAGGCGCGAGCUAUUCUUUCCGGAGUUCCUGUCAGCUCUUCAUCUUCCAAUUCCUCAAGAGACACAAGGGAGAAAAUGGUGAUCAUUACUCUCUGAGAUAAGAAGAGGCGCGAAGAAGAAGAGGCUGCGAGACGAGCCGCUGAGGCGGCUCAAAUGGAGGCUGAGGUUGUUCCUCAGGACGUUCCGCCGAGCUGUGAUGGUGAGGGCGCGUCCGAAGCUGUGGGGGGCACAUUGCCGAGGCGAACGAGAAGGAAGUGGCGCCCGAGGUGGAACCGGGUGAAAUUACUCCCGAGGCGCCCAAAGACGACUCCGCGGCGCGGAGUAAAACUCUUUCCAACUCUGCCAUUUUGGCUGUUCCGAAGUCGUCGAGGCCCCCGGCUUCGCAGCUUCAGAAGCAUGAUUCUAGCUGAAAAUGUUCGGCUGCUGAUAAGGGGAAGGGCGUAGCUAUCCAAAAGGAUUAGCCGACCAAGAAGAAGCGCAAGCAGGCUCCCGGUGACCCCGCUGCACGCAAACUGGUCGUCGACGACCCUGACGCCUCAGCAAUGAUGUUUGCGCGUGUUAACAAUGCAAACACGCGUCUUCCUCCUCCUGAGAAGCUGAGGAGACCGAGGUCGUAUGGCGCGAUGGCGCAGCACGGUACCAAGGUAUGUUCUGCUUACUCUCCUUGUUUUAUCAAAUUUUGACUAAGUGUUUAACGCGUAUUAUUCCUUGCAGUUUGUAGCGGCCAUCAACGAGCUGAUGGCUGAAUACGAGGCGGACCUAUCCAAGGUCAAAAGUCGCCUGGACGAGGUUCGGAACGAGACCGCGGCGGCGAAGGGGAAGCUUGAUGAGGCGAUGACCAGGGUGUCGAGGCUAGAAGAGGAAAAGAUAGUUCUUCGCGCCGAUGUUGACAAAGUUUCCGCCUCGGUCAUUCGCCUCGAGGAAGCUAGGAGAGCCAAAAGCGCCGAGGUGGCGUUGCUCAAAAGGCGUAUCGAGGCCAAGGAUGCUUUGUUUAACGCCAAGGUCAAGCGCGCGAAGAAGGAAACGAGGCGAGAGCUGACGGCCAAGUUUCAGGAACGCCUUGCCAAGGUGGAGGAAGGUCUGGCCAAGCUCGAGAAGGCCAAAACCGAUGAGAACGAGUUGGGGCAAAUCAAGGGCAACCUUGCGAUAUCGCCGAUCUGAGGAAACCAGACGGCCCAACGCUCGAUGACGAGGAGGCGAAGCUAAAGUGCUUAGAGAGCGAGUGCGCCGACAACGAGGCGUAUGAGUGCAUUGCCUCCGAGAUCCGAGAUGAGCUGGUCUUUUCGCCCGUGUCGCCGGACUCUGUAGACACCAGCCUUGGUAAUGAGCCGCUCGAAGAGACAGCGGCCAACUUGGGUGUCGUAGAUCCGACCGGAUCGAAUGCGGGUACGCCAGCCCUCUCAAACCUCCUUGCCGAGCGUGAAACACAGUCCGCAGCUUGAUCCUCUCCUCUUUCCCCUAUCUUCUGUCUCAUAUGUUUUUGUACUUAAGAUUUGGAUGAUUUUAUCUGUUUCUCGAACUUCUUGUGUAACCGGUGCCUGGACGGCUUUAUCCACCUGACUAUUGAUUUUGCUUAUGGUUAUAUUUAUCUUUUCCUUAGUCGUUUUUGGAUUUGAUUUGUUUAUCCUUGACGAUCUGUGAAUUUUUUACGGAAACUGUUUGUUUGGAAAAAAUUGUCGUUGAUUGGCUUGUCGAGCUGUGUUGAGAAUGAUCUCGACUGCUUUCAUGGCCGAAAUGUUUACGUGAGAUCGAUAGAAGACCGGGCUAAGGGACAGGCUGCUAAGGAUUCUGUUUAAGUCUAAAUCCCAAGCUGGGAGUUGAUUCGUGGAGUGUCUCCAUUUUAGGUGACGUUGAGCCGUGUUUAGCAAUAAUGUCGAGGCAACUUUCAUUGGCAAUGCCGAGCCGUGUUUAACGACGAGGCGUUUUCAUUAAUGAUGUCGAGCCGUGUAUAACGACGAGGCGUUUUGUUCUUUAUUGACCAAAGAUGAUUUCGGGACUUUCAUUGAGAUCUGAGAAAGAGUCUCCAACUAGCGCCGAAGUAUUUUUCUAGUAAGUUAUGUGUUUUCAAGUAAGUUAUUAUUCUCUUUGAGAGGUUAAUUGUUCGUGAGGAAGAGUCGGGCGUUGCAGCUAAAGUGUUUAGCUUGAGCCUGUUUUUUUCCUGCCGAGGCGUUAGCUCAGGGUUUCUCAUUGACGAGGCGAAAGUUCAAGAGGAUAUUGUGUUCUCUUUGGGAUAUGUCUGUAGACCGGCGUUCCCAAGAGGGUGAGUGUGUUUUGCCAAGUUUUAAGAGUUUACUUUGGUUUUAGAGAAAGCGAUGUAGUCUCGACUUAUAAUCUCGUGUGCGAUAGUGAACUAUGGCGACCAAUACGUUUUUGGCUUGAAAUUUGUAUAGCGCGCUUAAUUUUUAUCCAUAGAGGAUGUAACUUGCACCCUCGUCCUAGGAAUGGUGGUAAAAGUCCGUUUAGAGAACUUUGUAUUUGUUGUACCGUUGUGGCCAGCAACGAGACGAGGCGUUUGGAGAUUUAAUUUGUCAAAGUGAAUAUAAAGACGCGUAAAGGUCCGAGGCGAUCAAGUGAUGAUAACUUGUCAAAGUGAUGAAUGAAAUAAGUUGCUGAUUUAAAAAGAAUGAGAAACUAGCCGAAGCGACAAUGAACGAAUUAGAAGUCCGAGGUGAACAUGGAAUAAGUAGCUGAUUUAAAACGAACAGAAAAUUGGCCGAAGUGGCAAUGUUCCUAGAGACGGUAGACGAGCUAAAAUUAUAGAGUCCAAUGGAGGUAUGUGUAUACGUACCCACUCCCCCCCCCCUUUUUAGGAGGGGGGACAGCUGAACCCGUCCGAGGACGGGCUGCCUACGUACCCUUUGCAGGGAUCAAGCCGUAUCGUAGUUCAUGUUGACCGUGUUGUAGCCUUAGUGAUAAUACUUCUUCAGGUGCAUUGCAUUUCAUGAUCUUGGAAUUGCUUCAUCAGCUACCGUCGCAAGUUCGUAGACUUCUGGGCGAACUACUUUUGUAAUCUUGUAAGGACCUUCCCAAUUUGCUCCGAGCUUUCCGGCAUUCUUCUCGGCAGUGUUUUGGAAAACCUUUCGAAGGACAAGCUCUCGUUCUUUGAAUCUUCGACUACGAACAUUUUUGUUGUAGUAUCUCGCUGUUGCUUGUUGGUAGUUCUGAAUUCGGAUUAGAGCCUGGUCGCGCAUUUCGUUGACCAAAUCGAGUUCCUCCAGCAUCAUUAAGUGAUUCAAGCCCUCUUGUCCCGGCAGAAGUCUUCGUCGAAUACCUAAGAAAUCCACCUCGGGGGGAAUCACAGAGCGAAUGGAGUUUCUCCGGUGGCUCGGCGCGGAGUCGUCCGAUGCGACCAAAGGACUCCUUCGAGCUCGUCUGCCCAUCGUCUUUUUUUGGCGUCGAGCCUAUUUUUCAGACCGUCUAGGAUCGUCUUGUUGGCUGCUUCUGCUUAUCCGUUCCCUUGAGGAUCUUGGCGUAGAUUUGCUCAAACGGAUUUUCCAUUUCUCGCAGAAAGCUUCAAAACGCGUUGAGAUGAACUGGGAUCCGUUAUCGGUGACUAUCUCGUAGGGGACCCUGUGUCUGCAGAUGAUAUUUUUCCAGACGAAGUGUUCGACUUGAACAUCUUUUAUGCUCGCGUAGGAAUCGGCCUCGACCCACUUAGAAAAAUAUUCUGUGAGGACGAGCAGAAAGCGCUUCUGCUUCGACCGAUGUAGAGGUCCGACUAUGUCCAUCGACCAUCUCAUGAAAAGAUAGGGUGAUGAGAUUGAUGACAGCAGCUCGGUAGGUUGAUGAAUUGUUGGCGCGUGCCGCUGACACUUCUCGCACUUCGCCGUAAACUUCUCGCAGUCCUUGACCAUUGUAGGCUAGAAGUAACCGUGCCGUUUUAUCUUGAUCGCGAGCGACCUUCCGCUAGAAUGGUUUCCGCACGCGCCGCUGUGCACUUUGUGCAUGAUCUUUCUGGCCUCCGGUCCUUCGACGCAUGUCAUGAGUGGUCCUGAAAAUCUCGGUGUCGGUCAAUGUCUGGCUCACAUAGAAAAUGGGAUUUUGUUCGAUCGCUCUUCUCUUAUAAGCACCCCACUCACAGCUGUAGCAGAUACGGCGAUGUAGAGGAAGAGAGGCUCUCUUUCAACUGGUUUCGCCAAGAUCGGCGGGCUUGCCAGAUAAUUCUUCAAUUCAUGGAAAGCUGCUUCGCAUCGCUCAUCCCACUCGAAUUUCUUAUUUCCCCGUAGGGUGUCGUAGAAAGGCAGGCACUUGUUGGUGGAACGGGAAAUGAACCUGUUUAGCGCAGCAACCCUUCCUGUGAGCCUUUGCACUUCUCGCUUCGUCCUUGGAGAGGGCAUCUCGAUCAAUGCUUUGAUCUGCUUGGGAUUCGCUUCAAUGCCUCGAUGAGUUGCCAAAUAGCCGAGAAACUCUUCCGAGGUGACCGCGAAUCUGCACUUCGCCGGGUUUAGGUUCAUGUUAUGAUUGUUCAACUGCUCAAACCAUUCUCGUAGAUGCGUGAUAUGGUCUUUCAUCGACUAACAUAUCAUCGAUGUAUACCUCCUUGGUUUUUCCGAGCUGAGCCCCAAACAUUUUAUUGACGAGCCGUUGAUAUGUUGCUCCUGCGUUCUUGAGCCCGAACGGCAUGACUUUGUAGCAGUAUAUCCCGCGAUCAGUUAUGAAUGCCGUUUUUUCCUGAUCAUCAGGAUGCAUCAGGAUUUGGUUGUAGCCGGAGAACGCGUCCCUAAAUGUUAACAGCCUAUUUCCCGCAGUGGCUUCGACGAGCCGGUCGAUGUGUGGCAGAGGGAAACUGUCUUUUGGGCACAUCUUGUAGAGGUCAGUGAAAUCUACACAGACCCGCCACUUGCCGUUCUUCUUCUUCAAAACCAUUGGAUUCGCAAGCCAGUCUGGAUAUUUGGCCUCGGCGAUUGAUCCUACUUUGAGCAAUCUCUCCACUUUGUUGUUAACCGCUUUGGCUCGUUCGGGUCCGAGCUUCCUUCUUUUUUGCUUGAUUGGUUUGAAAGUUGGGUCCACGUUCAGCUCAUGAUAGGUUACGUCGAUGCUUAUGCUCAGCAUAUCUUCUGCUGUCCAGGCGAAAGUGUUGAUGUUCUCUUUGAGGAGGGAAAAAAGUUUGCUUCUCAGAGGCUCUUCUAGUUUUGCUCCGAUUUUGAUACAUCGUUUUAGACGCACUUCGUCUAUGCACACCGAGUCCACUGCGUCACAUACCGGCUCGGACGCGUUUCGUUCGCAGGCUCUCGGUCAGUCUUCAUCUUUUUGUGAUCUAUGUCUGCUCGUGCGUCGGUGACAGGGUUCCUCAGCUUAUGCUCCGCAAGGCAGCACAUUCGCGGCUCCUUCUGACUUCCCCAGAUCGUUUUGAUGCCUGCUGGAGUCGGGAAUUUGAGGCAGAGGUGAUAGGUGGAAGGGACCGCCCUCAUCGCGUUGAUCUAUAGAGUUCCCAUAAUCACAUUGUAGAUCGCUGGGUGAUCGGUGACACAGAAUUCGACAAUCCUAGUGACUCCGCCAGCUACCACAGGGAGCCUAAUUGUUCCCAUAGUCAUCGUUGUUUCUCCUGAAAAUCCGGUUAGAGGUUUGGGGAUCGCCGUCACCUCGGAGAGAUCGAUUCCCAUCCUUCUAAGCGUUUCCCUGAAAAUGACGUCUACCGAGCUCCCAGUAUCGAUGAGCACCCUCGCUACAUCGUGAUCCCUGAUCGUCAAUUCGAUCACCAAUGGAUCGUUGUGUGGUCUAUCGAUUCAUGUCGUUUCCUCCUCGGCGAAGGACAUCACUGUGUUCGGGAGGUCGGUCGGUUCUGUCCAAUUUUCCUUCACUUCGGCUCGACGCUGAUAAGCUUUGAUGGAGGACACCGUGUCUUGGCAAUAUUGAGAUCCACCCAUGAUCAUGUUGAUCCUUUGCCUCAGCUCGGGUUGCUCUUCGGGUUCGCCUCUCCUGUCGCGCUUGGAGUUAUCACCUCGUCAGGGAGGAUUUGCGGGUUCUGUCGCGCCACUCGGCUCGGCUCCUUCUUUUGGUUCAUUAGGGACGAGGUCUUUGAGGUUAACCGCAUUCUGGAGCUCUCCCGCCGCCAUAUUAGCUGCGAGUUUUGCUCCUAGAGUUCGGCAUUGUGCCGUUGAAUGCCCAUAGGUCUGGUGAUACUCGCAGAACGCCUUUUCGUCGUAGUUGGGGGCUUUCUUACCCAAGUGUUGGUUCUCCUCUUCCGCGUCCAGUGCCUACUUGGUAGUUGUGGGCACCUCCGCUUCUAGGUUCGUCCAAGCUCUGCUUUGUUGCGUUGUUUGAUGGAUUGCCUUUCUUCGAAGGGCGCGUCAAAAUCGAGCUUCGGAUUGCUGCUUUCGUUGCUUCGUACUGCUCGUCCAGAUUCUUCAUCUCUUCCUCGUUUACGACAAAGUCUGAUGACCGAUGCAAGGCAUCUUGAAUCGUUUGUGGUGUGUUGAGUGCCAUUUCUCGUCGGAAUUCGGAUUUGUACCAUAAAGACCGUUUCAGAGCUUCGAGUGCAGCCUUGUCGCUUAUUCCUUCUAUUUUGAAUACGACCGCCUUGAACCUUGCCAUGUAAUCCCGAAGCGGUUCAUUCGGUCCUUGGGAUAGCGUCCACAGGUCGGCAUCAGAAGUUCCUCUGUCCAUAAACAUCGAGUAUUGUUUAACGAACAAGGCGGAGAGCUGUUGGAAACGGCCGAUUGAAUUGCGCUCCUGCCUUGAAAACCACUCGAGCGCGGCUCCCUUGAGAUGUUCCACGAAGAGUAAACAAUAUCCAGCAUCUACUUCCCACUCUGUCAGUUUGGCAGCGUCCUUUGUGAAAGCUCGUCCCAUUGCUAUUUGAAACGCUGUGAUGUGCGCUUUCAGAUCGGUAGUUCCUUCGUAAAACGGGAUUCUCACCUUCCCGGGCUCGGGAAUCCUAGCCUCCGUGAUUCUCGCCGUGAAUGGUGUUCUCUGGGUUUCUUCAAGCAUCCGAUCGAUUUCGGGCGCAGCACUCGUCGCGUUGUGCACUUGAGACUUCAUGGCGCGUAUCUCGGCUCGCAACUCUUUGAUUUCGAGGGUUUGCACGUGAGUCAUUCCCUUUGAAUGGGGGAGUCGCUCCCGCACUUCUCUCCUCAGCUCGUCUUCGCGCUCCGCCUGCUCAAUCCAUUGGAGGUUUUCUUCUUCUUCAGUCGGGUUGUCGCCGCGAGCCGGAUCGGUGAUUUUGUCAGUCCGGACGCCGUUUAGUGCCGAGGCAAGCUCUUCUUGGCUUAUUCGCCGAGCCGAGCCGUUUUGUUGCGAGUUCGUGGUUCCAUCGUUCUGCUGGGCGUCCACGUCAAUCGCGUCAUUCUCCUCUUCGCCGGCUCGUCGCCUUGAGUUCCGACAGAGUGGAGGCGGCUCGGUCAUCUUGACUCGGGUUGCCGCGGGAGUCUGUUCGCCGGGGGGACGAAACAUGGGUGGAGCCAAGGGGUUUCUUGCGCCGCUCCCCGAGGCCUCUGCAGGCGUUGAGAAGUCGAAGCGUCUCCGGAUUCCAUCCAUCGGGUUGGGAAUUCCGGCUCUCCAAGUUGGGUGUUGUCGCUCAGCCGCCAUCGCGUCGAGCCUCUCCGUAAUCGCCUCGUUUCUUUUGUCUUGCUCGUUGAUUUUCUUCAUCAAUGCAGCCAUCAUGUUUCGCAUCUCCUCUUGGGUUUCGGUCGUCGCCGUCGUUGUGCCUGAUGCUGGAGCGUCCUUCUCCGCGCCGUUAUCGUUGUUGUUGUUAUCGUUGAGGGUGUUGCUCGCCAUGUUCUUCGGAUCUUAAAGUCUUGUCGUUUAGAGUAAGAAAGUUUCGACUCCCCACAGACGGCCAAAUUGUAUGAGCCAAAACUCGCACAACCAAAAAUUUGUAAGGAAAAAACUAAGGGAUCCAAAAUUUCUAGGGUAAUCGCAAGAACAGUAAAAUCAAAAGAGGGUUUUCUUGCUGGAAAGUAUUUAGGUUUUAUUGCUCUCGAGUUGUCCAAAGUUACAUAAUGAAUCGUGUAAAUCUCCUAUUUAUACUAACUCCUUAAACCGCCUAGCCGAGAAUCUCGGGAGAGAUUUUAGGAAUAUUUCCUUAUCACUUCGUGCGGCCACCGCCUCAAGGCAUCGCCUAGGGUUUUUAUGGGCUUUCGUCCUUCAAGGCUUCGAAUCGGCCCACUUUCCCUUGUGCAGAGCUCGGCCCAUCUUCUCUUAUACACGGCGCGGCCCAUUUGAAUAUUCUUCAUGCGGCUCGGUCCAAACUUACUUCCUCCUCACGGUUCGGCUCACUUUUUGUUGUCUGCGGCUCAGCCCACUUACUCUUCCUUUCACGGCUCGGCCCAAGCUACACCCGGAGUCAUGGGGCGGCUCGGCCCAAACUCUCCUUUCUUUCAUGGAUUCGGCCUACUUUCGUACUUCUUUGCUAUAGCUCGGCUCUCCCGAACACUUAGUCGUUAUGAAGAUGGUUUUGUCCGCUUGGGAUGAGACCGACCCCAACAACAAGCUGUUGGAUGGAAUGUUCAAGUCUUCCGAUUUGCAAAACUAGCUGGUUCGUUGUGACUCCUUGCUGUUAUACAAAUUGAUUGUUAAAACCCAUACCUUGAUAGUUAUAUGGCUGUCGCAGCUGAUAAGCUCCUGUCCCUCCAAAAUUUCCACCUUGGAACUUGUUUUGGAAGGAUCUCUGCUGUGGUGGGUAGUGCUGAUAUUGAGGGUUCUCCACAUUUGGAUUGCGGUAAGAGAUUUUUGUAGUUUGCAUUCCGGAAGUUAUUGUUGAAACGAUUUGGGUAUGGUGCAUGUGCUACUACAUAGUUUACUUCUUCUUCUUGAAAGGUUGGGUUAAUGUGAUCGAUAUCACAAGGUCCUUCGUCUUCUGCGCCAUUGUUGGUUUCACAAGCAUGGAUUUGGCGAUUGUUGCUUUUCAAAAGUUGGCUCAUCAUGUUCUUCAACUCGGUUAUCUCUUUCUUAUCUGUUCCGGUUUGCUUUGUCGAGCGGUCGUACUCUGGACAAUCAUUGCUAUUGGCUUGAGCCAAAUUUUUGAUGAGGGCUCUUCCUUGUGCUAUCGUUUUUUGUCCAAAAUCUCUGUUGCUAGCUGUAUCAAGCGACAGUUUGUAUUUUGGUUGCAAGCCUCUGUAAAAUGUGCUCAUCAGACUUGAUCCCGGAAAUCCAUGGUGAGGGCAGUCACGUUCAUACUCCUUAAAAUGCUCCCAGGCGUCAUAGAAAGGUUCAGUCGGUCCUUCUGAAAACUUGAGAUCUUGGUUCUCAGCAAGUUUGACCGUGACUUAGUAUAGAAGUGGUUCAGGAAGGCAGUUUUACAUUCUUCCCAAUUAGUGAUCGAUCCUGCAGGCAAAGAUUUCAACCAAUGGUGAGCUUUAUCUGCUAAUGAAAAAGGGAACAACUUACACUUUAAAUAGUCUGCGGGAACUUGGUUUAUCCUCAUAAUCCGGCAAGAUACAUGAUACUCCCAGAUGCGGCGGGGUCGAAAAUGUGACGGUUGCACCCCUAGAUAGAAGCUUUAUAAAAGGACCAGAUCUCGAUCAGACCUGUAAGGAAAAGACAAGGAGCGAACGAUCCAAUCCGGGUAACACCGAACUCCACAAAGCAAGAACAGCAAAAGAUCGAACCAGAAAGAAUUCAAAGCGAUCUCCAUAGAAGCAGAAAAUUGCAAGGCUGUACAAAACUUAGAAUCGGCAAAAAACAGCACUAAAAAUCGAUCUAGGACAAGAAACGAAAAAACUCGAGGUGUUUGCAGAUGAACCACACCAUUGAACCAAAGGAUCCGGCAUCUCUAGCAUCGCAACAUCCUAAAACCGACCAGAACUGAAAACUAAAACGCCCAAGGACCAAAAUCAACAUCAUCGAACCAAGAGGAUCGAAAACAAAAGAAGAUCUAUAAAUAGAUCUAGAUCUGAAAACGAAAAAACCAUCUUAAAACUGGAUGAAAUCAUAGACAAACACUAGGGCAGAGCCAAAAGCGAUCUAAACAAAGAUAAAGCAAAGAGAACCCGACCCCGGUGCUGAAAAAGCCACCGGAAUCGGUAACCAAGGGAGACGGCGGCUAGGUUUAGUUUAGGAGAGAAGGGAGAGCAGUUAAAAUAUAAGAGAGAAAGAAAAAGACACUUUUGAUCUUCUGAUUAUUAAUUCUAAUGCUAUUAAUUUAAUUUUUUGUUUAACUAUUAAUAAUAUAGAAUAAAUUCACUCAUAUUAUAUAAGAUUCGGAGAGAACCCACGCAUAUGUGCGGUCUUGUUUUGAAUUUAUAUUUUAAAUAAUACAUUUUUAGAAUUUGUUUUGAAUUUUAUUUUUACCAUCAAUGUUUUUUCGUUUAAAAUAUUUAUAUUUUCUUCGAUUUCUUCUAGAUAAUACAUUAUUUGUAAUCUCUUCUACACCGAUUGUGACAAAUAAUCUGAUUUUUCUUCUAUGGUAAUGAGGGACUAAAGAUCUACUAUUUUAAUUUAUGUAUGAAAACGUAAUAACUCAAAGAAAAUUUUACCAUUUUGAGUUUUUUGGUUAUAUAUAUUUUAUUGAUUCCAUUUUAAAAAAAAUUAUAAAAAAAAACUUUUUAUGGCAAUUUGAUGUAUCCACUCUUCUUUUUACUAUUACUUUUUAAUAACUUUUAUCUUUUUAAUCGUUUAUUGAAUAUUUAGUCUUAUAAUUUUAUUAGUUAGAGUUUUAUAUAAAAUAAUCUAAAAUUUUUAACUUAUUCAGUCUCAUAAUUUUUUUUCACUUACAUUAAAAUUUAAUUAUAUUAUUAGUUUAAAAAUAUAGUUUAAGUCACUUAAAAAAGAAAAUACAAUAGUGUAUUUAAAAUUUUUGUAUUAUAUAAUAUUUAUAAGUUUUGAUAUAUUUGAAAUAAAUUUGAAUUUUAUUUAUUUAAACAAAUUUGUUUAUAUACCUAUUAAUAUUUAUUAAUGUGUUUUAAUAUUUUUUAAAUAUGAUUGAUUGUUUAUUUCAUUAAGAUUUUAAAUGGACAGAUAGCGUUUUCUCAAAACUGAUGUGGCAAGCAGCUGGAGAAAGUUGGCCAAGUUUUAUAUCUAUUAUAGUAUUUGUGAAGUGAAUUGUGAUGUGGUUCAAUGCACAGCUUUUGAUGUCGUUUUGAUUAAUGAAAUCUUUAUGUUCUGAUUGGUCAGCUGAUGUUAUAUUUUGAUUGGUUGAUGUUAAUUAAUUAUUAUUAUUUUUUCUGUCGUUUUGGUGGAAUGUGUUAAAUUACAUUUAUGUCAUUAAUGAAAAUACUCUAUUCUGAUUGUCAGUUGAUUAUUCUGCAAUUAAAAACAAAAUCUGAUUAAAAAGGAAAUAUUCCAUAACUAAUACACAACAAAACAUGGAGUAGAGCCCAUGAUAGAAAAUAAAUGGCAUAAUAUAAUUUUUGUCGACAAUAAAAUAUCUAUCUAACUGCUGCUUGGUUAACAUAAAAAUAACACAAACUACAAUGGUUAGUGACCCAAAUUCUUAUCUCAUUGGUAGCAAGUUCGAAUCUUAGACUAAUUUAAUGGUGUUUAUUUUUUCUAAAUUUAUCUUUUUCUAAUCAUUUUUUUAACCAAUCGUGGACCAGAUCUAGAGAAAAGUGAGUCCAAGCUCAUGUUUGUGAUAAUUAUAAAAAAAUAGUUGAUCACAUCAAUAAUAAACAAAUAAUUAAAGAAACACAUAAACCCUAAAUCGUUUUCUAUAUAAAUAUAUAUUUUCAGCCUCUGCUCAUAUUCAUAUGCUAUUUUUUUAUACGUUUUGUUCUAGGGUUUUGGCGAUUGGUUACUCUAUGUGGUUUUUUUUAGUUUUUCUUUUUUUGUGCGAUUUCUGAUAUGUUCCUUUGCGUACAGACUAAUCUAACUAUAUGUUCUUCUAGAUAAGGUAUUUUGAAUCCAUCGAAAAGUAUGAUCACAAUUUUGGGCUUCGCAGUAUAUUGUUAGGUAAGUUUUCGUUUGGCUUGGUGUUAUUUGAAUAUUUAAUCGGUGUUUUUUUACUGUUGUUGUGUUCUUAUUAUGUUGUCUAUUUGAUUAUUCGAUAUGUUUUUUAAGUUGUUCAGUUCUAUUAUUUAUGUUCUAUAAAUCAUUAUAGAUAAAUAAUUCAUCACCGUCAUCUAAUUGUUUGUUAUAAUUUUCAAAAGCAUGUUAUAUCCUCAAAGAAAAAGAGGAAGACGGUGAAGAGAACUCGAAGAAGAGAAGGUAAUUCCUUUAUAAUACAAUCGUUUGAUCUACUUCUAUGUUCUUUUUGUUGGAGUUUGUUUGUACAUCAGAUGAAGGUAAUAUUUUCAUAGGAAAGAAUUUGAGGAAGACAGAGUUGCGUAAUAUGCAUCAUCUCAAUUCAAAACAAAUGGGUAUCUCUUUUUUCAUUAUCAUAUUUUUAUAUAUUCUGUGUUUUGUUAUGCCUAGGAAAGAUUCGGAGGAAGACGGAGUUGCGUAAUCUGCACCAUCUCAAUUCAAAACAUAUGGGUAUCUCUUUUUUUUCAUUAUCAUAUUUUCAUAUAUUUUGUGUUUUGUUAUGCCUUUUUGGAUGAUAAUUUAUGUAUAUAAUCUUUUCAAAUAGAAGCUGAUCUAUUUCAGGUACUAGGAGAGUUUGAAAUCGAUUUUGAUUGAGAUCAAGAUGGUUAGAUACAUGCUUUAGAUUUUUGUGUUCAGUUUGAUAUCUCCUAUUGUAAUAUGGAUUUUAUUAUAUUGACACAUAUACAUGAAAUAGAAAAUGGUCGGUGGCAAAACAACAUGACAGAUAUCGGAUAUGGCAACAACUAUAAUCAAGAUAGCAGAGGUCGAUUCUUUAUUUUAAUUGUGCUGAUUUAAAUUUAUGUCUUCUAACCAAAAAACGUUGGAUCAUAAGUUCUGAAGUGGUUUAUUUUGAUGAUUGGCUAUUCUUUUUGGCCAGAAGUAAAAACAAAAACAAGCCAGAAAAACGAAGAGAUGGUUUUCGAGAUGAAGUUCCACAACGAAGGGCAUCAAUGUAGUAUGUGUACAUUCAAUUUUAGCUUUAGCUAAAUAAAUCAUAAGCAUCAUGUUAUUAUUUCCCUUUUUAUUUCAAGAACAAGAAGAAUACGUAGUACGAGCGUGUCAGAUCUUUAGGUUCAUUGUAGUUGUCUAUAUUUUUUAAAAACUUUUUAAAGUAUAAGGCAAAGAAUAGCAAUUAAAGAAGACAAGAAAGGAGAAGGACACAACUAUUAAGAUGAAGGUAAUUCUUAAGUCAUCUAAGUGUUUUUUUAAUUUGUUUAUUGUCCUCUGAGUAGUGUUUGUUAUUGUUAUCUGAAUUUUUGUUUAGCUUUCCAAUUUUAUGGUCUAAACUACACAACCAAAGAAUGAGAAUGAGAAUAAGAACAAGAAGAUGGUAAGGAGGAGUAUUGUUGUGAUCUUGAUGAUUAUAUACGAAAGAGAGGUUAUGAUCUAUGUACCAGAUUUGCUUUGUUCUUGAUUUUCGCACACUUUGAUUUGGUAUAUUUUUGUUAUCUAUAUAUUGUUUAGGUUUUUAUGUUAUCUUUUGAGCUCUGAGAAAUUCUAAUAAUUAUAUUAAAAAGGAGAGUCCUUUUUAAGAGUCCUUUUUUUUUUGUCGGAAUAACACAACUAAUGCAUACACUAUCUGGCUUUGGUUUGGUUUAAGUUACUGGGAUUUCUUUCAUAAGGUUAUUGUUAGACUGCUUAGCUGCAGAUAACAAAGAGAAAACUUUGGUUACAAGGAACUACCGAUAAUGACAAAAAGAUACACUCGAAGUAAACUCAAGUUUUGGUCUUUUUGAGUUCGUUGAUCUGGUUGAACAUAACCUGUAGACAAUGACUGUGUACUUACCCUUAUGAUAGCUUAUACAACACAAGAAGAUUGAAGAUGCUGUAAGAUAUCAAUUUAUUAGGGGUUUUAAUACUAAUUUCAUUGUUGUUUUCAUAGACAGGGGGACAUGGGGGGGGGGGGGGGUCCAUGCUUUUAAAUUCAUUGAUUACGUUUGAAUUUCAUUUUUCAUAAGUUAAAGAAAAAAAACAGGAGACAACAAAGGCGAGUGAGGACGAUGAAGGAAAAUAUGAGGGCUUUACUAGAUAAGCCAAGAAUCAGGGGAAAUAUUAUAGGAGAUGCUGAUGUAUACAUGAAUAUGGAAAUAACGUCUGCGUUUAAAAACAUUUUGUAAUUUGUUAUAGUAUUUGUGUAAGAAAAUAAUAUAAACAAAAGGAAAACAAAAGAAAAUAAGGAUAUCACAAAAAACAAAAAGAAAUAAGGAUAAGAAGAUGAGAAAGUUGGAAGAAGUGUAAGAAGACAAUGUAAACAUUCGGUAAAAUAAAUAAAAUAGUUUUUAUAAUCUUAUAAAAUUUUAAGUUUACCGUUCUAACUUCUUUUGUAAUGAUUAUGUACAAAAUAAUUAUUUGAAAAUUCAAUAGAUAAUUAAAAUUUCGUAUUUCUCACAUAAAAAAAUUCACAUUAAUAAUUUUUCAAAAAUUAUUAAUAUAUUCACAUUUGUGAAUAGACACGGUCUUCGAACUUUGAUGAUAUUACUUGGGUAUGAGUAUCUUUGUUUAUACAUACAUGAUAUUUAUUGAAGACUGCAUUUGAUGAUCUUAGUUGAGGAAUGGUGCUAAAAGUAUGAACUAAAUAUCAGUUUCCCUCGGAAAACUAGCUAUCGUACUGAUCCACUAAACUACUAAGAAUCGUAGCAACAAUUAUGUCGCCCUUUAACCAAAAUAUAUGAUCAAGUUAGAUAGUGAAUUUAAAAAUAAAUUAUAGUUUUCUUUUUUUAUACUUACAUGUUCAUCAGCCAAAAUAAACUUUCUUGGAGAGACACUAGAACCAAUGUCUUCAAGGAUAUCUUUAAUAACUUGAAUGCAUAUGCACGAUCUUUCGAAUGUCAAAUCCAGUCGGAAAUUCGUUCACAUGCGACAUUUUUCUGUUGAUCGGAUACGAAAAGACGGUUGUAUAUUGUGAAAUUCUGAGUUCUAAAUUUUCUCUAUUUAGUGUAAAAUUGUAUCAUUUCACUAUUUUAUAGAUGAUAACUUACAAAUAUAUCACUGAGACUCCAAUUAAUUCUACUUUUAAGAGUACCAAUUGUUGUAUGAGAAUUAUUAAGAUUUAGAUUAGCUUUUUAAUGGUCAUAAAAUAUUAAAUGUAUAUAGAUAUACCAAAUUCUUAUGUGUGUUUAACGAUCAAAAUUUAUACAUAAACGGAUCUAUAUCAUAUUAUAAAGAAGUUUCUUUAUGGCAAUAUUAUGCAUUUUCAUGUUAUAAUAUUGCAAUAUUAUGGCAAUAUUAUAUCAUAUUCUAUAGAUUCUUUUAUUACUUGAUUUUGAUUUUCUUAAAAAAGUUUUUGAUCAACACUUUUUGUUGGUAUUCAUUGAUUCCAAUAAAUUGGGUUUAUUAUUUAAUGAUGUAGUUCUAAUAUUAUUCUUAUUUUAAAUCCAUUAAUUAUUUAUUUUGUGUAUCAACGUAUUACCAUAUUCUAAUAUUUCAAGUCCAAGGUGUGUGGAGAUGUUGCAGAGAAGUGACCAACAAUUGAAGAUAUAUUCUCUAAUCUUAUCUACAAAUUAAAUUUUUAAAAAUUCAAUAGAUUAAUAUGGAUUCAAAAUGUUUAUUAUUUUUUAAAAAUGUGAUAUAUGUAGUUGAAAAAACACUUAUAUUUAUAUCAACCAAUAAACCUGUGAUCAUCUGUGUGUUGAAGUUUGUGAAGGUCAUCCAAAUACAUGAUGUUUGGAUUAUUACAACACCCUUCAAAUGCAGUAAAGUUUUGUUGAACCCUCCAUUCCCUGAAGUUCACCACCACAAAAUGAAUAAUUGAUUAAGCUAAUUAUCUAUAAAUUCAGUAUGUUAUUUUGUAUAAAAUUCUAAAGUAUUUAUGUCCGCGCACUGUAUCUCAAUAUUUAGCCAGAGUGCUUCGAAAUCAAUAACAUAUUUGCCAAAUGCCACACAUUUGAUAUAAACAAAUGGUCAUUCAAAAAGUUUAACUAAUAUUCUCUGAUACAAAAAAUUAAGUUUGUGUAUUUAAAAAAAAAAUGAAAAAUCUGACAUGUUUGCUUACUCAAAACUUCUAAGAGUAAACUUGAUGCAUUUAUGUGAAUCAACAUGGCAUCUUCCAUAUUUCGUCCUGGCAUGCUCGCUUAAUUUAAGAACUUUGAUAAUUCUUCCGAUCAAGUCAACUACAAUAUUAAAAUUUAUCACUAUGGUUAGAUCUAAAUACUAAAUAAGUCUAAAACAACACAAUCGAAUUGUAUACGAAACAUAUCAAUCCUUAAGCGUGUAGAUGGAGUGUUGAAUAUUUCACUGAACGAUAUGAAUAAAUAUAGAUGAUCUUUGAGAACUGAUGAUGUUUCUUGGAUGCGAGUAUGUUCGUUGAAACACAAUUGAUAUUUGUUGAAGACCGCAACUGAUGAACGUAGAUCAUGUAUGACGCCAAAAUUACGAAUAAAAUACAAAUUCCUUUCAGAAAUUCGGUCAUUGUUGCUACAAUUCUAUCACCCUUUGACCAAAAUAUAUAAAAAAGUUAGAUAACCGUUUCAUUAAAAUAUAUGGUAUUGCAAUUAUGUACUUACAUGUUCAUCUGCCAAGAGAAGCAUUUUUUUAUGCAUUGAAACCAAUGUAUUCGAUGAUAAUAUUGAUAACCUGAAUGCAUAUACAAGAACUCUUCAAAGUUAAAUCCAGUUCACAGAUACGUUCGCAUGGAGACAUUUUUUUAGUUGAUGAGAAACGAGAAGACGGUUGUAUUGUGAAGUUUUGAGGCUAAAAAUUAUUUUCUCUGUUUAAUAAAAAGUUUUAUCGUUUUGUCAUUUUAUAGAUGAUAACGAACAAGUGUAUCAUUAAGGCACCAGUUAAUUCCACCUUAAAAAAUACCAAUCAUUGUACGAUGACUAUUAAUAAUUAGGUUUACUAUUUAACAGUCAUAUAUAAUUAAAUGUUCUUUAUAAGGAUGUAUUUAAUUAACACGUAUCAAAUAUUUUUUUUUAAAAUGACACAUAUCACUAAGCUUAUAAAUAGAUUUGAUUUAUAUUAGUCAAAUAUAUAUGAUGCGUAUCCGUCAAGUCUUACGAAUUAUAUUAUAAAUUUCUUUCCAAAUGGAAACUUAUUAUAGUUUCUUUCAUUAAGGAUUUAAUAUCGUUUGUUUUUCCUAUUUUUAUUUUAAAUUUUGUGUUAUUUUAAAUGUGAUGUGUCGUUUAAAAGCAUAUCAAAAACAAAUUUAUUUUAGUAAGUUAUAGCGAAAUUUGUAAAAGGUAUAGUCUUUAACAAUUUUAAAUUCCAUUCCAAGUAUUACGAUAAGGGUCUAAAAAUUUAAUAAAAUAAUUUUAACCAGUUAAUAUAAUAGAAAAUCUGAAUCGGUUUGAUAUAAACGAUUAAUUAUGUUGCACCCAAAUUAUAUGCACCAUAUGGGCCCAAUAUUUUUGUGUUAAAACAACUUUCGGCACUUCAUUUACUAACAUAUAAACCGCAAUAACCAAUAAAAUCUCUACAAUCUUCAUCAUAAGUUGCAACUUUUCAAAUAUUGAACAUUUAUAAAUUAUGAAAAGAUGUAAAAGGCAUCGAUUCACCGAACCCUCUCCCUUAAGUAUCUACAACCGUAUAAGUUGACUUGAUGUUAUAUAUAUCCUCAUUUAUAUGCAUGCAAAUAUUCUUCCUCUAUAAAACUAACAACUAAGCAAUCUUUAUCUGCAACCCUUUCUUUUCCUUUUUAAAAACACUUUCUCAAUGGCUGCGUAUCACUUUGAUGAUGAGUUGCAUGGAUGGAGACGAGAUUGGAAAAUCCGUGUCAAAGUUUUGAAAAGAUGGAACAAACCUGAUCGACAAGGCUUACCAGGCAUGAACUUCAUUUUAGUCGACGAAAAAUGUAAGUAUUAUCAAAUAUAAACGUAUAAAUCUGUUAUUUAUAUUUAUUUUUUGCUUGAUCUCUCUUCAAAUUUCACUGUUUAUAGGGUUGCAGAAUCAAUGCUUCAUGUGGUGACAUAUCCCUCCCAUAUUUUAGUCACGUUGAGCCUGAAGGACAGUGGCUUGAAUUGUCUAGAUUCGGCUUGCACUACAAGAAAACAUGUGAAUUUCCGACCAAGCUUUUCGUCGGAAAGUCAUCGGAAACACGUAUUUGCUUAGACUUUCCGACAAAAAAAAAUUGGUCGGAAUAUGCGCCUCGGAAAUAAAAUUUUGUCGAAAUUUUGUCGGAAAAUAUCCGAGAAAGUCGGUUAUCGGUAAGUCGUCGGAAACGGUGGUUGGAAAUUUCUCGGAAAAUUUUCGAUGAAUUUCCAAGAAAAUAAUAUAUUAAUAAUAUUUUGUCGGAAAUUCCUCAGAAAUAUUCCGAGAACUUUCCUACAAAAUAAAUUGGAAAGUCACCGGAAUUUUUCCGACAAAUUUAUGACAAAAUAUUAUUAAAAUAUUAUAUUCCGAGAAAUUUCCGAGGAAAAAUAAAAAAAAUACUAAAAAAAAAUUAUUUCUUAAGAAUUUUCAAUUAACUACCAUUAAAAGAUUUAUCACUAAACUUACGUUUUUAAUUCUAUAACAAUUUAGGAUUUCAAAACAAUUUUGAGUUAACAACUAUUCUAAUAUAAAUUUUUUAUUCUAAUGUUAAAAAGUAAAAAAACAACAACUAAACAAAAGCACAUCUGAUAAUUUAUAAUCUAACAAUUACAACAAAUUCACUCUUUCCUAAAAAACUAAUUUGUUAAAGAAUUUGAGAGGAUCAGAAGAGAGAGUUGUGAGAUUGUUAUGGAAAAACUUGUGAGAGUGGAGGAAGGAAAGUUCCACAGUUUUAUAGGCAAAAAUUCGAUUUUCUAGAAGUUUCCGACGAUGUUGUCGGAAUUUUCUCGGAAACCGUAAGUGAUCUGACUUAAUAUGUUAUCAAAUUUUUGUCGGAAGCAUUUAGCAGUUUCCGAGAAAUUUCCUACAAAAUUCAGAAAAUUGUCGGAAUUUCGUCGGAACAGGUGAUCGUCUAUUUCCGAGAAAAUUCUGAGAACUUUGUUAAGAUCGUCGGAAUCUUGUCGGAUACAUUAAUUUUAAUAAUAUUUUGUUGGAAAAUCGUCAGAACUAUCCCGAGAACUUUCUGAUAAACUCAACCGGAAAGGUCACCAGAAUUUUUUCGACAAAUUUUCGACAAAAAUAAAUAAAUAUAUAAUUAUCUGUUUCCUACAAAAUUCCGACGAUCUUAACAAAUUAAUUUUCUAUAUUACCUAUUUUUUCAAAUAAUAAAAUUUUGGAAGAUUUUCGUGAAAGUAUUUUCGUCGCUAAAAUAUACGAUAGUUUUCCUACAAGUUUUGCGACAAAUAUCUGAGAAACCUUUCCAUCGGAAAAUGUCGACUAUAUUCUGUGAGAAUUCCGGCAAAUUUCCGAGAAAAUGUUUUGUCGAAAAAAUCCAAGGAGAUUCUGAGGAGUUUUCUUACAAAUUUCCGAGAAAAUUUUUUUCGUCAAAAAUUUCCGAGGAAAUUCUGAGAAUUUUCUACGAUUGUCGGAAAUUUCUUGGAAAUUCGUCGGAAAAAUUCCGACUAUAUUUUUUGUCGGAAAUUUUUGUCGGAAAUACACAUGUUUUCUUGUAGUGUUGAUACCAUCGGAGUGGAAGAACGAGGGAAAGACCACAAGACACUAUUAUCAGAUCAUUCGCACUACCGAGACAAAAGUAUCAUCUUUACGACCAUUGACAGUGGAUCCCUUCAUGAAAUUUGUCCCUUUUAGUGAGAUCUACAGAGUUCCUUAUGCUCAGUUAUACCAUGCUGGUAAGAUUAUCUUUUAAUAUUCCUUUUAAAGUAUUCGUUUUUAUAAUUGUAUAUAUAUAUAUAUAAAACAUUUAUGUGAACUUCAUUUAUGAUAUUUAUCUAUAUAUAAUAACUAAGAAAUUUAUCAUGAUUGAUUUUUAGAUCUAGUUGGUAUGAUGGAAGAUGUUAGCGACAUCGUAACCGAGGACAAUCCUGUUGGAGAUACUGUUCAGAAAAUAACUUUCACCAUUAGAGAUCUCGAGUAAACAAUAUUUUCUUUCAUGAUCACUAUGACUUGGUAAUAAAUUUUGUAACUUUUAUUAUUUAUAUCGAAGGGAUUUGAAACUGAAGUGUAUCCCACACGGAGAAUUUGCUGCUGGCAUCAAAGAAAGAAGCAAAUGAUUCAUUGGUCCUCUUGCAGUUUGUGUUUUAACUGACUGGAGCGUAAAGAAAAAUGAAGGUAUGGGUUAUCAAGCAUAUGCCAUUAUUAUCUUCAUUAAUUUCAUAAAUGUUUUUUUUGCAUGUAUAGUUCUUACUGAUCGUUUUAUGUCUAUAGAUGAAAUAACUAUCCAUUCUCACGAAGCGAUUGGUUUUCUCGUCUCCUCUUUGCUUUUGAUACUGAUGAUGUCCUGAUUUUCAAGAGAAAGUAAGUAAUCCGACAAUGAUAUUGAGAAUAUUUGAGAAUAUUUUAUAUAUACAAUAACCUUUAAAUAUGUAUGUGUCUUUUAAACUUUCAGGAUUCGAAACAAGUUUAACAUGACGGAUACGCAAGUUGGAACAAGCACAAAAAGGAUCCCUGAACAAGAUCGUUUGAUUAUGAUGGAGUUUUAGUUUUAAUCUCUUUAGAUUGCAUGGAAUAAGAUUUAAUGGAGUUGUGUCCUUAUAAUAUCGUUUUAUAGCUACAUUUCUUUUUUUUCAUGCCAAAAUUUUCUAUAUUAUGUUAUCUUUGAUCUUUUUUAUUUGAUAUUUCUUUUAUUCUAUUUUCUUUGCAUUUGGUUAUCAUUUAAUAUAAUAUUUCUUAUAUUAUGUUAUAUAUAUCUAUUUAUAAGUGUAGACGAUUAUUAAAUAACGUUAAUACAUUAGCUAUAUCUAUAUGAAUCAAUUUAAAAAAUAAAUAAUUCAAUAUAUUUUUGUGAUCUAUAGAUAUAUAAUAUUUUAGUUUCAACUAUUGAGAAUAGAGAAUGUUAUGUAUAUGUUAAAAAAAAAAUUUUAAAUCUGAUAAAAAAUACAAAAUAUGUCAAAUAAAGAUUUUGAUAUGAUCAAAUUGUAGCAAAAUUUGUAUAGUAAUUAUAUUCGCGUGCCGCAAACAGUUGUCUAUUAUAAGAUAUAGAGAAUUGUGCUUUUAAGAUAUAGAUGCAAUUUCUUUAAAUUCUUUUAUUAUUUGUAAAACAAAAAAAAGGAAAACUACGAUUAAAAAAAAAGAAGGGAAAACUAUUGUGUUUUUCUUACUUCGCUCUGCCAACCAUCUACUUCCACCUGACUUGUCUACACUCUCAUUAAAAAAAAACUCUCUCACUUCUUUCUUCACUCUCUCGGUCUCUUCGUGUUCUCCGCCUCUCUCUGUUUCACGCUCUCCCUCUCUUCAGGAUUCAUGGCUUCCAUUGCUGCUGCCUCUACUUCUCUUCAGACUCGUCCUCGCCAAAUGGUCUCUCUCUAUUUCUCUCCUUCUCCACAAAAUCUGCAAUCUCCAAUCUUUUUUUUUCCAUUUUUUAAUGUUUUUUUAUCCCAUCGUGCUAUAGAUCUGAUUGUUUCCUUAGUUUUCUUUCCUUUUUCUUUGUGAUGCUGAUCUCGAUCUUUUUUUUUUUCUCAUCUUCAAUGGUAGAUCUUAUUACAGAAUCGUUUGUUCAGAUCUUACUGUUUGAAAUGGCUCUGUGAUUUCUCGUAACUGCAGAAACUUUUAAUAUCGUUGAUCUGAUGAAUGAUUUAUCAAUAUUUUUUUAUAUCUGAAUUUGCCUAAGUUCUCUACCUUUUUGUAAGUUCUUAUUUUGAUUUAGUUGCUUCGGUUUUAAAUUCUAUUAUACACUUAGUUGCUGCUGUUUAAUUUCUCCUGUGUUUAAAAAACAAGAACCUACUUUCUCCUUGUAGAUUGUUCGCAUAAAUCUAACAUUUUUGUAAUGCAUGCGGAAACAUUGUUAACAUAGAGGAUUAGUUCUUAUAUAGUUGAUUUAUGUUUAAGUUCUUUUGUAUUCAAGAAAUUAGAUUUUUCGCUGUUUUGGUUAUAUGUAAAUCACAAAACCUCUUUCGUUUGUUUGUAGUGCAAGUGAUUGCUUUGGAUUUCGAGUUUUAACUUUUAUACUGAUGGAUUGUUGAAAAAGAGGAUUAGUUCUUAGAUAGACUUAGUUGCUCUGUUUAAGUUCUCUUGUAUUCAAGCAAUCGAGAAACUAGUUCUUGCAGAUUGUGCACUGUUUUGGUUAUAUGUAAACACAAAACCUCUUUCGUUUUUUGUAGGGCAAAUGAUUCUCUUCCACUUCGAGCUUUAACUUUCGACAGAUCGAAUGUUAACAUAGAGGAUUAGUUCUUUGAUAGACUUAGUUGCUUAUAUUUAAUUUAAGUUCUAUCGUAUUCAAGAACUCAAAAUGGUUGUUUGCUAUAUUGGUUAUCUUAUAUUACAACACCUUAUUUUCGUUAAUGAUUUGCUUUGCUUUUCAAGUUUAACUUCUACUGAUUGAAAUGUUUUUCUUAAAUACGAUUGCAGGCAAUUGCAGUUAGCCAUCCAGCUAAAUGUUUUAGCAUUGGAAGAAGCAAUCUUUCUUUUACGCGUCGCCCGCUUCCUACUCGUUUGAGUGUUUCUUGCGCUGUAAGCAUUUUUCUUCUCUCAUAUAAUGUUUUCAUUGUACUUUUACAUCUCAUAUUCGAAAAAAUGUGAUUAUGGAGGGAGAAUGAUAUUAGAGGUAUUGCUUUGCGAAUCUAAUUUGAACUCUUCAGCCAACUCGACAUAUGGGAACAAUGUAAUUAUGCUCUAUCGCGGACUUGACAGAAUUUGGUUGCUGACAGCUUCAUACUUUUUGUUUGUUGGUAAACAGGCAAAACCUGAGACAGUGGAGAAGGUGUGUGAAGUUGUCAAAAGCCAACUCUCACUUAAAGAUGGCGAGACAGUUACGGCUGGGACCAAAUUUGUCGAUCUUGGUGCUGAUUCUCUUGACACGGUAGUUCACAACCUUCUCAUGUCUAACAUCCACCCGCUUUUGGAUACGUUCGAUUCAACUGUUCAGUGGACUUAUUGAUGCUUAAUCGUUUCAUGUUUUCGAGCACAUAUUGUCUCACCAUAAUGAUUAGAUUGAUAGUCUAUGAAGGGUUCCUCAUACACCUAUUCGAUUGAUAUGCACAAACUCAUGGCUUUUGUGGUUGGGUUUCAGGUGGAGAUUGUGAUGGGCCUUGAGGAAGCGUUUGGGAUUGAAAUGCAGGAGGAGAAAGCACAGGCUAUCACAACGGUUGAGCAAGCAGCUGAGCUCAUUGAGGAGCUCUUGUUGGAAAA